GGGGAGGGUCUCUGUUUUCCAGUUUGUAAAGGAACAACUUUAUUGUAUCAAAGCCCACCCUCUACAUAUACUUAAUUUCCGAAUUCCUUUUAUCUUUAUCUUCUGCCAAGUCCUUGUGGAAUAUUUUAGUUGGCCAACCACUAGUUAAAAUGAACUACUAUAUGCCAUCAGAAUUGAUAGAUGUAUUAGUUCAUCUUUUUCAUGGAAAGCAUAUUUAUUUAGAUUCACAAAUUCAAGUGGAUAAAUCUAAGAGAAUACCUGUCAAAAAAUCAAGAGUAGCUAGUAAACAGAAGAUAUAGAUGUAUAAUUUGUAAAAGUUGCCAAGAAAAGAAUAAUUAUGUUCUAACACAAAAACAAGGUGUGUGAUAGAAAACAUUAAAUCUAAUAUAUUUGUUGUCUGAAAGUGUCCAAGUCUUCAAGGUAUUAUGUUGGUUUCUAUUUUUGGCAAAUGCAUUUCUGUUGCAUUCUGGAAUUGUUGUGGCAUGCAAGGAUUAUACCAUAAAAAAAUAAAGAGACUCGUACACUUGACUAAAAGCCAAAGAAAAUUCUAGGCUGAUUGUUUGACUGAGGUUUUACCAAAGCAAGGGCCUUCGUUCAAAAUAGAUAAACUAUAUAAUCAAGUGCAAGAAACUGGAUAAGCUUUUAUGACAAAGUGUUAAACUAAAAUUGUGUGUACCAAAAUUCUUGGAACAUGAAUUACAUGCAAUAAACCUAAAAUACUAUCUACUAAUCAAAACUUAAUUUCAAUGUUUAGAAAAGAAGUAGGUGAGAAUAAUAAUCUCAAAUCAAGCUUUGACUGGCUUGAUCAACCUUUCCUCAAAAAGAAAAUAUUUACUCAAGCAUACAAUAAACUGAGAAAGCCAUACAUACUUGUGCAAUAUUAUAAGUAAAAGCACUCAACAAUGUAGUAGCAAGAUCUUCAGGUUUGUAAUCUGAAAGUGUCCUUUUUGAUGUUAUCACCUUCCCAAAGCUUGAAGCAAGGGUUGAUGCAGAAAGACCUUGCUGGGGCAAUUUGGUUAGACAUAACCCAGUUAGAUAAGUACAAAAAAGACGAUGUUGGACCACCAUAAGUAUUAUAAAUUGCCACUUGUCAUAUAUAUAUAUAUAUAUAUAUAUAUAUAUAUAUAUAUAUAUAUAUAUAUAUAUAUAAUAUUUUGAGCCAGUGAUUCACCAGAUAAUUUAUGAAACUAAGCAUCUAUUCAUGACAUCCAAUACGUUACUAGAUAGCAUAACUAUCUUGAGCAUCCAUGACAUAAUAAAUAACAUGUCUUCCUCCUUUAUAGAAUUAGGUUAUAUCUUUUAUCUGCAACUUUAUAUCUGUUCAGAGCUGUCCCAGCAGAAAAACAGUAGUUAGUUGGGAACUAGCAUAAAAGUUUGUCAAAACAAACAUAAAAAAUAGACCAUUAUCAAAUACAAUGGAGCAAGAUCAUCAUUAUGAAGUAACAUGUUGCAUCAAUAAUACAUUUCAAAACACACUAAAUGUGACCCACAACAUUAGUGAACAAAUUCAGUGACAACUAAGAUUUUAGCAUGAGGAUUGCCAUCAGAGAGGUUAGUCCAAGAUCAUAAAUUUAAAAUAGAAACAUAAAAUAUAAAAUCAGUAAAAAAUUCAAGAUAUGACUGAACUGAAUCAUAAUAAAUGUCAAAAUAAAUCACAUGUUUCAAAAAGAAGCUGAAUGCCCAUUUAUUAGAUUUCUCGGGCUCUUAAGCCAACUUAACUCUUUCAGAAGGAAACAAAAUCAAACAAAGUUUGCAUAGUCUACACCUACCUAAGACAGACUCCUAUUUCUAUGGUGAAAAGUUCUACAUUCUUUAAUAUCACUGUCAAAACUUAACAAGAGUAUCAUCAAAAUCAACCCCUAAAAUCAUUAGAAAUAAAAAAAAAAUUCAAAGUCAGAUCUAGCUCAAAUGAACUCAACUUAGAUCCAACUAGACAGUAAACGAACCUAAUAUAGAUGUAAUCGAUUUGCAUAAUUCACUAUCUUGUCCUUAAGAUAUUCACAUGUCUAAGUCCAUGAUCAACACAAGGAGCUCCAGCAAUCAAUAAUGCAUUGUGGUGCAUGCACUAUGAUCUGUUGAAUUGAACAACUAAUUUUCAUCUGCAACCAACACAACAAACCUUAUAAAAUUUGAUCUCUGUGACCUUGAGAUAUGCAUUCAUCUAUGAUAGAUAAAUUCGGUUUAGAAAGGCAAACUAUAAGAAUUUGGUCCCUUAACCAGAAGCAGCUUACAUUGUAACAUCUUGACUAGUAAUUGAACAAUUUGAUUCCGAAUCUUAGAAUUCAAUUCAUCAAUUUAAUCAUGUGGUAGACCUCUUGUUUCCCUCUUGCUGUCGGAUGACUUCUAGCACUUCAUAUCAUCCUCAAUGGGAUGACCUACAUGACGAACACAAUAUAUUGAUCAGUAUUAAAAUGUGAAUAUUCUAUGUUCAUAGAAUGAAAUGGAGAGUCUCUAGAUAUUUGAGUGUCCUAUCUUCAAUUAAUGAUACAGAGAUAUGGUUCAAGUCUCUCCACAUCAGGGAUUGUCUUAAUAUUAAGAAUCUCUAGAAUGUUGUCUCAUGACCACUUCAUACAUGUUUCGAUGCUUUCAAGAUUCCACAAAUUCUUCUUACAAGCUCGAAAUCAAUGUUGGCAUCAUCCCCGAGACCCUCAUGGUCACCAUCCAUGGCCAUCACAUAUGUCCACCUAUCCAUGGCCGCCACAAAGGACUAAUAUUUGGUAAUUGUCCAGCAUUGAAAUUUUGAACCAUGACUAAAAAAAGUUCUAUUACAUAAAAGUGAGUCAGUUCAGGCAAACUGAAAUAAGAAUCUUCAUAGGAAACAAUUAUCUCCAUGUGCCAUAUGUUGAUAGAAUAUUUGAAGCUUUAGAAGCAGAAUGAAAGCUAAUGGACAAAAAUUUGUUUGUCUUUCGGAGCUACAAUCCACCUGCUUGCUUUCCUAUCUUCUCUGAACCAUACUACACUAGCAUUUCUACUUCUGGUAAAGUUUUUCUUUUCCAUUCUGGGCUAAAAAGAAGAGAAUGGUGAGACCAUAUGUUUGAUCAAUCACUGGAGCAUGUAUUUCUGAUGCAGUUUCUUUGGAUCUACAAUGGAGAAAUGAGGAAAGAGCCUAUGAAUUAGAGGAAGAGAAGAGAAAAAAAAAACAAGAAAGAUAGGGAUGGACAAGAGAGAGAUGCCCAAUCAAAAGAAGGGCUCAAUGAUGAAGAAAACUUAAACAUCAUAUAUGGUCUCAGUGCCAUUCACUCAACACAAGAGAAGUUAAAUGACAUUUAUAACAAAUGAUUCCUUCAGCUUUAAGUUAACUAAAAUUAUUCAAAAUGCAAGUAUAUAAUUAGAUAGAGUUUUUACUUAAUUUAACUUGUCUAAGACAGACUCACUUACAAUAAAGACCCACUAGAUCUUAUACUUUAGAAGGAUAAAAUAUCAAAAAAAUCACACCAAAUAUUACCAAUAAUAAGGUUUCAAAUAUUGGUUGAUAUGUAUUGUAGCAACCAGUGUUUACUAGUCUGAGCAAGGAUCAUGUACCGACUGGUAUUUACUAGUCCAAGCAAGGAUCAACAUCAGACCAUAUGGUCUGGUACUGAUCAGUAUUUAAAUUUUUAAUAUUUUCUUCAGCUAAUAAUAGGUGGUAUGAACUAUGAAGUACACGAGUAUUAUGUCAGUCUAGUAGAUCACCAAAUCCAGUAUCGAACUAAGAUUUAAAACCUUCUGAACUUAUAAAGAUUACAAUCAAACUCUGAUCUAACUCAAACAAACCUAACAUAAGACUAUAAUAUAGCCCAACUUCCUAGCAUAGAUGAAACUUGGAAGAAGCUGACAUUAGUAUAGUGUGAAGAUUGAUGACUAAAGACUUUAAAAAUUGGCUAAAGUUCUUGGGGAAAAUAAGUGUAAUGAAGCAUCUUGAAAGUGUAAAAGUUAACGAGUGAUAAAAUCCAAAUGUAAUUGAAGAUAAAGAAAAUGUUAAACAUCAACUUAUUAAGUGCUAAAACUAAGAUCAAGGAGGUGCAAUAAUUAUGAGAUAAGAUGCAACUAGCAAGGACCUAGCUUUUGAUGUUAUCCAUACAAAAGUUUACAAGAUUGAAAAUCAAUUUGCUUAAGUAGUUACAAUCAAAAUUUAAACAACUACAAAGGAUGCCACCUUACAAUUGAAGGUGUAGCAUUUGGGUAUACUGUAAGAACAAAGGAUACAUAGAACUUCACAACUCAUCAAGCAAUUAAGUUGGGCAAUCAUAUAUAACUUUGGUUGAGAGUGAAUGAACCAAGAUUAAACGAUAAUUAUUCCAAAAUUAAUUUUGUGUUGUUAAUUUAGAUAGAAGAGAAGUAAAAAAUCUUAAACUAUUUUAACAAACAUGGAAAAUUUUAAUAUAGUUAUUAAAGAAAUAAUGAGAGAAAUUUUAAUCUAGAGAGGAAUAAAACAUCCUUGUAAUCGUAACAUGAAUUAACAAGUUUUUGCUAUUGUAAAAACAAGAAAAGGUGACAAUGAGUAAAAUUUCUAUUAUUACAGGGUUGUAUCAAGAGCAAACCUCAAGUCCCUUACCUUCUUAUCCAUGGUGAAUAAAACUUAUUAGAAUUGUUUAUGAUGAAGUCCCAUAGUGCACAGUUUCAUUAAAGAAAAUUUUAUAAUCACCAAUACUAGAAGAACCUCUAAAUUACUCUGGUAGACAACGGAUUUAAUUAAUGACCAAGAUGGAUUUAAGUUUAACUUAUAUCACAGAAAGAGAGCACAUCUAAAAUAUGCAGUCAAGUAAAUUCAGAAAAAAAAAAAAAGAAGAAGCUUGAUACUAGGAACUAUAGUUUGAGAUUGAGGAACUAAUUUUCAUAUGCAAAGAUUGAAGAAAAAAAUACUUCUCUAAAUUAAGAUAUUUAAAAUGUUAAAGUACAAUGUAGAAUACACCUUAGAUUAAAAUGAAAGUUUCACUAAUCAGUUAUAUAACAAUCUAUUCUUUUUGGUAAGAGUUGAUAGUGGAAGGGAUAAUUUAUGAUAGAUGAGGAUGUUGAGAUAACUCUCUGGAACAAGAAACAUUGACCAAAACAUCUAUUAAGGGUCCACAAAUGCACUGAUAGGACAAGGACAGUGAUAUCAGAGAUAAUAGGAGGGGUAGAAGAAGAUCAAAUGGAUAAUUAGUAAAGAAUACGAUGACAAUUGGAUUGUCCAGUUUCAUGGACCUCAAUAGAUAUUAAAAGAAAGAAAGAGUCCAUAUAAUCAAUCCAAGAUAUUAGGGAACAACAAAUUGUGUAUAACUGAUCCAAGAUGUUUGGGAACAGUUAAGCAACUAUAUAUGAAGGUCAUGGUCCAUUUGUUGGACUUAACAAGAUUAUAAACUAUUUCUCAUGUUACUAGAUUGUUCUAAGCAAGGUAUGCAAUUUCGUAUCGUACCGGAGUUUUGACGUUCACUCGGUACGGUACGAAACUGUAUACCGAGCGAUAUACCGCUCGGUAUAUAUAUAUAUAUAUAUAUUUCAUUCCGUCUGGUAACGGGCGGUCCGUGUACCGAUAAGCUGACGGACCGGUACAUACCGCCUGUACCGGACGGUAUUAUUCGAAAUUGCAUACCUUGGUUCUAAGUUCACAACAAACAAUGACAUGCUAAACGAGAAUAAAACACAAGGUCUAAAAUCAUGAUCUAAACCCCAUCUCCCAACACUACUGUGAGUUGGUAUCACCCAGACCAAGAGAAAAAGGGAGAGAGAAGGGGAGGAGGAGAGAAAAGGAGGAAGGAAGAGGAUUGAUAAAAGGCAAGGAUGAGCCGAGGAGGAGGAGGAGGAGGUGGAAGGGGAGGAGAAGCAGAGAAUGAAGGAGAGGCAAAGUUGAAAGAGGAAAAGGUAGAGGAGGAGAAGCGGAGAGAUAGGAAGAAAUCACAGAGGAGGUAUUGAGGAGACAGGAGGUAAGGAGGAGGAAACCGAGGAGCACUAGAAGCGGAGGAGGAAGCAACAAUGCAGUGGGGUAUUGGCAAUGACAUGGUGGGGUGGGUACUGUAGAUCCAUGAAAGAGACUGAGAAAGAAUGAAAGAGAGAGAGAGGAGCAUAAGAAGAUAGAAAAUUAAAAUAAAAAGAAUAAAUUUCAAGGAAAAAUUAAAAAUAAUAGGGGUAUCAAACAGUGGACCUACUGUUUGGUGCCUCCAGUUUCAACCAUUAAAAUUGAUGAUAUGCCUGGUACAGCAAGCAUACUGGCCAUCAUACUUUAACUAGCAAACUUUAUUAUAUAAUCUCAUACCUGUUCACUAACUAAAUCUCCACAGAUAUCCUUCACAAUUAAGUCAAGUACUAGAUUAUCCCCUUGCUGACUCAGCUUCAAGAAUUCAUCAUAACUGUACACAUUCAGGUUACAUGAUUCAAAACCAAAUCAAAACCUUUGAAUAAAAGCAUAUGAUGGAAGCAAAAUUACCUCAAGCAACCUGUUAAAAGUUUUGCUAAACCAAACAUUGUGCCACCACCAAUAUGUGUUCCGGUUACCCGUUCAAACUUCCUGUUUCCUGUAACCUGCAUACCAUUAUAUGCAAACACCUUAUUGGAUUUAUGCAAUUAGCAAAUGGUUGGUUGAAGUAUCACAAAAUAGUACCAUAUGCAAGUUACCUUUAUGAGACCGACACCUGAACCAAUAUUGACAAGGAGGUAGGGAAAUAAGUUGUUUCUGUCAAUUUCUACAGGUUGCCUUUUCCCAUCCAUGUGUGUAAAAGAUUCUCCAGGGAUUUCCUGCCCAUAAAUAACAGUUAAUGAUUUAAUCUAAAGAAGCUAUCAAAACUCCUGAAGAAUUGUUCCAAUAUCAUACAUGUAGAAACAUUUAUGCUUAUUUGACUGAUACAGUACCAGCAAAGUAGUAGAAAAACAUUACUUUAGCAAAAAAAUUCUGAUCUAUAAAGUUAUGAUUAGAGCAGUAUAACAAAUACAUUAGUUGUUUAAGCAGAGUUAUUCAGCUUUAAAUUUGCUUACCUGAGUUCUGACAUUCCACUCACCAUGUUUAACAGUACAACAUGAUAUGCAAUGAGAAGACCUGCAGUCUCUAAGUGUUAUCAUCAAUGCUAAAAGUAUAACACUAAUACAAAAACACAUCAAUUUCACAAAGAAAGAAGACGCAACUCAUUUAAUGGGAUAAUCAACCUGAUCAAUCAUUAGUAAAAGAAUUGACUACUAUAUUGUAAUGCAAAUCAGUAACACAAGAAUCAUAUGAGAGUUUCAGCAGUAGACCUUCAACAAAAAGUUGGCUCCGGCUACAACACUAUCAAUUUCAUCCAGCUUAUCAAGACUGACACCUAGAAUCUCCUUGAAUCUGCCAGUAAAUUUAAAUGCUCCACCACCUGUAGCCUAAUCAAGCAUUGAGAACACAUUAAUAGAAAACCAGGUCCAAUCACUCAGCUACAAUUUUUUUAAAAGGAGAACAGUAUGCAAUAUUCUAGUAUAAGAGAGGCAUUUAAGCAUUUAAAAUCUAUGUCGAACAAUUACCAUUAUUAACAUGUCUAGGUGUCCCAAUUUUAAAGUUGAGAUGAGAGCUUUUUACUAGAUUGCUUGAUAAGAGACUCGAUAAUGGUGGAAAAUAAAAAAACAUAGAUCAUGUCAACUUUUAUUCUCUCUACUUUCUUUAUUCAAGAGCAUGUCAAUUGAGAACACCAGUGUAUCUUAUCAAAAUUUAUAUGAAAAUUAAUUGAGUGCCAUUGUUGUGAGUCCGACUUAUACAGAUUAUUCCUACAUGCAUAAGGUCCUAAAGAAACAAAGGAAAAGAGCUAGUUAGUCAGUGACAAUUGUGAUAAUUGAAAGUUUAGCAUUGUCAAUAUGGGCAGGGGUGAAACAUUAUAAAUGUUAUUUUAUGUGUUCGUAAAGUUUCUCUUAUACAAAUGAAAGUUUAGUUCUGUUCAAUCUGGCAUAUGUCUGUUUCUGAACAAAAUGUCAUAAUUUUCAUUCUUUGUUAUGGUCUACGUUUGCUGUAUCACCCAAAACGGUACGUACCAAUCCGGGCAUAGGCUGAUAUGUGGACCUCCUGUUUCGGGCAAUCUAGUUAAAAUAAUAAAAAAAUUCAAAAAAUUGGUGGGGCCCUAUCCAAAGCAGCCUUAAAAAAUAAAAAGAAAAGGAUUAGGGCUUGCAUUCACGAACCCUCUUCUUGCAUAAGAUGUUGCCACCUUGCCAUCACCGCUUCACCACUACUACUUCGACGCUUCCUCGCUGCUGCUGCUGCCACUUUGACACUACCGUUGUCUUGCCGCUGCCACUUCACUCUGCUCUUUUCCUUCUCUUCUUUCUUCUACUUCCUUCCUCCCUCCUUCCUCCUCUAUUCCUCCACCGCCCCUUCCCCUUCUCCCCCUUUUUCUUCUUCACCAAGCCACCGAUACACACCAGCAUACCAUGUGUCAAUAUACCGGUAUAGACUGAUACUCACCGGUCCAAAAAAUAGCCGAAACGGGUUUGGUACCCAAAAAGGCAAUCCUUGGUUAUGGUUGUCUUUCUAAGUAGAUUCUCUGUGUAAACUAUUUUUAUGCAUUCUCUUUGCUACUAUGUGUUGCCUUAAUUGUCAAAGUUUUGAGCGUAACUUGCUGAUGGAUAAUGUACACUUCAAAUACAUUGAUCUAAUGGUAGUGGAGCUAGAUCCACUUAACAAAACUUGAAGGUUUGGAACCUUACCUGAAAAUUUGAAGAUGUCAGUUAGACUUUUAUUGUUUCAUAACAAGGUCUAUUGAGUCUUAUCAUAUUCUCACCACUUAUCAUUUGUGAAAAAAAUGAUGGAUAAUGUGUCCAGAAAACAAGACACUAAGGAAAAUAAACAAAACCAUGUAAGGAUAUAAACAACUACCUGUUUUUUUUAAGUUGAAUUUAUGCAACAAUUUCAGCAAUAUAUGGCUUUGGAGUGAACAUAUCAUACUACACUUAGCAUAUGGUGCAUGAAUCAUAAUAAUCUACAUCUAUUUAUCGUUGAAUACAUGAAAUAUAUAUAUAUAUAUAUAUAUAUAUAUAUAUAUAUAUAUAUAUAUAUAUAUUAUUCAUGAUACUUCUCUUUACUUGUUUCUUCAUACAUAUCACAUAAUUUGUGUCAUGUGAACACUAAAGGUUAACGAACUUUCUCCAAACUAUUUAGAAGAACAGUCACUACCAGGUAUGUUUUUACCGCCCAAUACAUACUCGUUACUGGGCUUGUACUAGGUGAUAAGUGUUGUUUAUAGGAUUUACCUGGAGGUGAACCAUGUACCAGACCAGAACCGCCCAUCUGGUUAGGAUUGGUCCAUGUCCUAGCAACUGAACGAACUGAUAAAUCAACAGCAGUCCGCGUGGUUUUGCAAUCUAUAGUCAUGCAUCUCAAUUACAAGGAUCAAAGUAUGCUAGACUUUCUUUUGAAAAAAAUUUAUUAUUGAGACAUUUGCUGCUUUUGAAAAUAUUUUCUUAUUUCCUUAGUCUUCAUUAUCUAAAAGCCAACAACUAAGAAAUAACUUGCUUUAUGUGUUAGGUUUGUUUCCUUACACCAGGGUUUGCUGUACCGACACAUAUCGCCUAGUACGGGUGGUAUAUAAUGGUCCAACAUGGAACCGGUACGCGAACCACCGUAUACUAGGCAAUACCAUUACAUAACCCCAUAUCAUCCGAUACACAGUCUGUACUAGUCAAUAACGGUCAAAAUCUGACCAUUACCGACCAAGGGCUGAGAUUGCCCUAUUUCAAAUAGUCAAAUUGACCGUUUGAACAAUUGAAAAAGGUUUUUAAACCCUUUCCUCCCCCCUCUUUCAACCCAUUUCACUCUCUCAAUCUCUUCAACUCUCUCAAUCUCUUAAACUCUCUCAAACUCUUUCUCACUUACAUCUCUUUCUCAUUCUCAUAUUUUCACUCUCCUAAGCUCAACAAAACUAUGAUUUAUGGAUUAGAUCAAAUUUGAGAGGCUAAUUUGGGAGGAUUAAAAGGAAGAAUACUCUAAUCAAGAGAUAUGUAUUCUCUUUCUAGAUUUUUAUUGAUUUAUGAGAUGAUUAAGCCUAUUCUAUGUUGUUAAUGACUUAAUGUCUAAUAUGUUGUUUGAUAUGAUUUUAGUGAUAGAAUAGUAUUAAUUAAAGAGUAAUUAAGGACUUAAUGUUGUGAUUAGUGUGUUUAAUGCUUAUUUUUUUGAAAUUAGACACUUAAUGAGUCAAAUCUUUGUAUUUCAUGCAUAUUAAGGUGAUUUAUAUGUUUGUGAUGAUCUAAUAGGUGUAAUUAGAUUUUAAUUAAGAUUUUUAAUACUGUGAUUAGUGGUUUUAAUGAUGAUUUAAUCAAAUUUUGAUCAAUAUUGGGUCAAUUCAAUAUUUUUAAUACCUAUUAGGAUGUUUGACAUGUUUAUAGUGAUGAAAGAGGUCUAAUUAUGUUAAUGCUGCGAUUAGUGUCUUUAAUUAUGAUGAUAUCGAAAUUUGACCCAUAUUGGGUCAAUUAAAUGUUGGUACACCUCGAUACGUACCGUACCGACACAUGGUCGAUACAUUGGUACAGACCAGUUCCGCAAUCCUUACCUUACACUACAAAUAACAACAUUAUCUAGACAUGUGGUUGAUAAUAUAAUCCUUACAUUACCUUUAAAUAUAUUAAGCUUAUCUAAGACUAGUAAGAGAAUAAGUAAAAAAUAUUUAACAUUCAUAUGCAGGAGUUUUUGAAUAAUUUCUGAGACAAAAGUAAGUUUAACUAGAAGAGGAUAACAUGGUACAUGAGUUAUCCACCAAUGUGAUGUUGGGGAAAGUCAGUGUAGGCCCCUACAAGAAGCAAUGUUUCUGUGAAUCCAAACCUUGGCCAACCAGAUUGUAAAAGAACAACCUUACAGUUACAGAAAUGCUCACCCUCACAAAAGUAAGUUUGACAACUAAUUUCUUGUACAAUCUUGGUAUCAACAUCCUAACAGUAUCUAUCCUGCAUAAAAGUACUCAGCACUAAAAUAGACUAACAUCCUAUGAUAGAUUAUAAUUAACAAUUACUCUUGUUAAAGGAAUUGUCAAAUCUAGAUCACAUUUCUCGAGAUAAAAUUCCUUACCAAUUUUUUCAAAUCCCACCAAACACUAGUUCGAUCACACAACCGGUUCUACAAGAAAAUUUAUGUUCCAAAAAGCAAAAUAAAUUUUUACAAGGAAUUGAAAUAAUUUAGUAAUUGGUUUUUCAUGUAACAUAACAAAUUUCUAUAUGGAAAUUUUGAAAGGGAAAAUUUAUUUGCUUUCUGUAACACAUAAAACAAUAACCUCAUCUGAAACAUCCUGCUCCAUCAUGAUUCAUGCAAGGAGAUUGUAAAUCAUGUAUGGAGAAUAACAAUCACAGAAAUACAAAAAGGAGACAAAAAAGUGUGUAACCUUUAUUGUUGCAUGUCCAUUUGAUGGUUCCGCAGAAAAACCUGCCAAAAUGAGUUAAGACUUAAUAGUAUUCAGCAAACUGUAUCACAAACUAAUGAGUGAUGACAUAUGAAAAUUUCAAUAAAAACACUAAGCAGAACACACAUAUUCUGGUUCCAUUAACUGUAAAACUUAUGAUAUAAACCGAAAAAAAGAAGCCUGUGAUACUUGGAGAAGAACAUGGGAAUACAUGUCUCACACAACUUGCUUGGGUCCUUACCAAGUUUAUAUGGCUUCAUGAAAGCAUCCCUGAAAGGGGAUAUCUGACAAUAUGUGCUGGUGAGCUAAGGUGAAGAUGUACAUAAAAAAAAAUGACUUAUGAGCAUGACCUUUUGUCUGCUGAACUAUCAGGACAGGAUAUGUUUGACUGCAUGAAAAUAACAGGUUAAGAAGUACAAACACUGAGGAUUUCCAACUCAAGACUACCAAAUAUACUAGCAUUUAAUUCUUUAAUUCUCUCUAGAGCUAGGUUACAUUUAAAUUAUUUAAUAGAAAAUCAAUGAAUUAACAAAGAAUCCUCCCUCUAGUUCGAUGAUUCCUCCAGAUCCUGCAUUUUAAUGAUACCAUUUAUAAUUCAGUAUCUUAUUCCAUUAUGAAGUUGAUAUGCCCAUUGGUCAUUACUACACCUCCAGCAAUUUGUUGAUUUCCUCAAUGAUGUAGCAUGGAUCAUGCGUUUUCCAGUCCUUCAUUAUAUCUAUGUUGCAGCUUUGCAAGUCUCUUCAUUUUUACUAGAAUCCACUUGGUUCACUAUCAUCAUGCAUAUAAGUGAAUCAGUGAUGCCAAUCUUCCACAUGCAUCUCUCGUGUAAGGCGGGGAAAAGAGUGCCAAAAUACAGUUAUACAGUCCUCCAGAAUUCUUCAAGAACUGUGAUAAAUCAUUUCGUAGAAGCAGGUAGAGAUUUCUGGAAUUUGUCAUAAGAGACAACUAGAAUUUGACUGACUCAGGGCAACCACUUGUGUAAAUAUGCUGAGGUUUAGUAGUUCUCUUCUUGUUAUAUGCUGAUUUUUGUGAAAGAAUCCAUUUUACACAUUUUUGUUGGAUAUUUGGCUACUUGCAUUAGUUCAUUCAUAUUAUCUUCAACUGCAGAAUUAGUGGAUCUUUCUAUACUAGCUAACCAAGCUUUGAAUCGUAUAGAUCAGCCAGGAAAAUUGUACACUCCUGGCACAUCUUAAUUGAAUUUUCACUAAAGUUUUAAACUAAAAUGUAUUAACAAAACAUGACGUGAUCGUGCGCAUCACAUGCUGUCAUAUUAUAUACCCUUUUAUCGUAUUUACGUAAAAUUGUAAUAUGGAAAAAAAAAGGUUAAAAUUGUAAUAAGGAAAAGAAUAAAAUCACACCAUUGGGGGAUAUAAGCUUUUUGGACCGGAUGAAAUCCAAGCAAUCAUGAAGGCGCCUCCGUUCGAACUUCACAAAAUGUAGAAGCCCUUCCGAGAAAUACACCAACUUAAUCAGAGUCCCUACGGUCACCAAGAAAUCAUGUCAAAAAAAUUCAGAUAGGGGGAUUCCUAUUUGAGGCUGAUUACUAUGCGAAUCCACGCUAGGAUCGAAAAUUCAAAUACCAAAGCAUGCCAAGAAAUCAAUUGCAGCUACCUCCAAUGUCGAGCGCAAGGAGGGAUGAAUCCGGAGGCUGAUUGGGGAGGAAGAUAGGAGGAUUCCUCUCGUCGGGAUCGCCACGAAUCUCCGCGCCGCCGAGGUUGAGAUUCGCGGGACAUCCUGCCAUGAUCUCAGAGCUGGAAACAGAACAAUUUUUAGUUUGGUGGCAUUGGCGAUCAGCAGAUCGGAUCCGAAAUGGAGAGGAGCGGGCCAAACAACUACGGUGGGAGGUAGGGUUUCUGUAAUCAUCAUCAUCAUCAUAUUAAUAGGAAGCAGAUAAGAACCGAGAAGGUGCACCUACCAACAUCGUUGAAUUCAACAUGCACAGAAAAAUACAGUCGAUCGCUGCAAGCAUUGACCGACGGACACAACCCUUCUGAAUAAGGCAACCGUACGGUAGAAGACAGUUGUCAAAGAGUACAUCCCCUUGCAGCAAAUCGGAUAGCAGAAGUCUUGUUUUGGAUCCGAAUGAAACAUUUCUGGAAGCCAAUUAACGCAUGUGCGAUCAGACGCGCUUUGACGGCAAGUAAAUGCGGGGAAGAAAAGAAGAAUCAGACUGCAUCUAUCGCACAUCCCAUCAUGCGUUUCCCAAUGCAUUUAAAAUCAAAUAUGGUUCAAUGCAUAUAUAUAUAUAUAUAUAUAUAAAACCUGGAUAUUACAUUACAAAUGCUACCUCACUUAAUAUUAUCUAAAAUUACAAAAUAACCAAGAUGAACAUGAUUUAUAUAUUCUAUAAUAUAAAAUUUUAUUUAUUUAUUUUUUAAAACUUUUCUUUAUAUUUAUCUAUAAGGUUGAAAUUUUAUUUAUUGUAUAUCUAGGUCAUAUGAAUUUUUUUAAAGAUUACAUAUUUUUAUUUACUUAUUAAUUUAAAAUAAAAUAUAUGUAUUCACUCUUCAAUAAAUAUUUAAAAUAUUAGAAGGAUAAAUUUAUCAUAUAAUCUUUAAUAUAUUUUUUAAAAUAUAAUUUUGUCAAACAACAUUUACGUGAGUACAUACUUCAAAUAUAGUUUUCAUCUAUUAUUUACCAAUCACUCAAAGCACUUCACAAAAACACAUUCACUCAAGUCUUCUUAUCCAAAUGCAUAUUAAAAAUAUAAGCAUAUUUCUAAACAUACAUGUAUGUAUAUACAUAUAUACAUAUAUAUACAUAUACAUAUAUACAUAUACAUAUAUAUAUAUAUAUACUAAACACAUUUAAUGGUGGUUAACUAGGCUUUUCAGAGGGAUAUUAAGGGGAAAAUAUAUUAGUUUUUCUUGCAGGGGUAUAUGUGUCAGUGAAUUCAGGGAAAUACCAUACAUUUUGAGUUUUUCUUGGAUGGAACCUUUUUUAUUAUUAUUUUCUUCUCCUCAAACUCCUUUUUCUGUCUCUUCAGUUAAAAUUCCCCUCUUCUAAAAGCUCCAAUUCAUUAAAUCACUGGCUAUCCUUAAAUAUAUUAUAUUAAAAAUUUUAAGAAAAUAGUUAUUAAAUUUUGAGAAAAAUUCUUAUCCAUAUCAAAUAGUUAUAAUUGGUAAGUAAUUUUUAGAUAUUUUUAAUUGAAAACUAAGUUGCAUGGGAGGCAUUUUCUAUUAGUUGGAAUGAAUACACUGAAUCCAAUACCAAUAAUUCCAACAUUCCAACAUUAAUCACUAAAUCAAUUUUAUAUUUAUUUUUAUUUUACAUUAUAAUAAUAAUAAUACAAGCAUGAAAGAAACUAAAUCGAAGAUAUUAAAUAGUAAAAUUACAGGAUCUUCAUCACUUACCUUUAUAAAAAAGAAAAAACAACCAUCAUUGAAUGUAAAUGAUAGAAACUAUAUUUGUUAAGGCAGGAAGAAUAUAAAUGAAACUGUGACAGAGUAUUAUUGCAUGUAUAUUGAAUGAUAUAAACUGCGAUUAUGUUGGCGUCUAUGCGAAGCUCAAGAUAUGUUCAACUUAUCUUGUUUGCCACAGCCAUGCUCAUCACACAUUAUGAUGAGUGAACUCCAAUCCAUCAUGCAGGAGUUGUCAUGUUUUGAGAAACAAAAACAGAGUUGAAAGCUCCAUCUCAAUCUACCCAUACUCUUGACUUAAAUUCUUAGAAAGUGAACAACAUUGUUUCUAGGGUCAACUUAAAUGUUGGGACCAUUGAAAUAAAUGGGCAUGUUAGCUCUCUCUGGGGAGAAACUUGGUUGUCCUAAACACCUGUGUUAGAGUGCUGCUCUUUCCAUAUUCUUGACUUAGUUUCUGGGAGAAGUGACCAACAUUGUCUCAGCAAUUAAUUCAAGGUCAGCUUACAUGUUGGGAACAUUGACAUAAAUGAAUAUGGUAGCUAUUUGGGAAGAAACUUUAUAGUUUUAAACACUUCUCAUAUAAUUGAUUUGAUAGUUUCUGAGAGAAGUAAACAACAUUGUCUCUAACUAUCAAUUCAAGGUCAACUUACAUGUUGGGAACAUUGAUGUAAAUGGAAAUGCUAGCUAAUUAGGGAAGAAACUUGGGAGUCUUAAAAGACUUCUGCUGGCAGUCCCCAACAUGAGAGCCAAUUCCAUCAUUCAUAUCAUCACCAAGAUAGUGAGAGGCAACCCAAUCCCUUAGCAAACAACAAAUGAAAAUAGUAUAAUAUAAUAUUCAGCUGAGUGAUCUGAGGAACACAGCAGCUUCAUGUGGUUGAGCAAAUUAACAAGCCAUUAUCCGAGCUAAUUUAAUCCCAUGCCUUAACAUGGUUGAAAGAGACUUCAUUUAUCAUCAUGGUAAUUUUUAUAGAUCACAAUGACAAUUUUACGAAAUCAUUUAUGAUGAUGGAAAUUGAUUGUCAUACUAAACAUGCUCAUGCCUUGCUCGUCUGUCUUAACGCUACAAUGUAAGAGCUUUCUUCUCCAUGGCACUUAUAUUUUAUAUGCUAUAUAAGAUAAUAAUUAAAAAUAUAUGAACAUAUUUCUGCCAACUCAGUUAUGGAGACUGACAAGGUUUGAAUCUUUAUUCCACGUAUUCAAAAAGCAUAGCUAAUUUUGACCAGUAAGACCCUGCUGGAUCAUAAAGUUUUGGAAUCAAAACUUCAUCAUUUAUCUUAAAAAAAUAAAAAAACAUCUGUAUGAAUCUUAUCUUUAAAAAUGACUUAUUGUAAGCUCCAAAAUCUCUAAAAUUUCAAAUAAUACUGAUUAAACCUAACAAAGUAUUAAUUAUGUCAUGGGUGGGUGCCAUUUCCACUUGGUACAUGAGAACACAUUACAUGAGUCAUUGGUAAGAGGGUGGAGUAUCAAAAUACAAGUAGAAAAAAUGAUAGGAAAUGCUACAAUCGAAUCCACAACUUUGUAGUAGUUUCGGAAAUAAUAAGAAACAAAUGAAUAUUCAUAGCAAAAAGCAAGUUGGUUCAUAGUAUAUAUAUAUGCUCACAUGUCUCUCAAGCAUGAAUCACCAUUGACCCAGAAAUAGGAAUACAUUAGACCUUUUUACCAGUUGAGCUCAAAAUAUGCUUCUGCACAAACAUUUGUGAUCUGGUAUAUACAUUAAGGGAAUAUUUUUUUCUAAAUCAGCACUGAAGCAUUUGUGAAAAAUCCAGACUAUACUAACUUCUUGUUGUGUGCAUCCUUUUUCCAUCAACAGGUUGGUUGAAGUUAACAAUCAACCUUGUAGGUAUGCUCAUAAGCUCCACAAAAGAAUCCAUAUAACCAUUGCUUUGGUUGGAAUGGUAGAUCAUGUAAUCAAACAUGUAGUUCUGCUACAAAUAAGAAAUUAUGGGCAAUAAACUGCAAGCUGUCGAACAUGCCUGGAACAGUAGUCAAGAUGUGGGCAACAGCCUGCCAUUAUACAUCUUCUCUAGCAACUUUCGUGCCUCUGGUCGCCGAAGAAGCCCCUUGUUGUUGGGCAAGCCUGUGCCAAGACAAACUGGGCAGACCAGCUUUCCACGACCUGAACCAUCAUGUAUAGCAUUCUACUCAAUGAGUCUAAAUUUAAUAAAGUGGUCAAUCCUUUUAACAAUAAAAAAGGACAUGUUCCAAAGUUCAUGCAUGAGGUCGAUUUUCCAGAACAAAAUGAAGCUGACAAAUAAAUAAAUAAAUAAAUAAAUACAAGGGCAUCUUGUAGGUGAAGGAGAACCAUUGAGUCCAUUAGAAACUUCAAUUUUCAAUGAUGGCUAAAGGAGCAAAUGUUUAAUAAUAACAAAUGCACAUAACAAUUUAUGACCUAAACUAUAAACUUUUAGAAUUUAGAUAAAUGAGGAAUGCUAGCAGAAGUUCAUCACAAGUUUAUAGCUGCAUGCUGAAUCACAAGCUUCUUUUAUCGCUACCUCAUCAAAAUUCAAAAUAUAAGCAUAAAAUUUGUGCAGAUAAGAGUUAAGUGUGACAGGAUGAGUAAAACUACCAUAUAAAGCUUCAAAACCGAUUGAGAAUGGGUAAAGUCAACAAUAUAUAGAAACUUAAAUAGAAAUCUGAAGCAAGACCAUAGAAGAAUUUAACUUGUAUAUUUCUGUGUCAGUAGAACAUGAUACAAGUGAACAUUUUAUCUAUUAUGUAAAAGUGUUAAACAAUUAACAAAUCCAGAUAAGUAACAAGCCACACAUGUGGUCAGAUUUAAUAGUGAGAAACAUAAAAAAUUACAACACAGGAUUACUUUGUCAAUCUAAAUUAUAAAUGGUGCACCAUUCUUUACACUGUGGAUAUGUAUUGACUGUGUCCUGGUAAAACUCUAUAUGUGGACUAUGUGAAAAUCCUUUUGCUGGACUAAACCUACUCCUUGAUUCCAAACACUCUACCUCUGCAUGCCAAAGAGGUUUGCAAGUGUGGAUUUUGUACAUACUGAAUAGUUUGCAUAAGCUAUGACUGGACUUUUCCUUUUGUGUAAUCAUAUUUGUAUAGUUCCAUUCAUUGGCACCCAGCACAGUGAUCAUGGGAAGAGAGAUGAUUAAACUGACAGAGGAAUUUGACAGAUCAAAGAAAACUAAGUACUAUACAUCUUAAUGUAGCCAAAAACGAAGACACAAAUUGCCCAAAAACUUAAUGAAGCAUACUUAAAAAGACAUGCGGAAUAUAUGACAAAGGCUCAUAAAACUACAUACAAAAUUUAUUAUACAAAAUACCAAAGACACACCAUAACAAUUUGGGCACUCAGUAAACUCAUAUACAUCCUUUGCUCGCUUUCGGUUGAGUGCUUUCCAUUUUCCUGUGCCGCCACACAUGUCACCUAAGUCAAAGCAAGAGAAGAUAUUUAUCAGAAAAAGUCCUAUGGUAUCAGUCCUUGAAUAUUUCCAAAUGUUGUCAUUUACAUGUUGCAUUUUGAAUGGAAUGCACCAAUUUAAUAUCUCAUGUGUAUGGGUUCAUUCAAUGCGGAAAUAACUUGUGAGCAUGUGUUAUCAUAAACUGUAACCUCUUUGGCUCAAAUUGAAGAUUCAAUGCUAGAGUGGCUUAUCUCUUGCGAGACCACAAAUCAACAAGGGAAUAUGAAAUUUGUGAUCCAUCAUCUAGCUUCUUGUGAGCUUGUGAUUGCAACAGUUUGCUAUCCAUUUCACUGUGAGGGAAAUAGGGAAUCAUUUAAACUCUUCACAGACAAUCUGAUCAACUUGAAUUCAAAUUGAAGGUAAGGAUACCUAUCCUUGGAACAGAAGAUUCUGAACCAGUGCCUAUAUUCAGAAGUGGGAGAGAUUAAGAUUAUGUACAUAUGCUGUGGAAGCCCUUGCUCCUUAUACCAUCCAAGCAUGCCACAGUUAUCUUAUAAAUCACAAUUACCAGUUCCCGAUGCCAUGUUUAGAUUUUUCCUGCUUCAUACUACAAUUGAAUUCCUAUCAUUUGAAAUGACCUGUUUACACUAAUAUCACAUUUAAAAUGUAACUAGAAUAUCAACCAAUAAUAAGAUAAAAGGUUCAAACAACAUAUUUUAGAAAAGGUUGUUCCACAAUUAGGAGAAACAAAAGACAAAGCAUUAAGAGGAAAUUACAAAAAAACGCUAGAGAUAUGCAGCCCAAAGAAGCAAAUCCACUCGAACAUCAUCGGCUGUUGACAUGCAUAAUUUGUUAUCUGGAUGGAUCCCCCCUACAAUAUAAACUAUUAAGUUGCUACAUUGAUUAGUACUCUUAAGAAUGUGAGGAACCCUCUCUCUCCUUCAAAGUACAUAUUUGGCAAUAACCGAUCUCCACACAGGAAACAAAAUUAACUUCAUUAAGAAAACUACAUUAGCUGAAUAAUAGUGUGUGACAAGGUUGUAUGACCAAACUAUAGCUAAUAUGAGUUCUUAUGUGACUUCAACAAUCAUCAGGUAUUGAAAAUCCAACUAAAUUUCAAAAAGGAAGUAACAUGAUUUAUAUCCAGACUUAAUCCAAGUUUGUUUAAUCCUAAACCUCACAUGGCUCAACUUGAAAUACCAGUGGACUAAUUCUGGCACUAAGUCAACUCAAGCUAAAUCUUAUGUUGCAUAAACUCAUAUCUAAGACAGCAUUGUAAGUGUCUUGCACUUAAAAAGAAUAAAAACAAUAACUUAUAAAAGCAGACAUUGUUUGUGCAACAAUUUACGAAGUCUAUGGAAAAAGUAACACGACUUUUUAACUGAAAAUUUAUGUAUUCAAGUUUUCAUAGAAAAUAUUAGGUUCCAUUUUUGUCUCGGGUAUGGAAUCCGACAUACAGGAGAGAAAUCCAGCGUUUGACAUUUUCCUUUGGAGAGGGAAAAGGUACAGAAGGAGGAGCAUAUUGAAGGCAAAGGAAGUGUGUGGGAGGGAAGCAAAAAGAAAAAAAGAAAAAUACAACUAUCAAAAGCUCUUAAACAAGAAGAACAAUAAGAUUAUAGGAAUACUAUGUGGUUAAGCCCUGAUAACCCUGGAUUUAACCAUUUAAACCGAGCAGCAUGACAAUAUGGUAAUUGUAGCCAAUAGUAAGGGACCAGGCAUGUACAGGAACCUGAUUGGAAAUGUAAAUACAAGUUGAUACAUACUGGUCUACUGAUUUUUUUAAUCCUUACUUUAACAUGAGGUUUGAUUAGCUACAUCAACUGACAUUAAAGUUACAUCUUAUUGUCAGUUUUAUUAUGGGCCAAUUUGUCUACUUGAGUUCAGUUAUAGGGCUGGUCAGAUUUGGUUGGAGUCUUUAGCGGAUCAUGUUUUGUUUACUAAAGUUGAGUCAGGGUCUAUGUUCUAAAUGCUUCUAUUAAGAAAUUCAUAACCGUCUGGACGUCUGUCUCCAUUUUCAGUACCUAAACAGUCCUAUUAGUAUAAAACUCCAGUUAAAUUACAUGAUGGGGUAUUUUAGGGAGAUCUUAACUGUAAGAUGACUUUAGUUUAGUCAAGUGUAAAAAUUGUAAGCUGUAUUACUAUUACAACAGAAGGGGUUCUUUUACUGACACAUCACAGACCUUCCUUUCAUGCUAGUUAUGUUUUCUAUGCUUCAAUCUCUCCAUCACAAUAUGCAACACCUCAUUCUGCUAAAAGUUAUCCUACAGGAGAUCUUUUAUAAUUAAACAGCAGAAAUGAUGUUUCUAUAAAGACCUGACCUUAUACAGCUUUCUUGAUAUAUCAAAAGAAAACAUAAUGUGUAUCAAUACAAUUCUUACUGGACAGCUUUCUGCUGGUCAGACCUAACCACAAAACCAAUCUUAGUGUCAUUGGAUCAACCAGAGAGUAGGAAGUGAGUUUAUUUCAUCAAAACUCACCAUUCGUGUAAUAAACUGCCAAGGCUUCUUGCAUGUUUUCAUUUGAAUCUCAAGACCUGGUGAAAUACCUAAUUACUAAUUUCAAUUAUCGAAACCUGAAAAUAUCAGUGUGAAAAACCUAAGGAUUCCACAUUUACCUCUUACAUCUAAUAAUAUAAAACUUUGAUUUCAUAAAGCUGAUAGGUAGUAUUGAAACAGAAAUAUAUAUAAGGUAGUAGAACCACUUGAACAACAUAAUUAGAACACAGGAAAAAAAAUAUAAGAAAGGAAGAUGUCUCACAUAAUACUACGCCACUUCCAGCACAAUUUCGACAUACAGAUUUUAAUUUACUAGAGGAGCCCUCCAUCUUCUCUGAGGCAAGUCCAGUGGGUGCAUAGAAUGAAGGACCAGAGAUAUUUAUUACUGCUAGAGAUGCACAUAAACAAGUAAGGCAUUUACGUCUUGAAGGCAGUGACUUAGUUUCCUGCAUGAGAAAGUAAGACAUUAACAUGGUCAUAUUCCAAAACAAGAAGAUUUAGAAGGUUAUCAAAAUUUUAAACAUCUUUUAAACAAACAAGGUAUAAUCAUAAGAGUAUCUAUUAUAGUAAUGUAUAUUUCUGUACAUCUAAUGAGACAAAAUAAUAGUACAUAGAUGAUCCUGAAGCUAUUUCAGCAAUUGGCCCAUGAUAGCUCACAAUAACAAUAAGGGUCCUAUCACAAACUAUAUCGUCCAGCAGUUGUCAGCAUAAUUGGUUGACAUUCACCUUGACGCAUACAAAAGUUCAUAACCAGCUUUCUUAUAAACUAUUAGAAAAACAUGUCUUGUUAACUAUAACAUGCAUUUCAGAUAGAGUUGCCAUGAAUUGGACAAAGAAACUGACAUAGAUCUAUUUGAUCUAGACUUCUGUAAUGAUGACUCAAAUCCAAUGAUUGAUUCAGUAUGUGCACUGAAGAGCCUAACAGCAGAACCACAGGUCCAUCUUGUUUCAUUCUUGAGGGAGUCGAAGAAGAGGUACAGUAGAGAUCCCAGGAGAUUGAUCAGGACACAAUCAAUAAAUAUCAUUGACUACCUAGCUUGCAGGAGUCAAACUGAUGAAGGACCGAUAUGGGUCCCAAAUGAUACUUCAAACCUUGAUAGAGAGACUCUUGAGCAUCAUCUGCCAUAUUAUUUAAGUGGUCUUUCUACCUCCUAAAACAAGUUAGUUAUAAGCUUGUACAUCUAGCUUGUGUAGAAUAUUAAGUUGUAUUGAGUUGAGCACACGGAACUCCCUUUUGCCUGGACGUACUGGUCCAGGUGUGAACUGGUACAUGGACUGAACCCAUUUUGAGCUGUCUAGUCUGGCUAUAUAUAUAAAAAAAAACAAUUGCAUAUCCUCCUACUCAUGCUCGUGAUCGAGCCCUAGUCACAAGAGCCUCAUCGUGCAUAGUCACCCUCUGUCAUGCACUAGGAUGCCAUUUAGGUGCACUCCUCUUCUCCUCUUCCUCCUUCCUCCACCGCCUCCUCUUCCUUCCUAUUCCUCCUCCUUCCUCCUACACCACCUUCUCUUCUUCCUUCUUCUUCCUUCCUCUUCCUCCAUUAACUAGUCUUCUUCGGUACAUACUGGUCUACCAAAGAGAAAAAUUCUAUCUAGGUCUGCAAAAGAGAAGAUUUGACCCUGGAAAACUGACAAGUUUCUCUCUGAUAUUGGAAAGAGACAAGCUACCUCUAAUUUGAAAAGUGUAGGAAAAUUUUUAAUCUCUAACCUGGAAAAAGGAACCAGGUAAUGUUCUUGAUCUUGGCAAAAUGCAAAAGAAUGAAUGUAGAAUUUACUCUAGAGAUAGGGGUACAAUUUGUUUGAUCUUCACCAAUGGAAGAAAUCUUAAUGAACAGGUUACUUCAAAGAGUAGAGGAGCCUAACAAUGGAUGUAGUCAAGUUUUCUGAGCUAGUAUAAAUCUUGCAUCUCCUAGAUCUUUUACUUGAUCUUUGUAUAUAAGAUUUGUGCUUCUUACUAAUCGGGCUUUGGGAAAUUUAAAAUUUCUUUUAUUUCACUCCACAAAGCACAAAUUGACUCCCCUCUUGGUGCAUAAAAGGUCCAAUAAGCCUUUCUGGAACACCACUUCUGUUACAAUUGUAAUGAAGUUGGGAGCUACACAGGAUGCAGAAACAAUGAAAUCCUCCCACCAACUAACCUUAUCCAUGGAAGCAUAUUUUAUGUAUCAGCAACAUAAGUUUCUUCUAAGCAAUAGACCAACAAGUCAUUAGUUGAUUUUUGACUUGCUCUGGAUUGUGUUUUACACAGCUCCUUCAUGGUUCAUCAAGGAGUUUCUGUGUCAUGUUUGAGUGCAACACUUAUAUUAACAAACCUUAACCUAAAUUGAGGAGCAAUGAUGCAUCUUUUCAUCAAUGUGAAUCUAGAAUACCAAUUGUUCCUAGUGCGAGAGCUCGUGUAAACAAUGAUAAUAGUUAUAUACAACUGCAUAAAUACAAUAAAUGAUAUCCAAAUAUUUACUUUGCACAUGGUUAGGCAUUUUUUAAAAAGCUAUUUCAAGUUGGUUCCAUAUUUGUGGAACCAGAAAUUAACUAUACGUUGGUGCCAAACCCAUUGUAGUCACAGGAUAGCAGUCUCUGGUAACAUACUGUAAUGUGUCAUCUUUAGAAUUCACAAUCAAGUGCAGAAAGGGAUUAAAAUUUGAAAAAGUAGUCUAAAGGUCAUGUAUGCAUGCUCAGUUCAUAUUGGAUUCAAUAGUAAUCUUAUGCCUCGGUAACAAAAGAAGGAAAAAAAGAAGCUUAUAGAUGCAAUACUUCCGUGCACAGAAAAACCCUAGCAGAAGAGAGACAAUUUUAGUGAAAGACAAAUGUGAAUAUAUAUAUAUAUAUAUAUAUAUAUAUAUAUAUAUAUAUAUAUAUAUAUAUAUAUAUAUAUAUAUAUAUAUAUAUAGUCAAGAAUUUAAGUUUUAAAGAGCUCCAAAAAAAAGCAGAUCAUCUAACCUUCAUGUUAAUUUUGCCCGAUGAAGAUUCAGGGUCAUUGUGCUUCAUAGCUUCUUCCUCCAAAUUGGAGCUGACAUGAAAUUUAGCUGUCAUUGGAUUAGUUAGUUUUGACAUGCAAAAGCAUGAAGCACUUUGGAUGCUGUAAAGAUCUAUUAUUUAAAAUUGAAAUAAAUGGAACCCAUAAUAUAUAUCGAUCACACGUCGAAAUAAGUGACAGGUACUUCCUGCAGCAAGUAUGAACAACUUAAUGGAAGAAUAUACUGAAUACUUUGUUAAGAAGACAAUGCAGUAAAAACACCAGCAAAUGAUAGAUGACUUUCAAAAAGUACACAAAAUCAACCAUUGUGGUUUUACAUAAAAACAUAGAAGAUCAACACUACAGCUUUGAAGCCAGUUACUUGUACAAUUGAUUGUGAAAAGAAAAGGUACAACAUCGAACCAGAUUCUUAUCUUGCAAAACCAAAUUCAAGUCAAGUGUUUUUUCCAUUACAUACUGUGAUGUGUAUGGAUAUACAGUUACAGUGUAGCCAUGAAAGAUUUUAUUGAAAGUUGAUAGUUCAAAUUCUAUGUUUCCACUUAUACUGAAAGGCAAGUUUAUUAUCAAUCUUUCUUAAAGAAUUUUUUAUCACUUUCAUCUAUGCAACUUUAGGCCCUCUCCUUGUUCUGUUUAUUUAGUGCACUUCCAAACUGAUGUUAUCAUAAUACAGCUUAAGUACUCUACUCAUGUUUCCUACUUUUCCACGUUAUCCAAUUCAAACCUCUCACUUAUCUCAUGUUUUCGUUUCCUGAUUCUAGUAUGUUUUAACAACAGUUUCACAUAAAGAUACUCAUCUUUCAUAUGCAUUUGUAUGAUAGUAGUUUCUCAACAAACAUUGGCUUAUGCCCACAAAACAACUGAAUCUCCUCAAGGAGAAAGGAACAAAUUAUUGCAUCAUUCAGGUCAGGCACAAGUUCACAACAUCUGGGUAUGCUCAAACGAAACAGAAUUAGAGUGCCCAAUUUUCUGCAAAGAAGAAAACAAGUCCGCUAUCGGGUGACAGUUACAGUUAAUUGUCGUUCCUGUCAUCAUCAUCGCUUUCCACUAAUUUAUACUUCGUAGACAAAAACCCAGUACUAUUUCAUACCUCAAAUCACCGACAGAAACAAAAGAAAUUAACAGCUAAAAACAUACAAGAAAUCUGCAGAAAGAAGAUGCCUCAGAUCGUGCAACCUAAAUUUACUCAAGAAACCUUUUUAAUGAUAUUACAAAAUGGUAUCUUCUGCCACGAUUAAAGUGGGAGAGAAACGAACUCACCGCCACCACUCGCGAAGCCACCGCUUCUGCUUCUCCAUCGACUCCUGCAGAAGACAGGAGGGAGAGCGGCCGAGAGGAAGACGCUACAACUGCUCGCCAACUCCAUUCCCACCUUUCCUCUCCCACUCCGCUCUGGCGUCUCGGCCACACUUGGGUGCGAAGCAGCAGAGCCCGCCACAACCACAGGCCGGGGUUAUCUUCGGGAAACCACGCAUAGAAGUGCCCACGCGAGACUCCACGUGGAGUGCCAGCUGCCGUCGAAUGGAUCGCCGUAGCCGUUAACAGCAACCCGUUACAUCCGAUUAAAACGGCCGCUAUGGAUCCUCCCCAUAUCAUAGUUAAAAUCUCAUUCAGCCAAUCUCCCAAAAACAUUUUUCUUUAAAGAUAACUUAACAAUAUCCACUAGAUAACACCUUAAACAUUGAUUGAUGAUAAUAUACCAAACUCUUUUAUCAAAAUGGAGGGUUUGAGAUAUCAACUAAUAUAUUUUUAGCAUGUAUCAGCUACUUGGUAAAUAUAUUGAUAAUUUAUUAUAAGAUCUCGUCUUUAUCAUUUAUUCUAAAAAAAUCUACAAAAUAACUCGAGAUAAUAAAUUCUUAAUUUAGAAAUAUAUAUAAAUGUGCACCACCAUUAUAUUAUAAUUUUUUUAAAUUUUUUUUAGCCACCACUUAAAGUUGUAAAUAUAAAGUUUUUAGGGAAACCAAUUAUAUAUCUCUCGAUAUUAAGAUGAAAUUAGAAAAAUUAAAAGAGUAAGACUCUUUUACUCCUUAAGUUUGACCUCCGAGAAUCCAAGAAGUUAAUUAUAUAUUAACUCUUAUAAUUAGUUAUAUUUAGUAUUCUAAUUUUAUAUUUUUAAAAGUUAUAUUUGGAUUCUUAUACUUAUGAAAGUGAAAUAUUGAGAUCGGUUAAAAAGAUAUUUUCAUAAGAUUAAAAAUAAAAGAUUGUAUCAAAUGAAUAUAAAUAAAUAAUUUAUUUUAUUAAAUAUAGAGAUCUCAAUACAAUUUUAAUAGUAUCAUCAGAUUAUAUAUAUAUUUAUAUAUAUAUAUUCUAAUUAGGUGAGUUUAUCUUGCGAUUUGAUAUUUUGAAGAUAAAAGGAAAAUUAGUACCAUCACGAUCAUAAAUUACAUCAACAGAAGAUGACACAAAUCUUACAGUUGGACGGUAGCCUCACACUAAUGCUACGGAAGGACCAAAGUCUCAAUAGAACCCUCCUAAAAGGAAGAAAAGUGGAUUCGGUCCACCUAAAAAAGCAGCAGUAGUACUCCUCCACUAUACUCCCCUGCUUUCUGAAUCUGACUUGGUCAAACUCCUCAGCCUUCGAAGAAACCUCACCCUCCUCUCCCACCCGGCUCUCCUCUUCCUGCCUCUUGCCUUCUCCGGCGAUUCCUCCCAGCUCCAUGCCGCCGACCCCUCCUCCUCUUCCUCUCCUCCUCCUCCACCACCGCUGUCACCACUGCUUCCCACUCUCGCCUGCAGCUCCGCCACCAUUUUCCUCACUGCCUCCUCUGGCUCCUCCCUGUGCCGUAACAGCACCUCCCCUACCUCCGCCGGUGUCAUCUCCGCCCCUGCCCGAAUACAACUCUCCGCCACUCUUAACAUGUCAUGCUCCGUCGCACCGACGUACCGCUCGACUAGCUCCCUCAUUGCAUGCGCUCCACAUGCCCCCAGCCUCACAUGCACGUCCAUCCUCCCCGGCCGCAGCAGCGCUGGGUCGACUGCUUCCGCAUAGUUAGUCGUGAACACUAUUACCCUCUCCUCUCCGCAGCAUGACCACAGGCCGUCGAUAAAAUUCAGCAGCCCUGACAAUGUCACCCUCCCAUCAUUGCUAUUGCCGCAGCACUCAUCUUCGGAGUCAGAACUAUCGUUGCUGAUCGAAGGUUGGGGUCGCUUUCUUGCUGCUCUUUUCCUGCUGGCAGCAAGAGCUGCUGCAGAGGAUUUCGCGGUACCACGGCGGUCGCCAGUGAGGUCGAGAGAGCAAUCGAUGUCCUCAAUGACGAUUACAGAGCGAUUGCUUGUUUGGAUGAGCAAGGAGCGGAGGUCUGAGUUGUGGGAGACUCGGGUCAGCUCCAAGUCGUAGACGUCGUAGCGGAGAUGGUUGGCUAUCGCAGCAAUGAGCGAGGACUUGCCGGUGCCCGGUGGGCCAUGCAGAAGGUACCCGCGCUUCCAUGCACGACCAGUGCGGCGGUAGAACUCGCGGCCCGCCGCGAAUGCAUCGAGAUCGGCGAGGAGGCUGGUCUUGACUGGGGGAUCGAGAGCGAGCGUUGCAAACGUAGCCGGGUGACGGAAGGGAACAGAGGACCACGACGGUGGCCCGCCGCGGGGAGAAUUGGUGUAGAGGCGACGGGGGCGGGAGGAGCGCUCGAGGUGGUCGGCCUUGUCAGAUAGGUGGGAAAGGUAAGAGCCGAGAAGAGCAGCAGCCGCGCGCUUUGGCAAGCGGAGGGAGAAGGAGCGGCGCUCCUCGAGGGAGUCCUGGAGGGUGUCGGCUUGGUGGGUCCAGAGGAGCCUGUGGCCGGCGAAGGAAUCCUCAAGAGACUGGUUAGGGGAGAGGGAGAGCGAGGGAGCGGCGGCGGAACCGCGAGGGAGAGAGAGGGUGAGGCGAGGAGGAGCCGACACUGAGACGGCAGCAGAGCUGAGGAGGGACUGGUGGAGGUAGAGGUGGACAUGGCGGUAGAGGUCGUUGGGCUCGACGGCGGAGGAGCCGAGGAACUCGGGAACGUCGAAGUAGGAGUAGGGGGUGAUGGAGUCUUGGAGGGACUGCCACAUGGAAUGGAGAAGGGAAAGAAGCUGAGAAGGGAGAAUGUUUUGGAGGAUGGUCAGUAAGCCCAAGAGUGACCACAUCUGCGAUAGCAGCUCCAUUUUCUUCCACUGCAAUCGUUGCUGCUGCUGCUGCUGCUGCUGCUGCUUCCUCCAACUAAGCUUCGAGUGUUUGUAUCCUUGUGGAUGAAGGUUGGUAGAAAGUAGAGGACGAGGGGGCAAUGUCUAAGGCGUAUAUAAAGGGUAGUGAAAGAGAAGGGUGGCAUUGGAGGGAAUCGGGCAGCAUGGGAAUAUUGGGAACAGUCCAUGGAACGAGAGAAAAGAAGAUAAAGGCAUUAAAGUGAAAGGAACGGAGCAGCUGAGAACUCUGCUUUGUGUUUUGCUUUUCUUUGCUUCUUUUUGCUUUUACUUUUUCCUUUGUUUUGCUUUCGUGCCUCGAGGGAAGGAGAAGGUGAUAGUGAUGGAGGAGGGAGAAGAAGAAAUGCUUGUUUGAGCCCAGUCCGUGCACACGAAGAGUAGCUGACUUGCUGAAACUUUCUAGCUUCAUUUAUAAUGCUUCUUUAGUUCAUGCACAAGAAAGAUAAUAUGGAGUUAGCUCAAUUCUCAUUGAUACAUCAUCUAAGAAAUGCAUCUCGUUGCUAAAAUGUUUGAUAUUUGUGUGUAAACGAAGCCCCAUUAUAAUUUGAGGAUUUUAUUUCUUAUUUUUUAAUAUUAUUUACAUCGAUCUUAGAAAAGAGAUCACAUAAUCAAAAAAGAAAAAAUCCACAAUAUGUGGGGUUGGAUUUGGGAACAAUGAGACCAUGGAAAGUCAUUGGAAGUGGAGCAAGGAAAGUUAUAGCAUGUUAGAACUAAGAGAAUACACGAUUUAGAGUAAUGUUGCCGUCUACAAUGUGAGAUAGCCUCCCUAUCUUCAGGAGAAUUGACAUUAAACACCAUAAAACAGAAGGUUGGAUGAUCCAUAAAGUCUUCUAUGGGUGGUAAGAUUCUUGUUAUAUUUGCCAUUGUAGUCCAAAGUAAGAACAUUCAUUCUUGUUAUAUUUACCAGCUAAACUGAAGAUCCAACAUAGUUGAUCUAUCCAGGAUAUGUUCAUCAAUUAACUAUAUUUGAUUCGCUUUAAUUAUUUAGUAUGAUUUAAGGAUCGAUUGCUUUGUCGUAAACAUGUAACUUCAAUUAAUUUUAAAUUUAAAAUUAUCUAAAUUAUUAGUCUAAUUAAAUUAAAUUAAUAAUAGUAGGCAAUUUACUCAUUCUUAACAUAUGAGGAGGCAUAAUCCAAUAAUAACUAUGUGAACAAUUUAUCGCAAUCUAGUUUGAGGAUUACUGAUCUACUAAGUUAGUCGAGUUUGGAUCAAUGAUCUAAAAUAUUUAUAUACUCAUAAAGUUGAUAUUACGAGUAUCCAAUUGUGCGAGGCAAUUGCAUCACCCAUCAACCUGCUUCAACCCUUCCAACUGGCCAUAAAACUCCUGCAUUCUUCUUCUCAAGAGGAGAAGGUUUUCCUGCCAUAAUCUAUAGUAGUAGUAAUCCAUCAUGGCUUGCACUUAAAGAUCUUCAUAUAAGAACAAACCUUUUUCCAUUGUUCAAUCUCACCUGUGUGAAAAAUACAAAGAAAAAGCAUUUAUUCUCUUCCCUCUCGUAUUUUCUUUAGACAAAGCCAAAGCCUUUAGUCUCCUCCUCGUAUGCCCUUUGUUGACAUACAACGCUGCUGGCCGAGGAAAUUGGAUGCUAUUUUAGCUGCGUUACAAAAGCUGAGAAAAGGAUGAGAGUUAUAGGUCAGUCCACGUGAAAAGGAAUCAAUGUUGAUAAGAAAGAAAUAGACCAAAGACAAAACAUAAAGGAUUAUAAAGAACAGCAACGAGGGAAUGUCAAUAUUCUUUGGCCCAGACUUCUUUUGUUCCCCUCCUAAGUCACUGAUAAAAGAGAUGAUGUUGUGAAAACUACGGUGCUGUGACGAAAUUUGGUCAAAAAAUAAUUAUAAUUGAUGAAAAUAAUAGAAGAUAAGAACAAUUAUUAAAGAAACUUUAUUGAUGAAAAGAAAAAACUUAAAUAUAUUAACAUGUCCCUCUCCUAUUUAUACAAAUGAUGCUCCUGUUAAGAAUAUCAAGUAGAGCAAGAGCAGAUCGUUGCUGUUGCUGUGAGGGCACAAGCGUUCCUUUAAUUUCCCUUAAGUCCGUCUUUCGUUCUCCUUAAGUCCGUCGACCUCUUAGGAAUUUGACUGUUGUGGCAUUAGUCAUUGACCGAAGGCAAAGACGAAGCUUUACUUUUCUAAACGGCGUUGAUCAUUGGUAGUUAAGAAAAUCUUAUCUUCUAUCAAUAAUAAGAGACCAAUUAUAGUAUUAGAGUUCAAAUGCUUUAGAUAGAAUAAUGAUAUAUCUGUAUCAGAUUUAAUUCGUCUCCUUUUAUUCCACAGAUAUAAAUAUUUUCAGCAAUUACGUACUGUAGGUCUCUAUUAUAAGUGUGUCAAGUGUGUCUUGCAUCAACGAGUGAGUCACGUUUAGAUUUGAUUGAUCUGAAGUCAACCUGUCUGUAUACCUCUUGUUUGGUUUGCAUUGGAGAUGGCAUCUUCAGCACAUGAUUAGGAAUCCGAUUAAAGUUUCAUGAUAGCUUUCUCGUGGGCUUGUUUUAUUCCUUUAGUUUCGAUUCCUGCAACUUUCUAUCCCUUUCAUAACCACACUCCUUAUCUUUCUCUUGUCUUUAGGCUUCUCCAUCAGUCUCUGCUGCUAAAGGUGCUUAGUGGCAUUGAGUAGGAGCUAAAGCUUUAAAGAAAGUUGAUGUCCUCAAACCAAUACGACAUAGUGGCUCAAGAAUCUAUCGCUCACAAGUCUUAUAUGCUCAUAAUUAUGUUGCUCUCAAAUAAAUCCUCCUGACUGGGAACAUGAACACAAAUAGGUGACUGCCAAUGAAGUUACCAAAAGCAAGAGCUUGUAUUAGAAUAGCUUAAUGGAGUUUCACGCUUGUAAAAGCUGACUUGCAACGAAAUUAGAAUCUUAGGUAUGUGUGUUAUACUGCUGCAACAGAAGAAGAUUACACAGAAAUGUGCAAGCCAUAUGCUCGAGCAGCUGUCAUGUUGUCAUUAUCUUUAGCUAAAAGCACUUUAGCUUCGCUCGAGUUAAAGAACACUUUUCAGAGGUGAAUCCUUUUAGCUACAAGACAAUGCUCGGAUAGGACGAGAAUGACUGAAACCUCAAAGUCAAGAGAGCUUUUCUUUGCUUGGAAAUGCAUUAGUUGUUGUACACCUGAAUUAUUAUGCUUGAAGAGCUGCCGAAGAGAGCUCUUCUUCAUGCCUUGGCCACGAAUCGCUUGUGAUUAAUGCAGACCAGAGUUCUUUGCAUCAAUUCGCUUGUGAUUAAUUUGUAGCAUGGAAUCUUAUCCUAUUAUUUGGAAAGAUUGUGCUGUAUGAUCGAGAAUUUAGGACUGCAAUCGAUUGAGUGCUCGGUCUUUUCCUUUGUUUCUGACCCCUGCAACUUUUCUCUCUCUUUCUUAACCACUCUCCUUAUAUCUUUGGUUUAUCUUUAUGCUUUUCUACUUGGGCUGUUGAUAAAAGCUAUUAGGUGCCAUUGAUUAGGAGCUAAAGCUUACAAAAGCUGAGAUGGUCAUAGUUGCACAAGAAUCUAUCAUCAGGUAUGAAGAUGAUAUGCUCAUGAUUAUGUUAUUUCCAAAUCCAUCGUAUUGGGAACAUGAACAAAAAGGCAGAACCUUCUCCUCUACUAGUUGAGUAUAUGAACAUGGAGAGUUGAAGCAUUUGAGAAGCAACAUCUGCUGUUACAGGAAAGUCAUCAGCUGUAUAAUGACUGCUCUUCAUUUCAAACAAGAGAUCGCCUUGACACAAGAUUUGAAUCAAAUGAUACUCAAUGUAGCAUUCAAAUCUGCUGGUUUUUUAGUGUCAGGCAGGUGAAUGGCACGCAGGAGCACAUAGUUAAAGCUAACAAAGAGGUAACAGCUUGUAUUGGAACAGAUCAAUGGGACGCAUGCUGGUAAAAAGUGGAUUUUUAGACUCAGAUUAAAGUCUUGGCCAUGUGUGUCAGACAGAUUCCAUCUCUAAGAUUUCAAGAGUCCAGAAAUGUGCAAGCCAUUUGCCCAUUCAGAGCAAUCUUGAUGUCAAUGUCUUUUGCUAAGAACACCUUUAGACCCUUUUUACUAGAUGCCAAUGCAAUGCAUUCAAUCUUUCAUGUGUUGAUGUGUCUCUACCAUUAGCUGCUAUAUUGACAAGUUGGAUGAAGUUCUUUGGUGUGCCAUUUUAUGAGGAUGAAACAUGCAACGAAAAUUAGAAGUCUAAAAUCUGUAGAGAGAGAGAGAGAGAGAGAGAGAGAGAGAGAGAGAGAGAGAAUUAGGACACAUAUUUCAAAUCAAUGAUGUUAUCUCAUCUACAUGAAACUGCUACUCACCCAGCUUUUUUCUUGAAGGCAUAGAAACAGUGAGUGGCACGCAUUAGCAAAUCAAUAAAGGGAAACAUCCUCUAUUGCAAAAGCUCAAUGGGGCCGCAUGCUUGUAAAAAGUGGAUUUUUAGACUAAACUUCAAAAUCUUACCCAUGUGAGUUAGAUUCCAUGUUUAGGGGAACCAACAGAAGAAGAUUGUACAAAGAAAGAGAGAAAGGGAAGGAAAAUUAAAGAUUCCUGAAAUGUGCAAGCCAUAUAUGCUCCACAGAAGUUUUUUAUCCAUAAAAGUCUUUUGCUACAAGAUUGAGUGAGUUAUAUAGUUCUACAAAAUUGUCACAACAUGGGCUAAUUGGCCGUCAACUUUAUCGUCUGAGUUAAAUCAUUGAUUCGACUCCAAUUGUCACUAAACAAAAUGUUUAAAUUAAUAUUGAUAAAAUUAUAUUCAUCAGAUCCUAUGAGUCAAUCUAAGUGUGUCAUUUUACUUAAAUUUUACUCAUUUAACCUCCCCAUAAAAAUUAAUUUUUCAGUAAAAACUGAAAAUUGGAUAUAAUCUUAUGGUCUUUUGACAAAAACAAAUGUAUUGGUAUGUUCAAUGUAAAAAAAAACAAACAAACAAAAAUUCAUAAAUUGACUGAAAUUUAAAUGAGAUGAUAACCUUAUCGAUUCCGUCAAUAAAAUUUUAUUGAAAAAGUCCUAAGAUUUAAUUAUUCUUUGCAAACAAUAAACUGAAUCAAUCUUGACUCCUAAGAAACAUCAUACAAUUGAAUACAUAUGACAUGAAAUCAUAAUUAUCAAGAAUCGGACUAGACAUUGAUUCGAUCUCAUCUUUAGUCAUUGGGUCAUUGGUUGAGAUCGAUUGAUCGACUGAUCCUAUCGCAAGUUUAAUAUUUUUUAAAAUAAAAACAAAAAUAUAUUAGAUUAAAUAUAUUGAUAAUAUUAAAAAAAAGUUUAUAAAGAUGAAGUGGUUAUGAUCCCUAUCAACUUAAAUCUGGACAUCAAUCCAGCCAUUUUGUAGCUGUAUCUGUCAGGAUUAUUAAAGACUACGAAUGAAGACAGUAGCAAUUGUGAGGAGAAGAGCUUCGACAUAGGAACAUCCAUCCGUCCCAUGAAGCCAACGUAUUGUACAGAACACGCCUAGCUGCUAUUAUUUUGGCCAUUGUCAUCAUCUCCUUGGAGUAGAAUAGCAUGUAUCCACUCGGUCCCUCGGAUCAAUCGAUGAACUCGUUUGGUUCCCAUGAAGCAUUCUCGUCCAACGAAUACAAAAAGAUCCACUUUCUGGUUCUCCUCUCUCCUCUUUCCUUCUCUUUGCUUCGGUUUCGAGGAACAGAAAGGCAUGAGUUCUGAGCAGGAUGAUCAGCAACGUCGCGGCUGUUGCAGUAGCCUCGCCGGUUUCUUUUCUGUUCUCUCGGAGUCUCAGCACACAAGCAUGCCAAGACUCGAUAAGAAGGUAUCCGACAUCCACAAUUAUGUUUGUGUAUGUCUGUCUCUAUUGCACUGGUUGUUAUAUAGUCUCCUAUUUCUGGGCAAGAUUAAUGAGCUCAAAGAGGAGGUUCGACGACAGAAAGAGCUCAAGGAGACCUACAAAGCCCGGCUCGAGAGGACGCAGGAUUAUCUCAGGUACUGUUUAGAGGUGGCAAAGGAGAAUGGAUUCUUGCACCACAUGUCCGACGAUCAAGAAAGCACUCUCCCCACGCAAACCGACCAUCAGCAGCCAAGUUUACAGGCAGUGGAUGUGGUGCCGAGUGACCCUCGUUUGGCCGCCGUGAUGGAUCAAGCUAAGCUGAAUGGUUGGUACGUUGAACCGGAGGAGGUAAGUGCCGUCGUCUCCUCUUCUUGCACAAAGCUCUUGCUUCAGCAAUUAAAGCUCACAAUUUUUGCUUUUGUAGUUGUAAUGAAUGCAACCAAAAAUGAUCAACCUACACUAAUUAUAAAUGAGUUUUGAAUACUUAAUUUCCAAAAACACAAAAAUCUCGAAUCCGGUCGGUCCUUUGACUCCUUCUUUGUUCAUAUGCUUUAACAUUAAUGACGUCUUGUUCAUAUGCUAGCAGAUAGAGUUGCAUGAACAAAUUGGUAGAGGAACUACUGCCGAUAUAUACCGAGGGACAUGGAGAGGGCUUGGUGUUGCCAUCAAAUGGAUUCACCCCAGCGUCUUCGAUGCCAACGGAAGCGGCCAAGCCUGGUUCGCCGAAGAACUCCACACUCUGUCACGCCAACGCCAUCCCUACGUGCUGCAUCUCAUGGGCGCAUGCUUCCACACGCCACAAAAGGGAUGGCUGGUCACCGAGCUCUUGAGUGGGAAGACGUUAGCGGAAUGGCUGCAUGGGCACAAGGAGAGGCGAAGAGGACGGUCUGUGCCUCUUCCUCCUCUGGCGGAAAGGAUAGAGAAGGGACUGGAGGUCGCCAUGGCGCUGCUGUAUCUUCACCAACAGAAGCCCAGGGUCAUCCACAGGGAUCUCAAACCAAGCAACAUACUUUUGGACGCCGCUACGCACGCUCGAGUCACGGAUUUUGGACAUGCUCGGCUUCUUGCUGACGGAGAGCAAGCUCUCACCGGUGAAAUGGGUAAGACCGACAGACCAUGACUGUCACAGUACACAGUAGUCUGAUUGAUCGAUCGCGUGUUUCGUUUUGGAUGAUGAUUAGGGACUUUCGUGUACAUGGCUCCUGAGGUGAUCCGUUGUGAACCCUAUACGGAGAAAUGUGAUGUUUAUAGUUUUGGCAUCAUACUGAAUGAGCUGAUCACCGGUGAGCAUCCCUACAUAGAGACGAGCUUUGGUCCCGCUAAGGUACGAUUCAUUUACCUGCUCCGGUCCUCGAACGAUAUAUGUAUGUUAACGAUUCCUUCCAAAUAUGUGGUCUAAUCGCCAUGAAUGACUGAGAUCUAGUAGUCUAAUCUGUGCAUUUCUUCAUGGCAGAUUGCGCUCGAGGUGAGUGAAGGCAGGCUUCGGCCAAAGCUGCCCGAGCAUGAUCAUGAAUGCAGAGAGCUCACAGAGCUUAUAUGCUGUUCUUGGAGUGAUGAUGCUUCAGCUAGACCCUCCUUUGCAGCGAUCAACUUGGCUCUUAGGAAGAUCAUUGACAAGUUAAAGUAGUGGCCAAGUCCAAUUUGCAAGGCAUUUUUCUUACUGUUCUACAAGGAGAGGGAGAGGGAGAGAGAGUGGGAGGGAGGGAGGGAGGGUACAGUUUAUAAACUGACAUCAUGACAUGCCAAAUGAAAUAUGGUGCAUCUAUCUACUUCAGUUAGAUUGCCUUCAAGCAUAAGCCAAUACUGUUGCAAGGCAAAUACGAUACUGGUUUAUUUCGCUAAGAAACAAUAUUUCUCUGUUUAACUAACAAGAAAAUCCAAUUUUUAAUCCAUGUCAGUAUAUAAGUAUCAAGAAACCCUUAAACUGCUGGUACAAGAGGAUCAAUUUUCCAUUGGUAAUUUAGCGAAAAGAACCUUUCUGUAUAUAUGUAAAAGAAAUAUAGUGUAGAAUAGUACUUUGAAACAUGAAACAGGGAAACAUUAAAUUACAUGUAACAAGAUUGUUUUCUCCAAGCCAGACAUAUAUUAACACAAUAAAAGUUACUGCAGUAAGUAAAUUAGAAGAUACCCAAGUUCAUUCAAUAGUGAGCAAACCAAGUGUAGUUGGAGAGAGAAGUAUCAUCACAGUUCUAGUUUCAAGAAAACAAACAUAAUGACAAAAAAAUGGCAGUUAAUUACCACAGGUAUGGAAGUAUUGGUACUGGAAAAAAUUAUUGCAGUAUGCCACUAAAAGGUUUUAAGAGCAAUGUUUUUAUUAAUUUGUGAAAAAGUAAGUUCAAGGUUAAAUCACUGCAUAAAUUUUAUCAUGAAGUAAAGCGAACCAAUGGACUAGUGAACCAAGGCUCAGCCGGCUCAAUUCUCAGUCCGGAUUUGAUAACUAAGAUCAUUAAAGAAGUAAAUUGAUCUGAACCUUUUCAUGCAUUCUGCAACAUUAGCAACAUUAGAGUAGAACAAUAUCAACAAUUAGGCUAGGAUUAGGGAACAAAAUACUGCUGAUGCCUCGAGUCAAAAAGUCAAUCUAGUUAUAAAUAUGGGGACACCAUGGUAGGAGACGCAAAUGGAUUUCAAUUUCUCCAAAUGACUUUAAAGAUAUAGUAAUACUAUCAGAAGAAACAAUAUAAGUCAUGAAAACUGCAUUAAUAAAUAAAUCCAACUAACGCACCUGCUCCACAAUUAGCACCGCAAGUACAACACCAACUUUUGUGAAAAGAACACACGAGCUUCCAUGAUCCAGAAUGGAUCAUUUGACAAAGAAUUUAAGUUGUUUAACAAAAAUUCUCAGCUUCAAUGUCUAUAACAGAGAACAGCGCUUCGCUCAGAAUGGUACAUCUAUCUGAUCAAGAAAUAUCUGCAUAGAACUCAGCGAGUUGAAGAUCACUUCUGACUGAUGUAAAAAACCAAACAAUAUCUGAAGGUUGAGAAACCAUGGUGUAUAUUUUUUUUCAUAUGCGAAAGAACCAUAAAUUCUGAAUGAUGAAUUAAUAAACUGAGACCUCAGCAUCAAUAAAAAUAUCCUUGGUCCACUGCAACUGAAGCAUGAUAAAGCUCGAUCCAGAUUCUGGCAGUGAUAACUUUCAAGUUAAAAGUAAAAUGGUGGUUGUAUUAGACCAGAAUUCAUAAUUCAUUCUCCCCGUGUGCAUUAGAAAGAUACGAGAAUCCAGUAACAAUUAUGUACAGAGCUUUCCAAUCAAGUCAAGGAGGUAUUUGCUCUCCAUGGAAGGAUUAACUGUGUCUGUCUUCACAACAGUUAUUUUCACUCGCUGCUCUUCACCAUAGUGUUCUUCCUUGAUUUUGAGCCUAAAUAGGUACUGCUCAAAGAGGCAACGCCGAAUGAUGUCUCCAAACUUUUUAUCAUCAUGCUCUUGAUGUUUUAGCUGAUAGAGCUCCUUCGCGGAGCAACCAAUGAUCUCCUCUCCAGACUCCUGGAAGGCUGUCACCCAAGUCACUCCUGUAUGGUCCUGCACUUGUGCCUGAAGAAGAUACCGAUAAUCACAUUCUUCAAAUUCUUUAGAACAUCUAUCACAGCACCAGUUCCCACUAGCAAGCUUUGUCACCUUCUUAUUACAUGGCCUAUCACCAAUUAGUAAAGGACAAGCUGUGUAACAGAAAUUAUCUGUCUUGAUGAAUGAGAUGGUGGCUUUGACAGUCACCCAGUCAGGCUUAUUCCCCCUUCCAAGACCCUCAUCUUUGAUCUGCGACACGGUCUUCCGGCUAUCAUUUAAAGCAAGCCCAGGCAUCAUAUCUUUAGAAAUGGAGUGGCUGGAAGCAUCCUUUCCUCCUCCAUCAAACCAUUCUCUCAAGAUAUAAGUCUCAGGAAGAUCAGGAUCUAUAAAGAGUUGGGUGGAAGAAAUUGUGCCAACUGACUUACCACUGAAGUCACUAACCUUUCCUGCCUUCACAGCUAAUGCAGGGAAUAAACCAGAACCAAGCUUCUCCUGUAGUUGUCUACCUUCUCUGUUGCAGAAGUCUCCCCAUAAAGUUAGCUCAACACUUCGACCAGACACAUCCUUCAAAUUAAGAAUUCUUCUUUGUGUUUCCAUACCAUUCUUCCUCAGUAUUGUCAUCGAAGGGUUAAUAGAUUCAACAAUCCCAAUAAUAUCGAUGAUUGAAUUGUUCUCUGCAUUCUCUAUAUCAAUGAUUUGUCUGAAAUUAAAAUGUUGUGUUGGAAUAGAGCUGUCUUCAUCUGGACAACACUCCAAAGUUGUUGUCGACUCCAAAAAUAUUUCCCAUUGAUUGUUGAGGUGGUUAAAGUUCUUCUGCGCAGGUUUUAAGCUUCCCUUUGAAAUUAGGUAAAUCUUUCCAACCUCCACAGCUUCAUAGAACCGGUCAACAACAGCGUUGAAACAAGUUGCACGUAUCUCUCCUCCAUCUGAAUCAAGGAGAUCAAAGGAGAACACUUUGCCAUCUCCCUUAGCAUUAUUAUAUCGCCGGAUGUCUCCUUUGGCUGUCACUCUUGCUUUGAUGGCCCAUCGCCCCUGAUAAGGAUUUAGAGCAGCUAUCGGAAUUACCCUAGCAGGUGCUUCAUUUUUCAUGAUUGACCCAUAGCUCUUGUAAUUGGAUGGAGGCCGAUAGACGGAUUGCACAUUGAAGUUCUGGACUUUGUUGCCAGAGUUCAUUGCUGAGCUGGAAACAAGUUUUGCAGCCGGGACUAGUGACUGAACUCUUGAAUUCCCAAAAUUGCUACUAGAUGAUAAGUCAAGAGUCUCUGAUGCAAAUUCUGGAUGUAGUUUGCGAUUCCCAAUAGUCUCACAAUCUCUAAUUAUAAUCUUCAUUUCCAAAAUGACAAUGAUCCUGUGUCAUGACUGGAUCCAUUAUUAGUAAAAAAGUAAAAAAAUCUGAGAAGGCAUAUUUAAACAUAUGAAAUUCUCAGAAAAAGAUGCAUCAUGUAUAUCUCCCUACUAUAUGGGGUUGGCUACACCGACCUUUUUCUGCUAUUGAGUUCUAAUUAAGGAACCAUCAGAAUUAUGGAUGAAAGAAAGAUACAAUUUCUGCUUCAUUUUGAAGAUGAACCAAAAAAUGAUUCAUCUGAACUCUAACAAUAUUUCCACAUCAGACAUACUCUUUCUCCAAUUUGCUCCUCUACAUAUAACGUACUUACCAAAUACAAAAUAAGGACAGAUAUACAUAUAUUUACAAUAAAAGAAUAUAUUUUUUAAUUAUUUUCAGUGCAAUUCAAAAUCUCCAUUUGUAUCAAAGAGAAAGGGGAGAAUCAAAGAAGCGAUCGAUAGACAAACCUCUGGUUCUUGACGGUGCUGCAAACGUACUCCAGCAACUGGACGACGGACCCACUCCUCACCGCGCCGCUCUUUGCGGCCUCAUUGAAUUUGACAGCCAGCAGCGCUUUCUGCGCCGCGGAGCCGUCAGACACCACCGCCCGGUACCGCUCCUGCGGCUCAGCUAUCCGCUUCAAAUCCAGCACCUGCACUACAGGCUUCAGGUCGAGAUCGCCAUCGUUCACCGCCGCGAUCGCGUUCGCCGUCAACCGCGCCGCCAUCCCCCGCGUCCAACUCCCGCCUCACGAGCCGAUAAUCGAGAUGGAAGGCUGGAUCUGAUUCUUGCAGCUCCAAUCGGCGACGAGAAACCGAAUAAUAUGGGCAAGAGCUGGGAAUUCAGGGAUUAGAGAGCUUAGAAAUCGAUAAUUUAGGGCUCGAGGAGAGCCAAUGAGGUAUGGAGGAUAACCGAACACGGAGUUUCUCGGGGCCGUGAUUGUUACGGUUGAAGUGAAUUAAAAACUUAAGCAUAUAUAUAUAUAUAUAUAUAUAUAUAUACAUUCUAAGAUUUACUUUAAAAUAUUAUAAAUAAUCUAAAUAAACUAUUAACAUCUACCAAACUUACUAUGAGUCUAAGAAUAUGAUAUUAUAAUGAUAUAUGAGUAAUGAUAAUCAAUAAAAAUAAUAUAAUAUCACUGAUGAUAUUUUUUAUAAUAUUUACAGUAUUUUUAAUGUAUUAAUAAGAGAUUAUAAAUAUUAAAAAAAUAAUAUAAACGAUCCAAAUAAAAAUAUUGUAACAGUUUCAAUCGGUAAAAAUAAAAAAAUAAAAAAUUUAACAAAAGAUUUUUUGAUGAGUAUUUUUUUAAAUUAGGGGUAUUGUUUGAAAAAAGUAAAAAAAGGGAUGUCUUUUAAAAAAUACUUUUUUUUUAAAUCACACACACACAACAUAUAUAUAUAUAUAUAUAUAUAUAUAUAUAUAUAUAUAUAUAUAUAUAUAUAUAUGGAUACAAAUGCCUAAAAUGUAUUUAAAUAAUUACCUAAAGGAUACAAAUGAAUUUAUAUGGAUACAAAUGUAUUUAAAUAAUUACCUAAAGGAUCUUUUCUAUAAUAUAGUCAUGGUUAAAUGCCUAAAAUGGUAUACACCUUCUUGAUUACAAGUGUAAUUAUGUAGCAUUAUGAUGAUAUAUCGCGUGACGAUGAUGUGUGUGGAAUGAUUCACGUGCUAUAAUCUACCUAUCAAAUAUGAUACUUAUAUAAAAAUCUUAAGUUUCUCGAUUUCUUCCGUUCUAAAAUAUAUUUUGGGUGCUGACCUCAACGUUUAAUGUCUUAUCAUAAGAUAUUUAUUUUGAUAGACUAAAAUAAAUCAUUUAUGUCCAUUAAUAUAUUUGAUUAAUAUGAUUGAUGGUCAUGUUGUUGUGGCAACUCCUCGAGGCUUAUCAGCAAAAUUAAGGUGACGUAAGUAAGUAGACUCAUCGUGUGAGGGGCAUCGAGGUUUGACAUAAAGAAAGACUCAAAUAUAAAUGAUGUCAUUAAUAUCCACUAAUUAAGCAUGGCAAUAUUUGGUAAAAGGAGUGUUGAUGCCACGGUAAAAAUGGCAACAAAGGCAAUCAUCAUAGAGUUAUCCUUCCUUCCUAAGCGACAUGCUAUUGAAAACUUGAGUUGUCCGUAAAUGUAAACAAACGUACACGAGACCAUGGAAUUCGAUGCGUAGGGAUAAAGAUCUAUUACCGAUAACGAGGGGGUAGAACUCGCCGCCUGACAUGGGGAGCACUGACCUGCUAUCACAGGCAUACGAUCGGCGGUGGAGUAACUCGGGUACCCGAUCAUAGUGUCUAUGCCCCUUCUAAUAUUCAAAUAAACACUUAAACACUUUGAUAGGAAAUUAAGUUAGACCCAAUUCCAACCAAAUUAUAUGUUAAUUACGAAAUUUAAGACAUACACUAAGUUAAAUAAAUAUGGUAAGUCUAGGUUUCUUCCGGUGAUCUUCCAGUGAAUUUUUGACGAUCUCUCGGUAAUGUUCCAGCGGACUCCCGACAAACUCUUGGAUUUCACGACGAUCUUCUUAGCGAGUUCCGAUGAGCUUCGUUGGCUAGCUCUUGGAUUUCUCGAUUAAUUCCGACAGAAGUUCCGAUAAACGUCCGGACUUCCGACGAACUCUUGAACUCCCAACGAAAUCUCGUUCUUGACUCUGAGACUUCAUAUUGUUUUAUGCCUUGCUAUCGUAGUUAAUCCUGCACACUAAAACCCAUUUCGAUCUAGACAAUUAUUACAAAGCUUAAAUUAAGUGUUGUCCGGCAUAUCAUUGGUUUAUCGACGCUUCGUCUGAUUAUUCAGCGCAUCGUCCUCUCUUGCGGCCUAUUGCUCAAUCGGUCAGUUGAUCUCCGCAACUCCGAUUUUCUUAACGUAAUUUUCGCUCUUCUUGGUCCGAUGCCUGAACCCAUGGCUCGAAGCCUUCUGCUGUCAAUACAUCGAUCGAUUCUUCGACUUGACGUCCAAUUUUCUAACAUAUUUUUCUUCGGUCCAACAUGAUUCUUCCUACUUUAAUUAUUUUUACCUGAUUAAAGCUUCCUACGUCACUCAAAACACAGAUCAAAUAAACACUCUCAAUUGGUUUCAUCAUCAAAAUCCGAGAUUCAACACUAAUAUCCAAAUAAACCCCGCAAAUCAUCCAAAUCAACGGGCUAUAAUAAAAACCUCGAGUCCAGUUUAUCUAUUAAAUUUGAAAUCAGAUUCAAAAUAAUUAUAAGCGAUUUGGUUCAUAUAAAGUUUUUAUCCGAAAAUCAUUCAAACUAAAAGACUAUAAUGAGUUGAACUAAAAUUGAAACGGAUUGUUUUAUUUUUAAUUUUUUUAAAAAUUAUUUAUUUAUUAAAUUAUUAGAAGAUGCAUAUUCGCUAUUUGGGGUGGGGGGGGCAUUUAAUUGUUUAUAUUUUUGUUAUUCUUGAAACCUAAUUGAUGUCAUCGUUUCUUGAUCGGUUUGAUUCCAAUUGGAUUCUUGAUCGGAUCUACUCUAUGUAUAUAGCUAAAACCAAAACAAGACGGUAAAACGUCACCUCAUAUGUGGCUCUCGAAGAUGAAGUGACAUGAUGAUUGGAAAUAUAAGGCGCAAACUACCAAAGCCGUAUCCUUACAUUCAUAGUUGUCCCCUUUUGAGCCCUACCAAAAUGAUCGCAAUGUGACAACCCAUCGGACUGUGAUGUUUUGUUUGGGUUCCAAAUCGAUGGCCGGACCGGUAGGUUUCCAUCACGAGCGAUCACAUCUUCGUAGAUAUAUUAGUAUGAUAUUUCUCGCAAGUUUUCUUUACUCUCUCUUAAUGUUACCAUCUUUCAUUGACAAGAGAAAGUGAAUUCAUGAUGCAAAUGAUGUUCUAGUUAUCUAUAAAUAUAAAUACGAUAGUGAUCUAAGCAACUACUACUAGUCGAUUAAUAGAUGGGAGUGUUCACUACCUACUUUGAACAACGAAAUAAAUGUGUAGCUAUAUGUGGAAUAUGAAAGAAUAAUAAAAAAUAAUAAUUUAUUGGAGGAGAUAUCAUAUAUUAUUAGGAUUAUUUUUUAGAACAAUGGGUAUGAACUCAUGAAUGUAGGGAGAUUCUACAUCUACCAAACCAAAUAUAUCAAGGUUGGCAUAAUGAUUUCCAAAAUAUUAUUUAGGUUUUUUUUUUUUUUGCUACAUAAUAUUUUGGAAAACACUCAACCCACCUUCUUAAAAGGACUAGAAGACACCUUAUAUUUUGAUGAUUUUUCUUUCUUUUUUGAGUUCUUGAAUGUAUGAUGGCAUAGUGAUUUCCAAAAUAUUAUGUAGGUUUCUUUCUGACUUGUUAAAUAUGGAAUCAGAUGAAAUAGGAUUAUAAUGGAAGAAUAAAAAUAAUAUUUUGGAACCAUUAUUGAACCAUAAAUACUUUGAACUGAAACAUUUCAAUCACUAUAUUCCCAUCCAUCACUUUUAUGUUUCUUCCUUAUGAAGUCUCAACACAUUACCAUUCUUUUCUAAAGUUCCUAAUUGGAUACAAAACUAAAAGUUUCUUGGAAACUUUAUUUUCCUGGUCCACUAUAAGCUUAUUUCUUUUAUUAGUUUAUUGGUCACUGUCAUUCCAUUUAAAUAAUAAACCCUUAGAUUCUUAUACUCUAAUGCUAUAAAGAUGAUCUAAAAGCAUAGUGCAUAUAUGAGGCAGACCUUAUUAAUUAUUAGGCAUGUGAUGUGUGUAUUCCCUAAAGGCAGAAACAUGAUGUAGUUCAAGUGCUUUGCAUGAUCUGCACUUCUCCUUCACAUGCAUGAAUGAAUGCCUGAAUUCUCGUUCAAAUGCUUAAGGAAUGAGCAACAUUUCCACUUUGCGAUCGUAUUAUUAAUCGUCAUCAUACGUAAUUAAGUGAUGUAUUCUUUCCUUUUUCUACAAAUAAUAAGUUAUAAAGGUAGAAUUCAAGUUCAGAAUCUUGCGAUCGAUCAUUAAAGUCUUUAACAGCCAAACUAACGAUCAUUUUGAUCCCUUUUUUUUCUUUAUUCCGAUAUAUACUGUGAUGAAUUAUCUUUGGAGACAAUCUUUCUGAGUUAAGAUACUGUCAAGAGGCAAUGGUUUUAGGUCCAAUUCAGCCACUCCUCCGUAUCAAAGAAGGAAGCUACUGAAGUGAAGCUGAAAUCGAUGUCCGGCUGAAAACAAUCACUCCCGAUCCAGUCUUCCAUGGACGGCAUAUCGAGCAAGAGAGUGCUGUUGGGAGACAUGCUAAAACAGACAGCCUCGUCUUCUUCUCCUGGUACUAGGGGAACGCCGUCAAGAGAAACAUCACUUUGAGGAGCUUUGGAGGGGCUGGUGGGUUCGGCCGUCGUCGAUUCAUGACGCUGGUGGUCGAUUGGAGCUGGCAGGAGUCCUUGGUCCUGGUGGAAGAACGUUUUGGUGCACCUCUGGGCCUUGGUUUGGACGACGGAUGCAUCUCCAGCUGCUCCCGUUCCCGCCGUCGUCGAAUCGGCCAGGGAGACAUUCAGGAUGGGCUUCGUUUGGGAUGCGUUGCCGUGGACUUUCUUCCCUAGGGUUGUGUUCCAGUAGUUCUUGAUUUCAUUGUCUGUUCGCCCUGGCAGCCUUCCUGCGAUUAGAGACCACCUGGGAAAGAGAAAACAUGGCAUUUCUGGAUGAUCCAAUGUCUAACCACGCUCUUCUUUCAAUGAUUCGCAUUUCACGACAAGGUUUUAGGAUGUUUGGAGGUUGAAGUAGCCGUAAGGAGGAGGAUACCUGUUUCCAAGGAGCUUGUGUAGUCUGAUGAUGAGCUCUUCUUCGUCAUCGGAUAUGUUGCCUCGCUUGAUACCGGGCCUCAGGUAGUUGAGCCACCGCAGCCGGCAGCUCUUUCCACAGCGCUUUAAGCCUGGCAAAUUUGCGUUCAUGAGAGAGAGAGAGAGAGAGAGAGAGAGAGAGAGAGAAGAGUGUGUUGUUGUGUGCACGUCGACAGGCUAUUAGUUGGAAGCAACACAUCAAUUCUAUCCCAGUCUAGCAUAGAAGUGCACCUGCUCGUUUGGGGAGGCUCCUCCAUUUACCGUCUCCAUGAACCUUGAUGUAGGACACAAGUACGUGGUCUUCCUGCGCAGUCCACGCUCCUGUCCUGAGCCCUUCCCUUACGCAGCAUGGCUUCCUUCCCAUCUCUCUCUCUCUCNNNNNNNNNNNNNNNNNNNNNNNNNNNNNNNNNNNNNNNNNNNNNNNNNNNNNNNNNNNNNNNNNNNNNNNNNNNNNNNNNNNNNNNNNNNNNNNNNNNNNNNNNNNNNNNNNNNNNNNNNNNNNNNNNNNNNNNNNNNNNNNNNNNNNNNNNNNNNNNNNNNNNNNNNNNNNNNNNNNNNNNNNNNNNNNNNNNNNNNNNNNNNNNNNNNNNNNNNNNNNNNNNNNNNNNNNNNNNNNNNNNNNNNNNNNNNNNNNNNNNNNNNNNNNNNNNNNNNNNNNNNNNNNNNNNNNNNNNNNNNNNNNNNNNNNNNNNNNNNNNNNNNNNNNNNNNNNNNNNNNNNNNNNNNNNNNNNNNNNNNNNNNNNNNNNNNNNNNNNNNNNNNNNNNNNNNNNNNNNNNNNNNNNNNNNNNNNNNNNNNNNNNNNNNNNNNNNNNNNNNNNNNNNNNNNNNNNNNNNNNNNNNNNNNNNNNNNNNNNNNNNNNNNNNNNNNNNNNNNNNNNNNNNNNNNNNNNNNNNNNNNNNNNNNNNNNNCGUGCCACAUGCAAGGAUUGGUGUUCAGCACUCCUACCCGUUGUCAUCCCGUCCCCGUGGAUCUUCUUAGUCGGCAAGAACAGCGAUACCUGCAACUUCUUGUCUUUCCCCACCAGACGCUCCUUCACCUACUCCCUUCUCCCUGAGCUCCACGGCGUGCGGUAUGUGGGCUCUCAAGCUGGUUGGCUAGCAGUCUACAAUGAAAACCUGGAUGUCAGCCUCAUAAAUCCUCUAACAGCGGCUCGAAUCUGCCUCCCCUCCUUCCUCACCCUACCCAAUUUUGAGCUCGUCGGCGGCAGCUGUGUCCUUCCUCAUCUCAACCGAAUCUCCCGUUUUUUUGUUUCGAAAGUUAUCUUCUCCGCAAAUCCAACUACCCAUAAUUACAUCGCGGUGAGUCUCUAUGGCACUCCCCAAAUUGAAAUCGCCUACGCAAAAGCAGGCGGAGACAAGUGGAAUCUUCUUCAGACGACAUCGACUCAGAAUCGUUCAUACGAGGAUAUCAUGUACCACAAUGGGAAAUUCUACUGCAUAACAGGUGAAGCCGAAGUCUUCGCUUUUGACCUCAGUGGAGUUUCUCCCACCGUGACGGUGGUCGCCGAGAGAACGUCACUCGGUUUGACAUAUUUCGACUAUCACAUUCCUUGCUUCGGUGUCAUACAAAUUUACGGCAAAUACUUGGCGUGCUCGAGCACCGGGGAGCUGUUCCUGAUUUUUAGGCGCGAAGUUCACUGUCAUGAAUCGCUGGGAUGGAAGGGUAUCAUGGUUUGGAGGUACAAUCCUCAGCGUCAGCCAUGUUGGGAAGCUGUGAAGAACUUGGGGAAUAAGUCCUUGUUGAUCGGUAUCAACAACGCUAUAUCGAUUUCUACCGAGAAUUUUCGAGGUGUACGACGAGAUUGCGUCUACUUUAUGGAGGCGCUGGUCAGAACCAUAGUCGAUGACCGGCCCGAAUUCAUUCUUAGAAUUGGAGUGUUUGAUGUGGAACGGGGAAUGUGGGCGCGGGCAAACUAUCAGUUAGAAUCACACUCGCAGCCACCCAUCUGGUUCACUCCCUCCAUGCUGUGAACCAAGAAACGAGUAGUUCUUGCUCUUAUUUGACUUACAACUCCUACUACUACAUAUAGAGAUGAUAGAUACAUUACAGGCCACAGUAACUAUAUCAACUUGUGCUUUGAUAUUGUGCACAAGAAAAUGUUUUGCUUGAUUUAUGAAGUUGCACAUCUGUUUUACAAGUUUGAUAUGACCAUAGAAGAUGAAAGCAAGUUUUCCUUCAAGAGGAAACAACAUAAAGAAACAUGUAGAUGCCUUUUGCUCUUAUAUGAAAUUUUGAUUUUGAGUGAUUUCUUUAUGGCCUUAUCAGUCAUCAUUAGUUGUGGGUAUCACUAGAAUUAGUGAUUGAUUUGAGAUCCUAUACCUGCAGGUACUAUUUGAUGAGGUUACUGUAAUGAAUUAAAUAUGAAAGAAUUACAUCAUCUAAUUGGAAAUAAAGAAAAAUAGUUACUUAAUACCACAUGUUGCUGAAGACAGAUCUUACUUUGAAAAAGAUAGUGACUUGUGAUGUGUGAAUGAUAUUAUGCAAUUUGGUGAAAAAAUAAAGGACCCAAAAUCUUGAGAACUGCAGGAGAAGAAUUUAUCGGAUGAAAAAUAUUAAUGAGAUAAAUCAAACGUGCAUAUCCAUUUCUUGUCGCACCUUAUAUUUUAUAAAUAUUAAAAAGAUAAUUAUCGAUACUUGUCUUACCGCCUUACUACACUGUCGCUCUAUUGUGAUCGUUUCCGUCAAUCGUCUCCACCCUGCUAUGACUGUCUCAUUGCGCUACAUUGUGGGCUCACCUUUGCCACCAAGAGGUCCCGUAGCGAGACCUUCGUUGUCGUCCUCGUCACCUUCGUAUUAUUAUGAGACCAAAGUCAUCUCUACAUAGCCACAACUAUUAUUUGUGAAGCCCCCCUCCACAAGGCCCUAGCCUUGCCCUCGUGAAGCCUCCAUCCCCAGCAUCUACAUCCCAUGUUAUUGUUCUUAUCAUCCAUUUGUUCUCUAAGGACAAAGGAUAGGGAGGAGGGGAUGGGGUGGUCAUUGACGUUGCAAAAGGUGACGAGGUAUGGUCGUCCGUGAUGCCCAUAGUCUCACCCUCGACUUUCCAUUGCACUCUUCGAAUGCAUCAUGCCUUAUCUCCUCUUAUACCGCCAACUCUCGUGCCCUCUAUCAUAGCUUUUUCCCUUCACCCAUUUUCAACAAAUAUCUAUUCUCUUUUUCUCUUGUGAUCUUCUCCCUAUGCACCAGCCUACCCUUGCCCACUUUCACCAUAGUACCAUGCUCACAUCCUUCAUCGUCAUCACCACAUCUAACUUCUACUAAAGAGCCCAACGAGGAACUAUUUGACCUAAGAUUUUGGUCCUCUCUAACAAGCCCUCGAGCAAGAAGCACUAGGGACCAUCAACAUCACGAUCGACAUCGAAGAAUAAUGCACUGGGGCCUCUUUGCCACCCAUAAGAACUACUAUCGACUCGCCUCCAAGCCAUUGGCCAACUCAUAUACUUGUGCUUCGAUGAGCGCUCCACAAGAGGUGGCAAAGGGAUUUUGUGGAGGGGCAUCGGGAAUGGAGGUGGUGACCAUGUGGAGGGUUGGAGGUGACAUUGCGAAGGUGACAAAGGUGACAACGAUAAUGACAAGGGCCUCACAAUAAUAGAGAUGACUCGUAACAUGACGAGAUAGUGGGGAGAGGCGAAGAUAACCACAGUAGGAUGACAAUCGAAAAGGCGAAGAUUAGGAGUAAUCUCAUCUUUUAAAAAAUAAGGGAUAUUUUAUGAAAUAAAAAAAAAGCAGAACACUCUAUAAAAAAAAAGUAAAAACUUAGGGUUUUUUUUUUUUUGAAGAAUUUAUCCUUCUUUUAAAAAAAAAAGAUUUUAUAAAUAAAAGCUAAAUGAGUAUAAUACAAUCAUCCUAGUUCCCAUCACACAGCAAACUAGAAAAUAUCAAGACAGGAAUUUAAUUUUUCCAUCCAAGAGCAAUGAUAUUAUCUGUAAGUUGCUUAGUUUUGUAAGAGUAUAUAAGCUAAACCUAAACACAGAGGGAUAAAUAUAAAUACUAAAACUAGAAGGUUUUAUACACGUAGACAACUCUGCCGGCAACUUAAUUCGCUGCAGCUCCACGUGGAAUACACCUCAAUUAAUAGAUACGAUCCCUUUUUUUUUAUGGCUUUCAGCUUUGAAAGGGCAAUUAUCCUUAGCAACUGUUUAGCAUUUUGUAUUUUGAAUUAAUAUAGCUUUUGCUUUAUGAACCCCCAAAAAAAAACAAAAUACCGUCACCAACAGCAAACAGUAAUCUCACACGUCUUAAAGCUUAAAAUCUCACCUUCAACACUUAUCUUUUGUCAAAUAAAAAAAGUCUCGUUUUCCUUCAGUAUUAUCUGCUACUCUACAUUAAACAUUAUAAUGGAACACUUACUACUUGUAAAACAAUAAUUCUCGUUAUCAUUAGCCAUUCCAUUUUACAUUAAAUUCAAAAUUUGCAGAUUAGCGAGGUCAACUAUAGAAAAUAUUGGAGACCUGAAUCAUCCCCUUUCCACUCAAACAAACAAAAAGAAACUUGGUAAUAUGCAAGGUUUUGUGUGUAAGCCAAUCUAAGCUGUAUAUGUUCAGACUUUUCCUCUUAGCAAGAUGUAACAUAUAUCAUCCUUCUGGCACAAGUCUGCUUCGAAGUUAAAUUGCAUCCGUUUAAGGUAGCAUCGUUUCUAUUUUUAUAAGAAACCGGACAUGAUCAUUCAAAGAUGUGCUGUGCAAGCCGCAAUAUUUGCCAAUGGCUUCAUGGUCUUACCUAUGUCUUGUAUCUAGAAUUGCAGAUACUGGAUAAGACAUACCUCAGGUGGCUUCAGUUCCCUCCGUCUUCAAUGUUGUUUGAUCCACAGCCUGGACAUGUGCACUUCUUCUGCAAGUCCUCCCCAAGAGAAGCAUAUACCUUCUCCAACUCAGAUGUCUGCUUUUUAUAGUUAGGGAAACAUUCUGAAAUAUGUAGCGGCCUCUCCCUCUUCCAAUGGUUGAGUUAUCAUCAGGUUGAUAGGCACUACUGCAUGUUGUAUAUAGAACAUGCUGCAUACGCUUGCUGUGCAUGUUAACAUAAUCAUAAAACCAAACCAAGAAGGAUAUUCAGCUAGUUCCUGCAGCUGCUUCGUUUCUUCCAUGAUGGCUGUCACAAGAAACCAUCUCCUUUCAACAUGGGCAAGCUGUUCACAAACCUGCAAGAAUACACGUAAGAUAAAUACUUCCAUUAUUUAUCAUGUAUUACAUGAUUCAGACACCUAACACAAAAUUUAAUGGCCUAGUUUAGUAAAUUAAAAUCCUAGCUUUGUUUAUAGAAGCUUCAAAUAUAAGUAGCAGACUCCCAGAAACUUACGAUAUCUUAUGUCAUAACAAGCAUCAUCAAUUUCAAAUGAAAUAUGAGCUAGAAAUGUAGAAAUCAUCUGCAAGUGGACAGACUCGAUAUGCAGAAGCAAUGACCAUAAAGCCACCAGAAACAUUUUAUAUAUCAUAAUGAUUGAACCACAUAUUCAGUUGUUAAAUCUGUUAUGUUUCUCAAAAAACAUUGGAGAGUUGACAAGAUAAUGAGAAAAUUUCCCUGGAUAUUUCUUGAACUAGGAAAAGCGUAAGAUGACAUAGGAAAAUACAGUCUAACAUCUCUUGCUCAUUAGAUGACACCAAUGGCAUUUGGACUAUGAGAAGAAAGUCAAUAAUAGUUAAUCUAGCAAAUUUAUUCAUUUAUAACACUUGCUAACCAUGAAGGUUAAGCAGAUAACUAACCAGUUUCAAAAGAGAACAUAAAAGUACUGAGGUAAAACCAUUAAUCAAGACCAGGUUGCAAAACGAUAUACUGGAUUGAUGAUGAUGUCGCAGGUUAUUCAAUCAUCUGAAUUAGUAAAAAAAUAUACUCUAGGUUGUCUAAUUAUAAAUCCUACAACAAAAACAUGUUAGAACCAUAAACGAAAGUUUUGUUGCUGCCUAUGAUGAGAUAAAUGAACCAAGCCCAAAUAUGUUAAACAGAAAAGCUAUCAUUCUCGUUAAUAGCAAGAAUGAAUGGAGGGAGAUUAGCAUCCUUGUUCCACAUUGAAACAUCAAAUUCUUUUGAAGCAACCAUGUGCAUGAUCUAAACAGAAAACAUGUAGUACCAGAGUCCAAUCUAUAUGUUAGAGUUGAAUGCCAGAUAUCUAGUACACUUGUGAGUAUCAAAAGGUCUUCUAGAAAGAUAUGGAAAGAAGAAAAGAAGAGGAUACACUCUACUUAUCUUUUCAUAUCAUGCCUGGUCUUUUUUAUACCAAUUAAAUGUCAAGUUAUAGAAGUAUUCAAAAAUGAAAUUUCUCAAUGUUCACCCAUUUUGAUAUAGCAAGUACUUUUAUUUGGUUCAAAUGUAUUUGGGCUCAUCUAUAACCAUAUAGUAUAUGUUUUAGUACAACUUGAACUUCAGUCACCACUGAAACAGACUCAUUGGUUUUGGAAACAUCUGAAACAGGAGAUGGGCUACGUUUUGGAUAUAACUGCUUUGUGAGGCUGUAUAAAUGACAUAAAGGAGGAUUUCGCUAAUCAUCAUCAUUAUAACAAAAAAAAUCAAAUACAAGUCUAAUAAUUAAUUAUUUUGUUUAAUAUUUAAGGUCUCAAACACAAAAUAUAGGUCCACUUGAAGCCCUUGGUCUUAUUUUAAUAUUAUUUAUUUACAUGGGCUAAUAUUGUGUUCGUUUUUGCCAAACACUAUAUGUGUUUUUUGCUGUUGGUCUAUAUUAUUUAAAAUCUGAUAAUUUAAAAUCAGCAAGCUGGACACCCAGUAGUUAACUAAAUUCUUGGUCUGUUGGUUGGAGCAAAGCAAGUUGAUCGGUUGCCCUCCUAAGUGGCCUUUUAAACUAGCAGAUGGGUUGCCGUUCAUAUAUAUUCAUUCUGCCUAGCUAAGGAGGCUGAGUGCCCACUCCAGGAACUGAUCACAUAAGAGCACGCUUUUUAUGAAAAAGAUAGUAAAGCUAGAAAAUCACCUAGGAUUAAUGAAAGUCUAAUAUGAUUAAAUUACGGUAUGUUUGCUUUAUAAAAGCCUUUUUACCUUGUUUAUAAUGCUCUAUUGUCUUUUUUGCUGAUUUACCAUUAUUUUCCAGCAAUGAAGAUAGGGGUUCCAUAAGUACUGAAAAUUACAAAAUUUCAACAAUCUAGAACUUCAAGGAAAAACAGACACAGAGUGACUAGCACAGAUUAGUAUAGCAUGCACAUUUUUAAUCUUCUCAUUCAUGGGAAUUAAUACAGAAAAAAAGAAAAAGAAACAAAAAACUGACCUUAUCACGAUUAUGUCUUUCUUUUUCGUACUCUGCUUCCAACUCAUGCAUCUGAGUGCUGAGGCAUGUAAUGUUAUCUUCAAGACCUUUUAGAAAGCCUUGCAUAUCAAGUAAUUUUGUGUUUUAGAGUCUGUUUUGCCUGUUUGAAUGUUUACAAAUAUAUAUACCAGAUUAAUAGUACUGGUAGUUCUGUUGUUUGAUCAUGAGUUUGAUCACAGAAAGUAUACUGGCGAACCCAGUUUAGUUGGCAAACCUUGGCAGCAGGUACUACCAAGCUUUAGAUAAAUAAAUAAUAAGCUAAAUAUUUCUGGUUAGUCAGUGCCCAAACAUCAAAGUAGACUCUACUGAUAAAUUUUCUGCAUUGGUACAAGACUUACAAGCUCUAAAUUUCAAUUUUAUAUGGACUUGAUAAUUAUGCUUUAUCAACAAAGUUGUUCCCAUAUAGAUGAGAUAAAAGCAGCUAUUUGUAUUUAUUCAUGUUCAUUUUAAGACAAUGGCAACAUAAUGUAACAUUGUGUUAUAUCCUUACUUUAAACAUGUGUUGGGAGCAUCACUCUGCAGGGUAACUACCCAGCCAAAUGCAUAGGUUGGCCCAAACAAAUGAUGAGGUAAUAAUGAAUUUUCAUUUAAGUCAAUUACAUUGCCAUUUUCAAUUUUUUUUCAGGCAACUAGACAAACAUAAGCUCUAUAAUAAACCUAUUUGUUCUGGAUAAGUUUACUUUAUUUGGCCUCAUUGCGAAUGCAUGCAUGGCUUAUUAUGCACCUUUGAUAAUUAUAUGUUCAGUGAAAAAACAAAAAUAGUUUAGUUUAGGAAUUUUCAAGAUGUUUUAAUAGUCAAAAUUAAUCAUAUGCAUCUGAAGGACUUCAGAAAUUGUAUCUUUCAUGAAACUUUAGUAAACAAAGAUCCAGAAGAAAAUUUAUAAGAAGAUCUGGAAGGAUUUUACCAGAUGAAGGGUUCAGAUCUAGUUAUAAGUUUACAGGUUGUUUUCCUUGUGAAGAAAGACCAGAAUAUAUCAGAUGAAUCAAAUCACAAAUGAAUUCUGAAUUCUGUAACUUUUCGGUAUUGAUCUUGAACACNNNNNNNNNNNNNNNNNNNNNNNNNNNNNNNNNNNNNNNNNNNNNNNNNNNNNNNNNNNNNNNNNNNNNNNNNNNNNNNNNNNNNNNNNNNNNNNNNNNNNNNNNNNNNNNNNNNNNNNNNNNNNNNNNNNNNNNNNNNNNNNNNNNNNNNNNNNNNNNNNNNNNNNNNNNNNNNNNNNNNNNNNNNNNNNNNNNNNNNNNNNNNNNNNNNNNNNNNNNNNNNNNNNNNNNNNNNNNNNNNNNNNNNNNNNNNNNNNNNNNNNNNNNNNNNNNNNNNNNNNNNNNNNNNNNNNNNNNNNNNNNNNNNNNNNNNNNNNNNNNNNNNNNNNNNNNNNNNNNNNNNNNNNNNNNNNNNNNNNNNNNNNNNNNNNNNNNNNNNNNNNNNNNNNNNNNNNNNNNNNNNNNNNNNNNNNNNNNNNNNNNNNNNNNNNNNNNNNNNNNNNNNNNNNNNNNNNNNNNNNNNNNNNNNNNNNNNNNNNNNNNNNNNNNNNNNNNNNNNNNNNNNNNNNNNNNNNNNNNNNNNNNNNNNNNNNNNNNNNNNNNNNNNNNNNNNNNNNNNNNNNNNNNNNNNNNNNNNNNNNNNNNNNNNNNNNNNNNNNNNNNNNNNNNNNNNNNNNNNNNNNNNNNNNNNNNNNNNNNNNNNNNNNNNNNNNNNNNNNNNNNNNNNNNNNNNNNNNNNNNNNNNNNNNNNNNNNNNNNNNNNNNNNNNNNNNNNNNNNNNNNNNNNNNNNNNNNNNNNNNNNNNNNNNNNNNNNNNNNNNNNNNNNNNNNNNNNNNNNNNNNNNNNNNNNNNNNNNNNNNNNNNNNNNNNNNNNNNNNNNNNNNNNNNNNNNNNNNNNNNNNNNNNNNNNNNNNNNNNNNNNNNNNNNNNNNNNNNNNNNNNNNNNNNNNNNNNNNNNNNNNNNNNNNNNNNNNNNNNNNNNNNNNNNNNNNNNNNNNNNNNNNNNNNNNNNNNNNNNNNNNNNNNNNNNNNNNNNNNNNNNNNNNNNNNNNNNNNNNNNNNNNNNNNNNNNNNNNNNNNNNNNNNNNNNNNNNNNNNNNNNNNNNNNNNNNNNNNNNNNNNNNNNNNNNNNNNNNNNNNNNNNNNNNNNNNNNNNNNNNNNNNNNNNNNNNNNNNNNNNNNNNNNNNNNACUGCUCCGUUGUGUCAUUGCUUCCUCCCCUCUGUACAGAACUUCCUUUUCCUCCUCCGUUUCUCUUCCAUGACUCCUCCACUUUCCCUCCUUCGCUCUCCAACUCCUCUUCCUUCCUCUUCCUCCUCCCCUCUUCUCUCUCUCUUUCUGUUUGGUCACUGGUGACCAAAAUGUCAGUGUACCAUAUGUUAGUAUGCUAGUACAGAUGGGACCCGUGCCAACCCAGCCAGUGAUUGGUAUAAGUCUCACACAGAAACUAGAAACUUUACCUUCUUCCCUUCUCCUUCUCUCUCUCAUUUUGUUUAGUCCGUGCUGACUGGUACACUAAUGUACUAUGUAUCAGUAUGCUAACAUAUACCUAACCCAACCAAUCCCACCUAACUACCAGUAGAGGUCUCGAACCAAGACUUAAAAUAUUGACCAAUAUAAUUGCAAAUGCAAAUAAUAAAAGUAAAAGAAAGCCCAUGUUUUAUAAAGGAAAUUUUAAUCUAGUUAACAGAAUGGAAUGUCUAUUAUGCAUUAUGACAUAACAUUCAACAGAAUACACACAAGUUGGCUUUGUCAUUGCUACAUUGUUGCUUAACUCCAUUAUCUGCAUUCAAUAAAAUAUACACAAGCUGGCUUUGUUAUUGCUACAUUGUUGCUUUACUCCAAGACUGAGAAAUUAUUGUCUUAUUUAAGCUUCCAGAUCAUAGGGCACAUAUCAUUGCAAAGCAUCAUUACAAUGUGGUUUUUGCACACCCUCAAUAACAAAUUGUAUUCUCUUGGAUUUAUCAAGAUAUUUGACACUACAGAAUAGGUUCCAAGUACUUGAACAUUGGUAAAUGGACCAGAGGAAUAAUAUAGGAAAGCUUACAGAAAAUUGAUUAGGUCCUUUGUAGGAUUACAUCCAAUAGGAAAAACAAAUCUGAAGGAUACCGACAAUAUAUAGAAGAACUUUGGACUUUGGACUUUGGACUUUGGUGUUGCAUAAACUGGAUUAAUUCAACUAUAUUAACACUUAUUUUGUAAAUCAGGCUUGAGAGUUUGUGCUCAUCUUCCUUUUUGUCGUAUCUGUAUGUACUGAAAUAAACUAUACUUGAGAUAAAAAGGCACAAGGGAACUCUAUCAUAGUAGGAAUUUUUCGGAACAGAUACCUGAAGUUACAAUCAGCAUUAUUUUAUUCUUAGAAUCAGCAUUUUGUAAAAUAGCAAGAGCAUCAAGAAAGAAGAGGGAAUCUAUCUCCAGAAUAAAAAAUUGUCAGAAACACCAUUCAUUAAUAUAGCAUCGAGUUCUGAAAAAUCAUCCAGUGGUUAUCCAGAUCUAAUUCCAAUAGUCCCAAGAACUAACUCCAAAGAAACAGAGUGCUGAUUGUAGCUGCCAGACCUUGGUGGGCUUAACUGACUAAAGCUAACCCACAGCAGUUCAUCAAUCCUAAGUGCAAAAUGGUCCAGAGUGGUCCGUGCUGCAGCCAGCAGUGCUGAUUUUGACCAAUCAGAACCAUUUCUAGUACAUAUUGGCUGUUCUCAUCAGCAUAGCAUAUGAGAACAAUUUCCCAUUUGAAGUUUUCUUAAUUUUUUCUUUUCUUAAUUUAGUAAAUUUUCAGUAAGACAAACACAAGGAUCAAUGGUGAGAAAAUAUUCAUGUAGCUGACUCCAAAUGGUUGGAAAUACAGUUUGUUCUACAAGUGGUUGCUGUCCAGUAAGACAGAUAUAUUCAUCUACAUUUAAGACUUGUGAUAACUUUGUAGUCAUGUUUACUGACGUUUUCAAAAUAUAUGGCAUUUUACUAGUUCGACUACUGACCUAUCUUCCCUUGGAUGAAAUUGUGUGCUAAACAUUUUGACUUUAUAGUUCUUUUUAAUAUUUGACAUUGCAAGUAAUGAAUCAAAUAUAGAAUCUGUGCAAAGCUCUAUUGACACAGGAUCCAAAUAAAAGUAAGGGGCAAGAAUGGACCAAGCACAUUAAAGAUGUAUAGCUAGUCAACUUCACACGAAUGUUUGGGAAGCUACACCUUCUACAGAAGUAAAAUAAUAUGCCAACAAUGUGAUAAAUCAUACAGCUGUUUUAUGUAGCUGAAAUUUUAACCGAUGUGGCCAAGAUGAAAAGGCAUGAGCAAAGGUCAAAAUGUAAAAAUGCCUGGAAUAGUGCAAAACUUAGCUAAGGAGUUUGGAACAAAAAGAUCAUAUACAAGUAAACAAAUAAGAAAACUAAACAAAUGAAAGUAAAAGCACGUUGGAAUAGACCUUAUUUUCUUGUUCAGCUCGCACAUACUGUUAACAAAUUCGUCUCUGCAUCCACAUAAAGAUCGUGAUUGAGUUUAUACAGUUUUUAGUAUAUCGCACAAGAACAAAAAACUAGUAUUACCGCAUGAAACGCACUUCACUCUGUUCACCGAUGCCAGGUGGAUUAAGAAGAUCAAAUAACAAGGUCAAAGUUCGAAAACAAAGAAUGACAAUAACGAAAGAAAAUCUAACAACAUUUGAGAGCACGAGAGCGAUUCUCACCUUGAGUGUAUCCAGAUCAGAACGGAGCUUCAAUAUCUCCUCCUGCAGCAGAGAAAUCCUCGCCUACGCACGAUAGUUACUAUUAGAAAAGGAUUUACAAGAUCAAUCGGCAACUAGAAAGGACGCGUAAUCAGAACCUCUUGCGCAUGGAUUGAUGCACCAAUCAUAGAAAGCUGAACCUGCGAUCCCCUCAGCUCCUGCUCGACCAUCUCCCUGGACCGCUUGGCCCCAUCGAGGUCGGCAUUUGCAACAUUGAGAUCGUUCUGAAGUUCGAGGAGCCGCUUCUUACGAUCGGACACCCUAAGCUCUGUGUCGAAGACAUGCGGAUUGAGCGGGGCGCAUCGGAGCUAGAGUGGAGGCACGAGAAGCAUGGAGCGGCCAUAGUGUACCUUCUUGGGAUUUCUCCGAGGCGAAAUUGCGGAUCAGCGAGAGGAGAUGUUUCUGGGAUUCGCCGGACGCCAUGGCGAGAAGGCGCCCCGAGGGCUCGGAGAUGGCAGCCUAGCUUUUUGGGGAACAGCACUCGUCUCCCCCUCUUUGGUUCGAGCUUCAGCACGUGAAGAGAACGAAGGAGAACAUAAGCGCGCAUCGGCUCAAACUCGAGCUCGUUUUUGACUCGGAUCGAACUCAAACACGAAUUGAAUUGAUCGUUUUGACUCAAUAAGAGUUAUUAAAAAUAUUAUAUAGUAAAAAUUUUGGAUGAUAAUUUGAUUAUUAUUAUUUGUUAAUUUCAGAAUAAUCUGGUCCGUCAAUCCAGCUAUAACAAAUCAUUGAUUGACAUCUCAACUCAAAUAUCGGAGAAAAUAAAGUAUCAAUUAGGCAUGUCAUAUUGGGUAUAAAAAAAUAUUCUUUAUUAAGUUUGUUUACAAAUCAAAUAUAUACAAUAAUUUUUUUAGUUAUAUUAUCAUUUAAAACUCACUAAACUUAUUUAAAUACUCAGACUUCUUAAAAAUAUUUAUCAUAAAUUAAAACUAACUUAAUUAUCAAAGGAAUCUUAUUGUAGAUUUUUUUUUACCCUUAAAUCGAAAUAGGAUAUUAGAUACAUAUAUUUUAUUAUGCUUCGAAAUGAAGGCAUGCCAACUACGAUAUUCAUUUAGGAGUCUCAACCAGUGAUACUUGCGUUUGAACAUAGCUAAGUGGUGCUUUGAUUACUUGUUUUUAUCUUAACAAAUAGAUUAGGGGCAAUAGGGAUGCUUUGGCUCUAGUCGAUCAUGUUAAAUACUUUGACUAUUUUAUAUCGUAGUUACACUCUACACAUCAUAGGCAAAAGGGACACAACGAUUAUAUUAGGUGCUCAUAUGCUCAUUUGUCUUGAGUGAAUACAUCAUAAUAAAAAAGGAUAUGUUAGUUUAUUGAAUAUUUAAGAUAUUUUUUAUUCACAAUAGACACUUAUAUUACGUGCAUUUUAAAUAAUUUUAUUUUUCUAAUAGAAGUAUCACAAAGGAGAUGCAUUGGCCAUAAUCAGAUUUUGUUUUUGUUUUUGUCAAUGACAAAUACAUGAAAAUGAGAUGGUUCAAUCCUGUCAUGCACUUCAAAUUAUUUCUUUAUCAUACACAGAUGUAUCACAAGUGCACCUGCUCGUUUGGGGAGGCUCCUCCAUUUACCUUUUCCUUGAACCUUGAUGUAGGACACAAGUAUGUGGUCUUCCUGCGCAGUCCACGCUCCUGUCCUGAGCCCUUCCCUUGCACAGCAUGGCUUCCUUCCCAUCUCUCUUUCUCUCUCUCUCGUUUGAAAGAAGCUUGAUUAGUUGUUGGCGACAUCUAUAGGUCCUCAACUGUACGAGACAAUUUCUCUGAUCACCGUAUGAUAUUAAUUGUGAGGAGCCAUCGCUGACAUUACAGCACCCCUAUCGAGUCGACGUCGAGAAAAAUUCUUACUGUCUGAUAUCACACAACUGCCAAAUUUCUCCUCGUAUGUGGCAGUCCCCCCUUUCCAGAUCCUAGGCGGAUCUGCCCCCCCACUUGUCACCCACAGUCGGUCGUUCGACGACAGCUUCCCUGCUUCCAGUCUCAACCACGGCUACCGCACCAAGUUCCAAGCCUACGGUGCCACGCCAAGCAUUUGUUGGGCCCAGUCAACGCAUUUGGUGACUUUGCAUCGCGGGAGCAUGCACUCUUGGUUCCUCCUUAUUGCAGAAUUUUUUUUUUUAUUCUUCCUCCCUCCUUACCGUAGAAAAGUACCAACACUUCUUUCUUUUUAUUUUUCUUCCUCUUUAUUGUAGAACUCGUUGAUUCUUCCUGCAUUCUUACUGCAAAAGUACUAACACUUCUUCCUUUUUAUUUUUCUUUUGAUCCUUGUCAUUGCUACUUACUUCAACUUGCUCCCACAUAGUAGUCCAUAUCUUCCAUUUGUCUUAAUCAUCCACCUCUGUUGCUCCACUUACUAUUCCAACAGGGAAUUAUAGUACUUUCCCACAUACAAAUCUUAUCUCCAUAAAUGCAGCAUCCCUCAUCCCUUUCAAAUUAUCCAAAGGUGACAACUACGCAUCCUGGCGUGCUCAAUUUUCUAAUAUUCUAUUUGGUUAUGACCUUCUAGGCUAUAUCGAUGGCUCUCUUCCUUGUCCACCAGCGAUGAUCAAAAUCCCAGGAGCAUCCAGUCCAGUAUCAAAUCCGGACCACAAACUAUGGUUACGCCAGGAUCGUCUCAUUCUUCAAGCAAUUCAAGCUUCAGUCAUUGGAUCCCUCGCCCCACUCAUAUCUUCGUGUGACACUACUGUCGAAGCCUGGUGCAAGUGAUGAGGAUAUAAACAGGAAUAACCUUUGUAUAUGAACAAAUACUAGAAGACCAUAAUACGCAACGGAAUUAAAUGGAACCACAAUAAAAUAGAACACCAAGAUAUACAUGGAAAACCCCUUCAAUGUGAAGGGUAAAAACCACGGGGCAAACUAGAGACAAUCCACUAUAAGAAUAAUGAAUAUACAAAUCACAAUCUCUUGCCCUAAACCCUAGCAACAAUCACAAGAGAAUAACUGAGAUACAAGGAUCACGUCACUGCCCACAAUAUCUAAAACCUCCCCAAGUAAUCACAGCAAGAGUCUACUGUAGAUUUGAUCUAACCUGAGAGAACACUGCUAGAUGAUUGAGAACAGUCUCUCUGCGUUGUCCUUGUCUUCUUCUCUUUCUUUCUCUUCUUUUUCUGCCUUGUUUUCCUCCUUUUCUUUGGAAUCUCGUAGCUGUUUUCUUCUCCCACGUUGCUGCCCUAUUUAUGCCUUUUUCUGCCUCCAAAACAUAGCCACCACACCCUCCUAAUGUUAAUUAGGGUUAGGUUAAGAGGGAGUAUGGGUUGUGGGCUGCCCAAGCCCACUAUGGACUGAAUUUGUGGGCUGCCAACCCAACAACCUUCCCCUUCAGCCCAUUAGGGAGGCUGUCCCAUGACUUCUCAAUGUGAAGCCAUGUCGACCAGUUGUCGGCAUAUCUCCUGCCUUUCUUUUGGUAAGGUCUUCAUUCCAUUUGGUAGCAGUACCAAAUCAUUAGUGUGGUUCUUCUGAAGAGCAUCCAUCUCUUCCUGCAUAACAACUAACCACUUCUCUUUCUGCUCACAUUCAACUGCUUCCUGGUAACUCUCUAGUUCACCUGCAUCAGUAAGCAUCACAUACUCAUAUGUAGAGUAUCUUCUGGAAGGUUGACGUUGUCUAGAAGAUCUUCUCAACUGAGGUUUUGUUGGAAGUUGCUCUCCAACUUCUUCUUGCUCAACAUGUCCUGCAGGUAAAUCAACAUCAAGCUCUACACUAUCUUCCUGCACAUCUCCCCCAUCACCUUGAUAUACUGGAAGAAUAACUGGGUCACAAUCUGCUAAUCCUUCUGCAGAAGUAUUGACUGGUGCCUUCUUCUUCAAAUCUUCAAAGGUUUGAUCCUCAAAGAAGACUACAUCUAUGCUUCUAAACACCUUCUGCUUUUUUGGAUCCCAAAGCCUGUAACCAAAAUGAUCAUAUGGGUAGCCAAGAAAAAUACAUUCUUUAGUCUUACCAUCCAGCUUGGGCUUCUCAUUGUCUGGAAUAUAUGCAAAUGCGCGACAACCAAACACUCUUAAAUGCUUGUAGGAAACAUCUUUUCCUGACCAUAUAUGCUUUGCAACAUCACCAUCUAGGGCUAUACAUAGUGAUAAGUUGAUCACAUCAACUGCAAUCCUUAAAGCCUCAUCCCAAAACCUUUUGGGUAGCUUAGCUUGUGAAAGCAUACAUAUGAUCUUUUCCAUGAUGGUGUGGUUCAUCCUCUCUGCAAUUGCAUUAUACUGAGGUGUACCAGGAACUAUCAUCUCAUGUUGGAUCACAUGUGACCUGCAAUAGUCAUUAAACAAACCUGUAUACUCACCACCAUUAUAUGAUAUUAUGCAUUUCAAUUUCCUUUCUGUCUCCCUUUCAACCCUAGCAUGAAACUCUUUGAAGACAUUAAUCACCUGAUCUUUAGUCUUCAAAGCAUAGGCUCAAACUUUCCUGGAAAAAAUCAUCUAUAAAAGUGACAAAAUAAAGUACACCACUUAUACCAAGAACAUCAACAGAUCCACCAUGAGUUAUUGUCCUCAAAGGAUCACAUAUAUCUGUAUAAACACGGUCUAAGGCAUGCAUUUUUCUAGACAAAGUAGAACUAGCAAAUGAAACUCUAUGUUGUUUACCUGCUAAACAAUCAAUACAAGGGUUCAGAUGUAUACCUUUGAGGUUUGGUAAUACCUCUCUCUUUGAAAGAGCUUGCAGCCCUUUCUCGCUCAUGUGUCCCAAUCGCCUAUGCCACAACUCUAUGCUGAAGUCUUUUUUUAUAGCAUUUAACUGCUCAUCAUAAGCUUUAGCCUGCAACCUGUACAAAGUAUGACAUUUCUUUCAAUUAGCUAUAACAAGAGAACCCUUACUGAGCUUCCAUUGCCCUUUGUGAAAUCUGCUAUCAUAGUCUUCAUCAUCUAGCAUUCCAACUGAAAUUAGAUUCAGCCUCAAGUCAACCACAUGCCUCACAUCCUUAAGCACCAACUUGCAGCCUAGGUUGGUCUUUAAAUGGAUAUCAACCAUGCCUAUGAUGUCUGCUGUGACAUAGUUACCCAUCUUGACAACACAAAAAUUUCCAAACGUGUAUGUAGCAAAAAACUCCCUCUGUGGUGUAGCAUGAUAAGAAGCACCUGUGUCAAUCAUCCACUCAAGAUCCUAACACACACAAAAAAAAAUAUCAUCAGAAUGAGACAAAAUCAAAUAAUCACCACCCUGCAUUGUAGCUAUGAUAUUAUCUUUUGACUCUAUAGACUCUACUUCUUUUCCCUUUUUCUUGCUCUUCUUAGGUUGUUUACAUUGGUUCUUGUAAUGUCAUUUCUCACCAUAAUUAUAGCAAACAAUAUCUUUUCUUGAUCUUGACUUGCUUCUACCUAUGCGUGAACUGCUUCUAGACUUUGACCUUCCUCUGUUCUCUGAGAUAAGUGCAUGUGAAUCAUUCUGAGAUGUUGCCAAACUCUUUCUUCUCAACUCCUUAUUCAACAAAUUGCUUGUUACUUGACUCAUAGUGACAACACCAUCUAGCGCAGAAUUACUAAGGGAAACCACCAGUGUCUCCCAACUUUCUGGUAAUGAACUGAGAAGUAACAAUGCUUGCAACUCAUCAUCAAGAGACAAUUUCAUAGAGGAUAACUAGUUAUUAAUACUUUACAUUUCAUUCAAAUGUUCAGCAAUAGAAGCACCUUCUCUAUAUUUUAGGUUUAUAAGUUUUCUGAUCAAAAAGGCUUUGUUGUCAGCUGUUUUUCUUUCAUAGAAACUUUCCAACUUUUUUCAAAGAGAAUAUGCAGAAAUUUCAGUAGAAACAUGGUGAAAGACACUAUCAUCAAGCCACUGUCGAAUAAACCCAAUUAUUUUUCGAUCUAACCUCUUCCACUCAUCAUCUGUCAUAGUUAUGGGUUUUGCACUAUCCCCCUAUAAAGGUCCAUACAAAUCUUUACAAUACAAGAGAUCUUCCAUUCUUGGUUUCCAUAUCAUCCAAUUGUUUCCAUUUAAACUAAUCAUGCGAGAAACAUUACUGGCCUCCAUGUUCAAAUACAAAAUUGAAAUCAUCAAAACCUCAGUGCUCUGAUACCAGUUGAUGGGGAUAUAAACAGGAAUAACCUUUGUAUAUGAACAAAUACUAGAAGACCAUAAUACGCAACGAAAUUAAAUGGAAUCAUAAUCAAAUAGAACAUCAAGAUAUACGUGGAAAACCCCUUCAAUGUGAAGGGUAAAAACCACGAGGCAAACUAGAGAUAAUCCACUAUGAGAAUAAUGAAUAUACAAAUCUCAAUCUCUUACCCUAAACCCUAGCAACAAUCACAAGAGAAUAACUGGGAUACAAGGAUCACGUCACUGCCCACAAUAUCUAAAACCUCCCCAGGUAAUCACAACAAGAGUCUACUGUAGAUUUGAUCUAACUUGAGAGGAGAACACUACUAGAUGAUUGAGAACAGUCUCUCUACAUUGUUCUUGUCUUCUUCCCUUUCUUUCUCUUCCUUUUCUGCCUUGUUUUCCUCCUUUUUUUUGGAAUCUUGUGGCUAUUUUCUUCUCCCACGUUGCUGCCCUAUUUAUGCCUUUUUCUGCCUCCAAAACGUAGCCACCACACCCCUCUAAUGUUAAUUAGGAUUAGGUUAAGAGGGGGUGUGGGCUGUGGGCUGCCCAAGCCCACUAUGGGCUGAAUUUGUGGGCUGCCAACCCAACAACAAGUUGCAAACCACCCUGGCAAAUCAUUCACGAACUCGCAUGCUUAGUCUCCUAUUCGGACUUAUGAAAACAAAACAAGAGGGAAGUACUGUUACUGAAUAUAUGCACAACAUAAAGAUUAUUAUUGAUAAAUUGGCCUUGAUUGUCCAUAUCCUCAAUGUCCUAGGAGACGAGUACAAGGAACUGGCAGCAGCAAUAUGGGCACGUGAUUCACUAGUAUCGUUCGAAGAACUCUACGAUAAGCUGACUGAUUUUGAGAUAUAUCUCAAGCGUGAGGAUAAAUUGUUAGGACCAUCUAUCAUGGCUCAAGUCAAUCAAAAAUCCACGAGGAUGGGCUAUCAGUAUAACAAGACUAUUAACAAAGGUUCGACUAAGAUGCUUUCUGAACCUUUGAGCUCCAACCAAACCCCUCCUCCACAUCAUCAACAUUUCAAUCACGAUAACCAAGGUGGCUACUUCAAUCAUCAGCAGUCCUGGCGCCCUGAACACACAAAUCAAUGAAGAGUUGUUUACAAAUUAUGUGAUAAAGUCGGUCACUCUGCAAAGGUCUGUCGAUCUCGACCCCGACUUCCUGUACAAUCACAUUGGCCUCAACCAAAUCUUACAACUACUCCAAACACUACUGAUCAUAAUUGAAUCGUGGACUCUGACGCAUCCCACCACAUUACCUCUAAUCUACAGAACUUGUCGAUCCACAAUAAUUAUAGUGGACAUGACGACAUCAUCAUCGGUGACGGUAAAGGACUUCUUAUUACUCAUACUGGUUCCACAAUGCUUAAUUCACCUACCACAACUUUUACACUCGAUGAUGUUUUGUGUGCACCUCACAUUAAACACAAUCUUAUUUCUGUUUCUCAAUUUUGCAAACAAAAUGAUACCUCUAUUGAAUUCUUUCCUAACUCUUUUCUUGUCAAGGAUUUAAACACAGAGGUAUCUUGGUCUAAGGUCAUAGUAAGGAUAAUGUUUAUGAAUGGUCGUUCAUUCCACAACUCAAACAGCCCACUGUUUACUCCUCAAUGGCAGCUCCAAUUGAUGUGUAGCAUCGUCGUCUCAGUCAUCCCUCUCUCUCUAUCCAAAAUAAAUUACUUUCUCGUUAUUCUCUUUCUACUCCUACAAAUAAUAGCUUUUAUUGUGAUGCUUGUCUCAGUAAUAAAAAUCAUAGACUCCCUUUUGGUUCUUCUUCCAUAUCAUGUUCUACACCAUUUAAAAUUAUUUAUACUGAUGUUUGAGGUCCUGCUCCUGUCACUUCCUUUGACAAGUUUAGAUUUUAUGUCAUUUUUGUAGACUAUUUUACUAAGUACAUAUUGAUUUAUCCUCUCCGUCAUAAGUCAGAAGUUUCAACAAUUUUUACCAACUUUAAAAAGUUGGUCGAAAACUUCUUUCAAUCUACAAUUAAAAUAGGCUACUUUGAUGGUGGGGGUGAAUAUCAAGCUCUCACAUCCUACCUCUCAACCUGUGGUAUCCAACACCUUAAUCAUCCCCACACACUCCUCAACUAGUUGGUUCUACUGAACGCAAACAUCGACAUAUUGUAGAAACUGGUCUCACGCUUCUACAUCAAGCCUCCAUACCAGCAACCUUUUGGUCUGUAGCCUUCCAAACUGUCAUCUACCUUAUUAAUCAUCUGCCCACUCCAGUUCUCUAAUACCAGUCUCCAUUUGAAAAACUAUUUUCUAAAUCCCCAAACCUUCAAAAACUUCGAAUAUUUGGUCGUUUAUGUUAUCUGUGGCUAUGUCCCUAUGCCCCACAUAAGAUAGCACCAUGAUCUACACCUUGCACCUUCAUAGGAUAUUCUCUUGAACAUAAUGCCUUUCGAUACUACGAACCAAAAACUCAAAAAGUCUUUAUUUCACGUCAUGUUGUUUUUGUGGAGUCUGUCUUUCCAUUUCAAAACCACGAGUCUCCUACAAUGUCGACCACUAUAACAAAGAUACAUCAUUGGAGUAUACCAUCCAGUCUCCCGGUUCAACAGCUUCCCACUCCCUCCAUUCCUUCUCAUCUUCCUUCUUCACAAGCCUCCCCUACUACUGAUAUAAUAUCCUCAGAAUCACAACAACCUUCUUUACCUAGUACCACUGAUGUAUCUCAGCCUAUCUCGACCCCUAUCGAUGCCUCUCCACCACCCAUACUAAUACCACAACUUUCAGUUCCUAGACAUCCAAUGACAACACGCUCAAAAGUGGUAUUUUUAAACCACGUCAGGUUCUCGAUCUGCAUGCUAUCACCAAAUCCUCUCCCGAGACCAGUGAACCCACCACAAUUACUCAAGCCUAAAAAUCUCCUCACUAGCGUAAAGCCAUGUGUGAAGAAUAUGAUGCUCUUCUCUAUAACUCCACAUGGACUCUAAUACCUUUUCAUCAUACACAAAACAUCAUCGGGUGUAAAUGGGUCUUCCGAAUUAAGCGGAACCUCGACGGGUCCGUUGCUAGAUAUAAAGCACGAUUAGUAGCCAAAGGGUUUCAUUAACGACCUAGAGUUGACUUCACAGAGACUUUUAUUCCUGUAGUUAAACCCACAACAAUUCGGCUUAUUAUAAGUUUGGUCAUCUCCAAAGGCGUCAACUUAUGACAACUGGACGUUAACAAUGCUUUUUUACAAGGGACUUUAACUGAAGAUGUCUUUAUGCAGCAACCCCUUAGCUUUGUUCAUCACCAGUAUCCGAGACAUGUCUGCAAAUUAUAAAAAGCCAUUUAUGGACUCCGUCAAGCUCCACGAGCUUGGUAUACUGAACUUGGAUCGUUUAUGAUAUCAAUUGGCUUCAUCAACUCCAAGUCUGAUACCUCUUUAUUCCUACGACAACAACAUGGAAAUACAAUAUAUCUUCUAGUAUAUGUAGAUUAUAUUAUUGUUACAGGCAAUGAUCCCUUGGAGAUUCAGACAUUUUUUAAGCAAUUGGCUGAUCGAUUCUCCCUUAAAAAUUUAGGACCCUUGAGCUACUUUCUGGGAAUGGAAGCAACAUUUACAUCGUCAGGUCUCCUCCUCUCACAGAGAAAGUAUAUUCAAGACUUAUUAUUAAAGACAAAUAUGUAGGAUGCGAAAGAAGUUGCUACUCCUCUCUCUACUAGUGAAUCACUCAAAUUAUGUGAUGGUAGUCCUACCACGGACUCAACUCAAUACCGACAAGUACUUGGUUCCUUACAGUACUUGGCUCUCACCCGUCCAGAUAUCUCAUUUUCAAUAAUAAAUUAUCUCAAUACAUGCACCAGCCUUCUGCUAUGCAUUGGUCUGCGGUUAAACGAAUUUUGCGAUAUUUUAAAGGGACCCUUAAUCAUGGUCUCUUUCUCUGCAAAACCACUCAACUUCAUCUUCGUGCCUUUGCUGAUGUUGAUAUGGCGGGUAACUUUGAUGUGAGAACCUCCACAUCAGGGUAUGUGGUCUUUCUUGGGUCUAAUCUAAUCAGUUGGAGUUCUAAGAAACAAAAGACAGUGGCCCGAUCUACAAUUGAAGCUGAAUAUCGUGCUAUUGCUACUGCUGUUGUUGAACUCAAUUGGGUCAUAAAUCUCCUCAAAAAACUCAAAGUCAGCUCUACCCAUACUCCUACAAUAUAUUAUGACAAUGUUGAAGCUACCUACUUAUGUAUCAAUUUAGUGUUCCACUCACGCAUGAAACACAUUGCCAUCGACUUUCACUUCGUGCGAGAUCAAGUUGUCAGACAUCAACUUCGUGUCUCUCAUGUUGCAUCGAUCCAUAACAGAGAGAUUUUAUCUGAUAACAAAGAGAUUUUAUCUGAUAACAGAGAGAUUUCCUGAACUGCACAGUAGAUGAGAUUUUCUCAACUGUAUUAGGUAAUCUUUCUGCUCAGUUAAAGAAAUCUUAUUUUUCAUUAUGUAAAAAUAGACUUCAUAUUAUACUAAUUGAAGUACUAACGUUAGAUGGCAAGGUAGCCGGGGAUUAGAGGUCGAAGGAGCGGUGCCUAUAAAGCCUUUUCCGAAACGUGGAUGGGUAACAAAUUAAUGACUUUAUGAUUUGUACCGGAAUAUGUCUUUUACUGUAAAGAUAUUUUUAUAGCAUAAAUAAUUCAAAGCUACUCUGCGAUAUUAUAUAGUAUGAUAAAUAUAUAUAUAUAUAUUACAUUAAAUAAUUUAUCUCAAGCCUAAAUUACCCACACAAAGUGGCAUCCUUCGCUUAAAACAAAGUCCGAAAUGUUAUCAGUCGUCUCCUAUUCGGAAUGCUUGUCCUACUCGGAAUCGUUUUCCCAGUUGUGUCCGUCAUCGGAACCGUCUCUAUAUAACUCAUCAACGUUGGUCCUCCGCCACCUUCAACAACUCCUCUGUCAUUGCGAUCGACAUCUCUGUCCUUGCUUCGGUUCCUCGUAGCCACCAAAGGCAGCAGAUGAAGAUAAGAACACUAGGAGCAGAGGCGGAGACCACCAUGGACAGCCCUGACUGGACAUCGCUCCCGCUGGAUGUCCUCACGAAGAUUGGCGAAAAGCUUCCCGUCCCUUACCGUGCCUGCUUUCGUGCCACAUGCAAGGAUUGGUGUUCCGCACUCCUUCCCGUUGUCAUCCCGUCCCCGUGGCUCCUCUUAGUCGGCAAGAACAGCGAUACCUGCAACUUCUUGUCUCUCCCCACCAGACGCUCCUUCACCUACUCCCUUCUCCCUGAGCUCCACGGCGUGCAGUAUGUGGGCNNNNNNNNNNNNNNNNNNNNAAAUACACACAAGUUGGCUUUGUCAUUGCUACAUUGUUGCUUAACUCCAUUAUCUGCAUUCAAUAAAAUAUACACAAGCUGGCUUUGUUAUUGCUACAUUGUUGCUUUACUCCAAGACUGAAAUUAUUGUCCUAUUUAAGCUUCCAGAUCACAGGACACAUAUCAUUGCAAAGCAUCAUCACAAUGUGGUUUUUGCACACCCUCAAUAACAAAUUGUACUCUCUUGGAUUUAUCAAGAUAUUUGACACUACAGAAUAGGUUCCAAGUACUUGAACAUUGGUAAAUGGACCAGAGGAAUAAUAUAGGAAAGCUUACAGAAAAUUGAUUAGGUCCUUUGUAGGAUUACAUCCAAUAGGAAAAACAAAUCUGAAGGAUACCGACAAUAUAUAGAAGAACUUUGGACUUUGGACUUUGGUGUUGCAUAAACUGGAUUAAUUCAACUAUAUUAACACUUAUUUUGUAAAUCAGGCUUGAAAGUUCGUGCUCAUCUUCCUUUUUGUCAUAUCUGUAUGUACUGGAAUAAACUAUACUUGAGAUAAAAAGGCACAAGUACUGAAAUAAAAUAUUGCAGAAAAAGAAGAUGGUCUGUGAAUAAACUAUAGUUGAGAUAAAAAGGCACAAGGGAACUCUAUCAUAGUAGGAAUUUUUCGGAACAGAUACCUGAAGUUACAAUCAGCAUAAUUUUAUACUUAGAAUCAGAAUUUUGUAAAAUAGCAAGUGCAUCAAGAAAGAAGAGGGAAUCUAUCUCCAGAAUAAAAAAUUGUCAGAAACACCAUUCAUUAAUAUAGCAUCAAGUUCUGAAAAAUCAUCCAGUGGUUAUCCAGAUCUAAUUCCAAUAGCCCCAAGAACUAACUCCAAAGAAACAGAGUGCUGAUUGUAGCUGCCAGACCUUGGUGGGCUUAACUGACUAAAGCUAACCCACAGCAGUUCAUCAAUCCUAAGUGCAAAAUGGUCCAGAGUGGUCUAUGCUGCAGCCAGCAGUGCUGAUUUUGACCAAUCAGAACCAUUUCUAGUACAUAUUGGCUGUUCUCAUCAGCAUAGCAUAUGAGAACAAAUUCCCAUUUGAAUUUUUCUUAAUUUUUGCUUUUCUUAAUUUACUAAAUUUUCGGUAAGACAAACACAAGGAUCAAUGGUGAGAAAAUAUUCAUGUAGCUGACUCCAAAUGGUUGGAAUAAUACAGUUUGUUCUACGAGUGGUUGCUAUCCAGUAAGACGGAUAUAUUCAUCUACAUUUAAGACUUGUGAUAACUUUGUAGCCAUGUUUAUUGAUGUUUUCAAAAUAUAUGGCAUUGUACUAGUUCGACUACUGACCUAUCUUCCCUUGGAUGAAAUUGUGUCCUAAACAUUUUGACUUUAUGGUUCUUUUUAAGAUUUGACAAUGCAAAUUCACACAACAUUUGGGAAACUACAUCUUCUACAGAAGUAAAAGAAUAUACCAACAAUGUGAUAAAUCAUACAGCUGUUUUAUGUAGCUGAAAAUUUAACUGAUGUGGCCAAGAUGAAAAGGCAUGAGCAAAGGUCAAAAUGUAAAAAUGCCUGUGAUAGUGCAAAACUUAGCUAAGGAGUUUGGAACAAAAAGAUCAUAUACAAGUAAACAAAUAAGAAAACUAAACAAAUGAAAGUAAAAGCACGUUGGAAUAGACCUUAUUUUCUUGUUCAGCUCGCACAUACUAUUAACAAAUUCGUCUCUGCAUCAACAUAAAGAUCGUGAUUGAGUUUAUACAGUUUUUAGUAUAUCGCACACACAAGAAGAUUAAAAGAAGAACAAAAAACUAGUAUUACCGCAUGAAACCCACUUCACUCUGUUCACCGAUGCCAGUUCGAUUAAGAAGAUCAAAUAACAAGGUCAAAGUUCGAAAACAAAGAAUGACAAUAACGAAAGAAAAUCUAACAACAUUUGAGAGCACGAGAGCGAUUCUCACCUUGAGUGUAUCCAGAUCAGAACGGAGCUUCAAUAUCUCCUCCUGCAGCAGAGAAGUCCUCGCCUACGCACGAUAGUUACUAUUAGAAAAGGAUUUACAAGAUCAAUCGGCAACUAGAAAGGACGCGUAAUCAGAACCUCUUGCGCUUGGAUUGAUGCACCAAUCAUAGAAAGCUGAACCUGCGAUCCCCUCAGCUCCUGCUCGUCCAUCUCCCUGGACCGCUUGGCCCCAUCGAGGUCGGCGUUUGCAACAUUGAGAUCGUUCUGAAGUUCGAGGAGCCGCUUCUUAAGAUCGGGGACCCUAAGCUCUGAGUCGAAGACAUGCGGAUUGAGAGGGGCGCAUCGGAGAUAGCGUGGAGGCACGAGAAGCAUGGAGCGGCCAUAGUGUACCUUCUUGGGAUUUCUCGGAGGCGACAUUGCGGAUCAGAGAGAGGAGAUGUUUCUGGGAUUCGCCGGACGCCAUGGCGAGAAGGCGCCCCGAGGGCUCGGAGAUGGCAGCCUAGCUUUUUGGGGAACAGCACUCGUCUCCCGCUCUUUGGUUCGAGAAGAAUCCAUAAUUAUUCUAAAAUCAUCAUUGAUAUUAUGGAUCUCAGAUCAAACCGGAAAAUAGAGUCCUCGAUCUAAGGUUAAUUGUUAUAGUGAAAGUUGAGAACAGAGUUUUUUUUUUUUUUUUUUGCCAACAUGCUAAUAUAGGAAUUUCUAUGGAUUUACUAUGACAUUUUUCAAAAAACCCCAUAUUCUAAUAUCAAUAUGAUUUAAUCAAUUUUGAUCUUUUAAUCUGAUAUGAUGAAAAUGAUCUAACCUAUUAAAAUUUUUAAGUACUGUUGAAUCUGAAAAAAAGAAAAAUAAGUUCGAUUGGUCAGGAGACUUUCACUUGAGAUAAGAAAAAGUCCCAUAUACUAUAUCUUAUUUCAAUGUGAGGGUAGAAAUUAUUUGUUCUUGCAAAAGAUUAUGUUGGAAUAUAGGAUCACUCACCCCAUCCCCACUAUAUUAAUGUUGAAUGUUGAUAUUGUUUGUUUUAGUUCAAUUAAAUCAAAUAGCUUGCAAUUAACUUGGAAUCUACUCAACCAAAGUUCAACUCACCCAUCUCUUCCUAUAUCCAUAGGAGUAAUAAAAAAUAUCUUCUAUCUCACCUCAUUAAGGUCGAGUCUCUAUGAAAACUCAUACCUUUAGGCAUAACUUGUGUUUAUUAACUCACCCCAUUAACUCUCACCCCAGUAAAGCUAACUUUAGUGCUUAUUAACUUUUAAUUCCCUUACUUCUUCCUUGAUAUAGGACUAAAUAUGUUUGCUCGUGGCAGCGUCCGAUUCGGUGUCCGGCCACAAUCACUUUCCUUCAAAAGCGUGGAGAGAUGAGGUGAUCAGCGAGCGAAGGGUUGGAUGCGAUUUGGCUGUGUGACUCAGCAUCAAGUCACGACAAGGACGAUACCACCAAGUCCUUCUCGCCGUGUGGCUUCCCUGAGUUCUUUAACGCGGACCCCACCAUUUUCUUCUCACGCACUGUCUCUCAACGGUUUCGUUCAUCACGCAGCCAGCGUUGCUUUCCCCCGAACCGUUUGUUCCUUGAGCGAACGGUUACGUGGGGGUUUCGUUACCCGCUGGGGGCCCUACCGUUACGAUCGGUGCGAUUGAUGUCUUGAUUUUUAUGGGCGUGGUUUGGGUGGUGCAUCGUGCUUCGGGCUCGAAGAAGAUGCGAAGGCGGAUACGUCAUGAUCUCCUCCCGUUGAUCGUCACCAUCCGUGAUCUCUACGGACGUGUGGACGGCAGAUCUUCUUUCCGUACAUGGUAUACUAAGCGGCAACGGUUGGAGAUACUCGAGCUAUGGGGCCCGGAUAAGCCUCGCCUGUUCCCUGUGAAGCAUGACCGGACAUGAAGUUCCACGUGGCAAACUAGCGUCCGUUCACAGGCACGACGAUGGACACGCGUCAUUACGGCGGACCGCACGAGGAAGCCUAUGCUUGAAAGGAACAGGACUGGAACGGUCUCGAUUAAUUCCGGCGUUGCGUUAAUUACCUAAUCAUCUAAUUAAAUUAUCGCACUGCUCUUUCUACCUGCAAGGUUGUACACGUUUAGCCACAUGCGUUGCUAUUGGAGAGAAAGAUGGGGACCACUGGUGACCCACCUGCGCUCGUCCUCCGACUUCUACAAAAUUGCAGUCUGACGCUGAGUGGGUAAGCCUCACACGGCAACACUAUUUUUGUAAGAUGAGGCUCCACCUCCGCUAAUGACCAUCCUAAACUGAUUCUUGUGCAAGAAAAGGAGGAUAAGCUUUUUGCUUUUACUUCUUGUUGUUGGUUUUUAAGUCUAUAAAUUGGUGUGCCGACGGCGCAGUCUUCCGUCGCUUAUCCUUUCGGCUAUUUUCUCUUUUUCCUCUUAGAGGAGCAACUGUGAUCGGAGCAUCUGCAUCGCCGACAGAUCAGAACCGUCGCGUUCUUUGGAUUUUCGGUGAAGGUGAAAAGUUGAUAUCGAUCGGACGGAUGUCGAUCGCACUGGAGAAACGGGGCGACAUUGGCCGGUCGGGGCUUCUCCAGCGGCCCGCCUGCUUCCCAAUCUACGAGGUGCCAGAGGCGGCGGCAAGGCUUGCGGUGGCGGGGGACGGCGGCGAGGACUCCUGCAGCUCUUCGUCCAUCGGGAGGAACAGCGACCUCUCCGCCGGUGGAUCGGGGUCGGACGGCGGGGAGGCGGAGGUCCAGAGCAGGUUGAAGGGGCCACUAGAGACAAUGGACGCCCUCGAGGACUCACUGCCCUUGAGGUAUCCUUCUUCAUCUAUGCAAAAGUUCCUACGUUGACUAGCUUCUCUUGAAUGCUUCGGAUUAGGUUCUUGCUUUCUUGGUGCAUUUGGGUGAAAUGUAACGCGGGUAAUGUUUGUGAGAAAUGUUUUCAAGAAACAUAAUGGUGCUGCCUUUUUGUUCUUGAUGUAGCAAAUAUUUCUAGAACUUGUUUAGCCGUUGUUACGAUUAUCGUUAUGAUUGCUUGUUAUGUAUUAUAUUUUAGGGUUUGAGUUGUUCUUUUCUUGAUAUUGCUUGAAAUUUCCCCAGAUAUGAGUUGGAUUUGUGAAUUAGGGCCCUUCAGAAAUUGUGCCUAUCCAACGCUUUUAGAUUGCCCAUUUCUUUAUAAUCAGCAGAUAUCCAUAUCAGUUACUAGUGUCUGAUAUCUCACUCUUCUUUGACCAAUUUCAUUGGAUAAUUCAAGGGCUACUAUUUCAUUUGGUAUCUUAUUUCUAUCCCCCUGGUAUGAGUUGACUUUUGAGAUCUCUACUUAGAAGACAGUUAGCAUUGAACUCUGUAAUACGUGCGAUGCAUACAUCCUGUUGAUUUUUCAAAUGUUACCGUAAGUCUCCUAUACAAGCCUACUACAGACAUAAAAGUAAGGAUUCUCACCCGAAGUCUGGGGUUAUAAUAUGAGACCAGAGGGGCUUUUAUUUGUGAUUCUGGAGCAAUGGAGAGCCUUUUAAUGCCUUCUACAUAUCUUUAUUGUUUUUGACAAAAGUUUUUGGUCCUACUAUCGCUCGCUAAUCAGCUGUGAUCGAGAUUGAUAACCGGAAAACCAUUUUGAUGUUGGGAUGAGUUGGAACGAGAUGCAUUUAACUUUGGGUAGACAAAAUCUUGGAUGAGUUUUGGCAUCAUUUUAUCAACAGGAUUAAAUCUUCAUCUUAUUAUAAUGCAGACAAAAUUUAAGGUUUUUAAAAUGAUUUUCGCCACAUCUACUGAGCAGAAUGUCACUGACAUAGUAAACCAAUCAAAAUGUUGCCAUAACACUUUUGUUUGUAGAGCAUGAGAUGCUAGAAUAGUUUGCAUGUAAUCUUACACUAUGAGAUAGAGGUCAGACAUCAUCAAUUCACUAUUAUCUGAUGCAUACUAAUUUGGAGUUUAGUUUUCAGUUUGUUUUAGCUUAGUUUUUUAAAAGACAUAAUAUAUUUAAUAAAUUAUAAAUGUUGGCUUUGUUAGAAUUAGUUUUAUCUUAUCACUGACAUCAUGGGACAACAAGAUAAUAUUUUAUUUUAGAAAGUUCGAUGAGUUUUGCCAGCUGAAAAUAAGAUUAUGUCCUUGUCAGAUAUUUACAGUAUUGACAAUGAAAUGAUGGAUUUUUUGAAUGACUAAUCCUGUGUUUUCUUGUGAUGGGUGUUCUCCGCACCUUCCAAUCCAGUUUCCCUUUCACUCUUAAUUCGUUGAAUUAAUUAUCUUGGUCUGGUGAUUAAUGCUAUUCCAAAUUAGAGCAUGGAUUUGAGGUUCCAUGCCACUCCAUUUUGCUGCAGUACAUAUUCCCUGUACUUGGACAAUGGAUCUAUUGUGUUUGUUGUCUCUAGACAUUAUUGGAAAAUAUUAUCUUUGAUCUGAAGAACAUUUCUCAAAGAUGACCUAGGAAGAUCUUUUCACUCAAAGGAUUGUGCUAGUGAUUAGAUCUUCAGAGAUAGGUAUAGAUGGCAUGUCCAUCCCUUCAUCAUUGUAUAGGGAUUUCAUUUGGAUUAGCUCUUCAGCUGCACGCCACAUUCUUUUUUCCUGCAUCUUAAUGUGAUGGUGCUGUAUCUAAAAUGCAUUUUAGGUUUCAUUUCUGUAUUUCACUUCCCUACCUAGUCAUUUGCCAUACAAAUUAGGUUCAACUUUGAGGAUUGAUUUUACCAGAUUGUGUUAAUUGAGAUAUCAGUGAGGAUGUUAACAAUAGAUAAGUGAUUCUGUUGCAUGGAUACCUGAUCCAUGCUAAUGUAGUUCAAUACACAUACGGGCAGCAGUUGUGGUGCAUUUGUGUCCAGUCAUGGUGGUAUUGAGAUAAUAUAUUAUUAUUAUCCAUGUUUUUACCAUCAUGUAAGGAAUUAUAUUAAUUGACAUAUUGUUGACGUUACAUACUUUGUGGUGCAUUUGUGUCCAGUCAUGGUGGUAUUGAGAUAAUAUGUUAUUGUAAUCCAUUCUUUUACCAUCAUGUAAUAAAUUAUAUUAAUUGAGAUAUUGUUGAUGUUACAUCCUUUUAGAGAACUGUCUAUUCGGUAGGAUUCUGAGAGAUUUUAUGAAGUCUGCAUUUCUGAAUGAGGCUGAUUAUCAUUACGUACAUUUGAUUUGCAUGAAGUAGAACACCAUGGAUUAUUGUUCAUGAAACAUUUCAUCAUCCACGACAUUGAUGCACCGAGUUAAGGGCAUCAUGCUACUUACUUUGGGAAUGAUUCAAAAAGACUUUGGAACAUUUUAUUGCAAUGGUAGUGACUAGAGAGAUGAACUAUUGACACUUGGAAAAAAAAAAAAAAAGGAGAUAUCAAGCAUAUAAGUUGGCAAUUGUUGCCAUAGUAAUAGUAGGCUUUUGUUUCUAGAUUAUAUUAAGGCCAUAUGGUUUAAUGAGUCAGCAUGCCUUGAUUUCUCUCUCUCUGCAGGCGUGGCAUCUCCAAGUUCUAUACCGGCAAAUCCAAAUCUUUCACAAGCUUUGUGGAUGCCAAAUCAUCUUCCUCUUGUAAGGAUCUUGCAAAAUCUGAAAAUGCUUAUACCCGCAAGCGCAAGAAUCUUCUUGCCUUCAGUGUUCUAUCAGAUAAGUCUAGCAAGCUAGGAAACAUGGAAGGGCGUAUUUCAAAAAGACCUGCCAGUUCCAGCCGAAGCAUGCUAAGCCCGAUCCUAAACAGUGCCAGCUCCAGCAGCAACAGCUUCAGCAGUGAAGAGGAUAAUGUUCUGGGUCAUCUUCUUCCUCCCCCUCACCAUCAGGGCAAAUAUUCUGGCGAUGCUACUUCAGCUACUGCUGUUUCUCUUUCAACUACUCCAUUCGGUUCCUCCCCGAUGAGAUCAUUCUCAGUGACAGAUCUCCACGGCAUCCUUCGUUCGUCCUCGAUUCAGAUUCAGACAAGGGAUGACCACAAAAAGAAUCAGUAGCUCAAAGAUGUCUCUCUGAAUUGAUUUGGUCCCAUGUCCCCUAUUUUUUUGGAUCAUGGGUUUUCAUCUAUCUGCUUGGUGAUUGUCAGAUGGUUGAUUGAAUGUUUGUACAGGGGAGGAAAUUUAAGUUUGUUUUUGCUAGACAUGAGAGAGUGUCAUAUGAAUGGCCUGACUAGGUCUCUAAUUUACAGGGGUCCUCCUGUCUAUCUGACUCCUUGUCCUUGCAUUUAUAUACUUGUUAUGCCCUGCUCUUCCAUAUGCUGCGUUAUCACCUGAGGAAGACCACUGACGUGGAAUGAUGCAUCUGAUGUAUGGUUUAAUUUAAGCUAUACCAUAUCAGGAGGUGUGGUUCAAUUUGCAUUUUUGUUGGUAAAGAAAAUUGUUUGAAAAGAUGUUUCGAAACUUCUAACCUUUGAUGAGUGAUAAAUUCGGUUCAUGAUAGGCAGAUCAAUGCUUUAGUUAUUGUGUAAGUGCAGCUGAUUCAAAAUUUUAACAAGUGCAACAUUUGAAAUUUUGAUGCACAAGGAGAGUUAGAUUACCUGAGUUAUCCAUGCCAAAUGAAUGUCAUUAGCACAUUCUUAAUUGGUUUAAUAAUAUUAUAAACGACAUAUGAAUGUUCGUUGCAAUUCAUGAUGGAUUAUAAAGGGCUUCGCGGAAACGAUAUUAAAAUGUUCUAAUGUUUCCGGUCUCCAAAUGAUACAAUUCUUAUCACAAUAAAAAGUCAUUGAUGCAUAAGAAAUCUGAAGGAAAUGAUGACAUUGAAAAUUUUGCUCCAGUAGGUUGAUUCAAGAUUCUGCCUCCAUUAAUUCGGGAUUGUCAAAAAGAUAUGAUACAUUCUAUAUGAAACCGCAACGCAAAUAGAAGAUGGAACCAUAUCAGAUGCGUAAGAUGAAAGUGGAAAGGAUGCAUGUGGAGGUAACAUGUACUACGAGUAGUAGUGAUAAGUCAAUAUUUUAUCCUUUCGGGCUGAGCAAAAUAUAUAUAUAUAUAUAUUUGAAGGGUCGUAAAUCUUUAGUUCAUCUAUUCUUGAACCAAAGUAAGACUAAAUGUACUUAUCAAUGACUCCCUAGCAGGGAGAGUCAAGGGCUCAUGACCCUUCAAGAGGAAUCCAAUAUCGCGGAGGCAUAAUGUCAAAUACAUCCAAGACAUGUAAGUCAGGAUGAUCCAAUCCUAAAUAAUCUUGGUCAUAAGAUAUUCGAGAGGAACAUCGAGAUAACCGGACAUAUCGAUAUGCUAUAUACCCGUCCAUAUGAUGAAGGUAACUGGUCUUAUAGCUGCCCGUGUGGGGACACUAUGGAUAUAGUAUAGGUGCUCAUUGGAGAAUAAGUUCACUAAUUGAUCCACUCACGGAAUACUGGAUGGUUGAUGAUACCUCAUUAUCAGAUAGCGAUUUCAUCGGUCCUUAAACUUUAGACACCAAGGAUAUCCUAUAUGAGUACUUCAUUCUUUGAUAUCGAACUUAUAGGUAUGAAAAUUCUAGAUCUAGCACAAUUGGUCAUUGGGAGUGACAGUCAAUCUUAUGAGAACAAUUGAGUGACUAUAGAAGAUCAUCCGCUCUCGGUAUCAUAAGAGGAAUAUCUUAUGUAUUCUUUCUCAAGCAAAUCCCUAGCUAGGGUCAUUCGGAUUGAAAGAGAAAGAGUUCUCCUAGAAAAUCCGAUUAGAGCGAGAUUCGAGUAGAUUCCGUAUGGGCUGACAACACCAUAUCAGGUAUAUGAUCUUUGGGAUAUUAGAUAAAUGAGGGACUAUAGAGACACGGUAACUAAGGACAUACAAGUCCAAUGGAUUGGAUUCUCUUGUAUCGUAUGGGGACUACAGCGUAGUGGCCUAGUACAUCCAUAGUCAAUGAGUUGAAUGAAUAAUUCACUGAGCCAGAAGGAGUUCUAAUAGGUAUGACUCACAACCAUAUUGAUAUUGGGCCAAGAGGGUCACACAUAUAUAAUAAGUGUUGCACCGAGUAGAGGUUUUGAAUAUAAGAUAUCCGUUGAAACUCUUAUUUUAUUGGAUAUCCAAUGAACUCCUUAAUUAUUAGAUUUUAUGGAUAAGAUCAAAUAAGAGCCAAUUAAAGAUUAUUGGAUAAAGAUCUAUUAACCCAAGAUGCUUGGAUAAUUGAAUAGAGAUCUAGUACUCAAUAUGACAAGAUUCAUUAUAGUUAAAUUGAUAGGGACCUCUAUAAAUAGCAAGAAACUAAAGGGAAAUAGGCUAGAUAAUUUUUGGCUGCCACCUCCUAUUCUCCUCACUCCCUCUCCUCCUAAGUUGAUAGCCCCAGUUUAGGGUGUGUGGAUAGUAAGAAAGGUCAACCCCUUCUUGAUCAUGUGAUGUGCAUGGAGAGGAAGAUCAUGCACCGAUUUGAGGGGUGUUUUUAUCACAUCAACUAUAUGGAUCAUCAUUAGAGAGGAGGAUAGUUGACCUCCUUCAUCCACUCCUAUAGAUCUAGGAUUUUACAGGGAUAUAUGAUUUCCUUAUGUAACAAAUAUGUCUUGAUAUGCGUGAUUUUCGUUUUGCGUUUUCGAUUUUACACACUAAUCUUCGCACGAUAAUGAAAUAUUUUUUUCUUUGUUCCUUUUCUCUAGCGGUGUCUUCAUCGGUUGAGGAUCCUUUAAGAGUCCUUUUUCCUUUAUUUGGAAAAUGACUUCAGUUCUAGUCAUGUUCAAAGGAGUCGACUUAAACCUUAGGUGAGGUAGCUCGGGUUAGUCUUUUCUUCUUCCCAAUGGUGACCUCAAGGUCAAGGUUUAUGGUAGUCGCUCCUAUCUUGGCUUUUUAUGUCUUCUCAUGCUUGCUUGAGAUCAUUGUCUUUGCGGCAAUGUACUGGUUGACCCUCUAGAGCAUCUUAGGUACCGUCAUCGGUAGCCUCUCCACCAAUGAUUAAAAAAAGCGAGAGAGCUUGAGCUCCAUCAUGAAAGCUUGUAUUACAAAUGACAAAUGAGCUUCUUGCACACCUCGGAUCUCAUUAGUGAAUCGAACAACAAAGUCAAAGAGUAUUUUUUCCUCCCCUUACCCGAGUCUAAGAAGUAUUACCACUAAUAGCCUCGGGCAUAUAUUUCCGAGGAAGUAGAGCUCAUACUCCUUUACAAGCUGAGCAAAGUAGUCGACCGGGAGUGACUUUAAGAAAGUGUACUAUUCUUAUACUAGGCCUCUUAAUGUUGUUAGGGAGGUACGACACAUCAAGAAGUUUGAGGUAUCAUACAAUGACAUUUGGUAUGGAAGACGAUAGUGUACUCUAUUAAGUUGGUACUAUCGUCAAAAGCCUCUAAUGAUGGGAGGUGAAAGUUUAUUGGGAUUAGCUCCUCUUGGAUGUUCCAAAUGAAUGAGGAUCGACUUGAGGUGGGGUCAUCCGGCCUUUCCCAUUUGGAUUGUUGAAAUUCUCGUUGCAUCUUUUUUAAGCAUUAGUCCAUUUGUCGUAGCUGAAUUCUUAAGGAGUCAUCCAUCGAAUUUGCUGACUAGGUCUUGGAUUUAGGCAGAGUAAAAUGAUAGUGCAGUAGUGCACUAAAUUCCACGGUUGGGGAGUGGGGCACUCUUUUGGUCGAUAGUUCUACGAGUCUUAGCCAAUCCUGAGAUGUUGGCACUACAUCGGACAGGGGCAUCCUAGUGAGUGUCGAGGUGUCGAGACUAACGAUCAGGAUUGAACAAGAGGAGGAGGUAGCCAUUGCAGUAGGUCCAAAAAAGCUUACAACCACACAUUAGUGCUCGUUCGGAAUCAUAUAUAUUAUUUAGUCACUAUCCCAACUCAGAAAAAGUACGUACAACUUUUAUUUUAGUGGAAAAAAUACGUCUCUUUUAGUCACUAAGAAACUAUUAACUGAAAACGUAAUAUUUUACUUAUAUUCAAGGAUCGUAGGUAAGACAUAAUGUGUACAAUCAUGACGCGUGAAUGAACGUCUAUUAUGCAUAUACAAUGCUUUCUAUUAUGUGUGGCCCCGUCAAGUUAGUCAUAUUGUUUGAAUAUUUUAUUUGAGAUUUGUCCUUAUUACAUGUAUAUAUUUAUGUAUUAGAGUUAAUUCUCAACUUAUAUAGUAUAUGCUUCUUUGUAUGGAAUGAUAACACAUUGCAUAAGCUCCAAAAGCAAAGUCAAUUUUGUUGGCAGCAUAAUGUUUUAAAUGAAUUUAACUUGUAGAAUUAUAACGAUUCUAAACCGAGAAAGAGUAAGAAAAGUGGGGAAAUGGUAGAUUAAGAACCACAUUAGGAGAAAUUUCAUGAAGACCAGUAAAAGCAAAGCUGGGUUUUAAUAUCUAUCCUUGUAUGGUUUGGAAACAGCAUUUCCUUGUAAAUUUGAUAAAGCAUAUCAACAAACGAAACCUCACAUUAUGUUAGAAAUAUUAAUAAUACCUUUAAUAUUCUUACCAUCAUAAUAUUUGGUUCCAUUUUUAUGGCUAAAAAAGAAAAUAACUUUUAUCUUUUUUUUUUCCAAAAAAAAACUGAAUAUAUUACUGUCUAAAAACAUGAACACUAUGCGAGGACCUCCAAAUUAGAGAUGUUUUGAAAGAGUAUGCAAAAUGUGCUAAUCAAUUACUGCUCUUAUUUCCUUCCCUAAAAACAUGACAAAAUUUGCAUUCAUAAAAAUAGUCAGACAAAUGCCAAAUACUCCUAAACAAAGUCAGCAGUCUCCAAGGUGGAUCCUCUUCUUCAUUUAACGCCUUGAUAAUGAGCUGAGAGUCAACUUCCACCUCUGACUUGGGAAUGCCAUCAUCACAAGCCUUCUGCAUCCCCCAUUUAAUCACCAUCAACUCAGCAGCCAGUUUGAGGCAAAAAUUAGCAUCCAGCCAUCACACAGCUCACCUCCCCUCCAAUCUAUAAAAUGACCCAUCAGUGUUGAGUUUAUAUCACCCUAUGGUAGGUUUAGAUCAGGUUACAUGCAUUCUGCUCACAACACUCACGCAAUAUCUGGAGAAUAAAGUUUUCAUUCAUUUAAGAAAAGAUGAUCUAAGUACAAUUCCUUUGUUCAUUUUUAUAGGCCCAUACAUAAAGAAAAUGGAAAACAGAAUAAAUGGAAGAAAAAAAAAAAGGCUAAUCAACUAAAAUAUAUUUUUUAUUAGGAAACACAAGUUUCUACAUAUAGCCUUCCUUCCAUUUAGCCUGAUGGUUCUUUCCCUUUUUUUUCUCUUCUUUGUCAAUCUAGGAAACAAUGAUAGAAAUGCAUGAGAUAAUUCAAAUGGCCUCUCUACUAUUUUUAUUUUUAUUUUUUAAAGCUCAUCGCAGCGAUUCAAUUAUGUUGAAAUUUUUCGUAGGAUUUUAUAAAAGAAAUAACUUAUGAAUUUAAUAUCCUAUUAGAAACAAUGACAACUUAACUUCUAUCAUGUAUAGUUUGGCCAGGCCACCUAAUAGGUAUAUGUUGUUUUCUUGCAUGGAGUAAAUUAGGUCAUGUUACUAAAUUGGUUUAUAAUGAAAAUGGAAUCAUGACCUGCUAUUAUUUAUUGUAAUCUAAGAAUUUUUUUUUCAAAAUGUAAGUAGUGAAGACUAGAUUCGAAUCCAAGACAUUGCGAUAAAUUAUCAAAAUCUUUACCAAUUAAGUUGAUUAAUAUAUUCUAAGUUCAAAAUUUAUACUAAUAUCUUUCCAAGAGAUAUGAGAUGUAAGCAAAAUUCAUACUAGCUAACACCUUCAAAGUUUUAUAUGUUAGGCUUGAAUGUUUAGUAAAGCGACAAUAGGAGUUUAAAUCGAUUUGGUUUUACUUAAUAAUCAUGAUUUAUAUUUAUUUUCCUAUUUAGUUUAGGUUAAAAAAAUUAAGAAUACAAGUUAAAGAUGGUAUGCAGUUAUCAAUUAUUUUAUUAUGAAAAAAAUUAGCAUUAUAUCUUGGAAGAGACUAUUAGGAUCGAGUCGACACUAAGAGGAGGGUGAAUUAGUGCAACGGAUAAAAACAGACUUGUCCUCUUCUUAAAGCAGCACUAGGCAUCGCUAAUUGGGAGAUCGGUAGGCAUCCUCACUUUUCCUCGACACCUUGCUAUGUUUCAUUAGUCUCCUUUGGGUGAUAUAAGAUUCUUCUAAAACCUUUAUACAUGUUUCAUGCGUAAUAUAUCAUCAUCGUUCGUCUUCUUCAAUCUCUCUUGCGGAUUUGGAGAGUAGAUGGGAGGUGUAGAGGGACUUCUCUUACGUUUCAUUGAAGUCAUGUGGGUUGGACUAAAUUUGGCCUGAUACAAAAGUCAAAGAAGUGUUUUGACUUCUUGAACCUUUGUUUGAAUUGUUGUUUGACUUUGGUUCAACUCAGACCUGAUUUCUACUUGUGGGCAUUAUAUAUUGAUUUAUGCCAAUUGUGAUUAUGCAUAUGAUUUCGUGACUUGUAGAACAUUGCAUUUAUUGUGGAACACUUAAAUAGAUAGCAAAUUUUGAGUCAUAUUAACAGAAUUAUUUUGGAGUGGUAUUCGAAAUUAGAAUAUGACUGGACUUUUAAUUGGUACAAAAACUGGUAUUUAAUUCUCUUAGGUACAAAAGAUUAAUGGAGAAGGCCAACAUCAGCUCUACUGUCACCUCAAGAAGUCGAGAGGAAGAACCACAGGUGGAGGAAGGAAUCACCACAGAGAGACCAGAUUGGACAUUACUACCACUCGAUCUCAUAACAAAGAUCAGCGAAGAACUUCCCAUCCCACACCGUCUUUGCCUUCGUGCCACAUGCACAACUUGGUAUCAUGCUGCAGUCUUGGACAUGGAUGUCCCGUCCCCAUGGCUCCUCAUACCCGAUCAUGAAAGUGAGCAAAGCGACUCUUGCACUUUCGCAUCUCUCCCUACUGGCCUCUUCUUCACGUACUCCCCUAUCCCCGAGCUUCGUGGCACACGUUGUGUUGGUUCUCAUGCUGGUUGGCUUGCGAUCGCCAAUGUUCACUUGGACGUCAGCCUCCUAAAUCCCUUAACAAGGUCUCAAAUCUACCUUCCCUCCUUCACCACCCUACCUACUGAUGAUCUCAUGCUUGAAUGUGACGUCUGGUCUAUGGACAAUCCAGCAACUGAUGUGCCUGCUUAUAACCCUUUUAAAGCAUUCCGCGAUCGCUUCAUUGGCAAGGUUGUCUUUUCCUCAAAUCCUACUAUCCAUAACCACGUCGCGGUGACACUCUAUGGUGCUUAUGGUGAUCUUGCCUACACGAAGGCAGGCAAAGAUGCGUGGCUUCUUCUUAAGGAACCAUCAACCAAGGAUCAUCAGUAUGAGGAUGUCAUGUAUCAUGAUGACAAAUUCUACUGUCUAUCAAAUGAAUGUGAAGUCGAAGCUUUUGACCUAAGUGGAGAUUGUCCCACUGCGGCACUCGUCGUUGAGAGAUUAACAUUUAGUGUUACAUACUUUCACGACAUACGCGGCUCCAAUCUCAGCUGUACGUAUAAAAAAUACUUAGCACGCUCGAGCACAGGAGAGUUGUUUAUGUUUCUAAGAUAUAUAAAUCAACCCGUUUUACCGAAUGAAAUGGAACUGCGUAGGCCAAAAAAAUUCAUGGUUUUGAGGGCUAAUCCCGAGACUAACCCUUGUUGGGCUGCUGCUACAAACGACUUGGGAAGUAUGUCAUUGUUCAUUGGUACCAACAAUUCCAUGUUGGUAUCAAAUGAGAAUUUACCGAUAGUACAUGGAGACGGUAUCUUCUUCAUCGAAUCCUACACAGUAGCAUUUGGCAAUGGCAUUGAACUACUCACUUCUGAUGUUGGAUGGUUCAAUUUGAAAGAAGAAUGUUCGGAUAACUACUAUGCAUCAUCUUGUCCUCAAUUCGACUUGGCAUCAGUCAUCUGGUUCACACCCUCACUACAGUGAUUACAAAAGAAAAACUGGUUCUGGUUGUCUUUGAAUAACCUAUUACUGAAUGUAGAGAUAUGUUGAUUGAUCAUUAUUCCUAUGAACAUUAUUAGUCUAGAGUUGAUUAACCAUCUCGAUGUUAAUUCAUUUAACUUGUGCUUUGUUGUGGGCAAGAAUAUAUUUUGCUUUAUAUUGGAAAUCAUAUUUGAUUGCACAAAGUUUCAAUGCCCUGAUUUGCAUGUCUUGAUGUGGCGUAGAAUAUGAAAUCGUAGAUACAACACAUAGCAAUUCAUUUUCCAUUAUGGAGAGACAACCUAAAGAUACAAUGGAACAUUGAGCCCGGAGCUUUGUUUAGGAUACUAACUAUACCGAUCCAUCAUUGUCGUUUUAUUGGAACUGGACUUCAUCAUUGGAAUUAUUUUAGCACUUAGAAAUUUAUGUGUUAGUCAAUAAAACUAGACGACUACUUAUCGCAGUUAGAGAGAGAGAGAGAGAGAGAGAGAGAGAGAGAAAGCACUUACGUUUUGAUCCUUUAAAAAUUAUGGUAUGGAAUUGAAACAAAGACUUGCAUGAUCGAUCGAAUACAAGAAGUCGAUGCAGAAUUCUAGGUUGAAAAUUUGGAAAAUUAGACCAUGUAGUAUCAAUCAAAUUCAAAGAAUUCAUAAAAGCAUCAAUGGACUUGGGACUGAGGUCUCUACAAAGUUUAAAUGGUAAAAGACACUUAGGCCAUUAAAAAUAUUAAUAUGUAUAUUAGAGGAUAGAUUGAUCGGUGGAGUUUCAUUUCUUUAAAAAAAAUUGUAAGGCGAAGAUGAGAAUUUUGAAUUCAUUGCUCUUUUUAAUGGGUCUCCUUGUGAAGUGCCAAGCUUAAUUUUUAAUUAUAAAAGCAAAAAUUAAAUUAUCCAGGUGCUUUGAUUGCCUCGAUUUUAUUCAAAGGGUUUUGAAUUUAUAUAAAUUUAACCUGCUAAAUUAGUAAGAAAACUAGAGUAUUUUUUAUCAAUUUUCUUAAAAAUUAAGAAAAUUAAAAUUACUCAACUUCGCCUACUUCGUAAAGGGUAUCAUUCCAUACAUCAAGCCAAGUAAUAGCCUUUGCCUUUAGACUUUUGGAGCAUUCAAAGUAUGUACUUCUUAUUUAUAAUUGAUUACUAAACUUCCCCUCUUUUUUAUUGUCUCUUUUUUUUUUAAAGAGAAUUAUUGCUUUCAAGGGGUUAAAUUUUGUCUCAUAACCCUUUCAUAGAUUUAGCCGAUUGUACUAUAUUUUUUUAUUUUUUUGUUAUCUACUCCUCUAAGUAAUAAAGGAUAUAAGAUACUUUAUACUUCAUUCCUUAGUCGAUCAUCAUCACUUCAAUCCAAAGUUCAUCACUUUGGAUUAUCUCAAUAAGAAUUUCUUUGACAUAGGCCUUAUGAAAUUCUCUCACAACUAUCCUUUUAUUUUAUCUUAGUAUUUGGAAUUUACUAUUAUAUUCUCUACUGCUUUGGCCCUCAACUAAUGUGUUCUCCUUUCAUAAAAGCAAGAGAUCAGGAACAACUAAGAAGUAUUACCUAUGUUAUACCAUGAUAUACCAUUAAGCUCAUGGCCCUAUUUCCAUUACUUCACAUUUGCAUCUUUUUUUCUCUAUGAUUGAUAGUUAUUGUCAUUGUGGUCGAGUGGCACUCUUUUUGGAGUCCACAUUCAAUCUAACUGAUGGAUUACUAGUAUAUACUUAAACAUACUACCCCUUGUCUACUAACGCACACAACCUUCAUCUGAUGUAAUUUUUAUGCAUGUAUCGAAAACCUACCUCUGUAAGACAAUGAUAUUCACUCCUUAAUUAUAUAGUCAUUCUUUUAAUGCAAAUUCAAUAUAUACAUGGAAGAUUUGUUUGUAUGAUUUCAUAGUACUUAUCCCUUGAGUUCAUAGUUUUUCUUAAACUGAAAAUUUAAUACAUGCACAAAAGAUUGAAAGUCCCUUGUCUGAAUGAUCAAGUCCCUGAUUAGACUUGUUAGUGUGUUGCUCUAUCUCAAAUUAUUCCAUCAUGAUCUACUACCCCUAUGUCGCUUCAUGGUGAUAUCUUUGUUGAAUUUUAGAUUUGAUUGUCAAACUACUUAAUGAAUUUGAAGAUCUAAUCUUUAGAGAAGUCAAGCGACAUAUGUGAACUUUGACUCAUAGUAUCAAUCACUAGAGUUGUAUGUUAUUAUUUUGGAUGAUUGAAAGUUAUAUUGAAAGAUCGAAUAUUAUAUAAGAGAAUUGGAUAUCAUAUCAGAGGAUUGGACAUAAUGUAGGAGAAUCGAAUGUUAUGUUGGAGAAGGAUAACUCGACAUAUCAAAAGGUAAGGCAAUAUGCCAAAAGACUAGAGGACAUGUCAAAAGAUUUAACAAUUCACCGAAAGAUUUAACAAGUUGAAAGAACCAUUGAUGUGUCGAACCCUUGGUCAAGUCAUUAAUACAUUGGUUGAGUUAUUGAAGCCUCAGUUGAGUCAUCGGGCCUAUACACAUUCUUAAUUAGGUCAUCAAUGAGUUGUUAUUUGGCCUCAAAAUGGGCUUUUAUGAGGAUAGGUUGCUUAAGCUAGUUUUCGUGCUAUUUUGGGCUCUUACUAGGCUUUAUAGCCUAGGCCUAGCCUAGGUGGUAGUAUUACUUAGAUAGGGAGUAGUAUCACCUGGCACAUUUAGAAUGGUCUAGACAAUGUUGAUUUAGUGGUUUGAUGAUAAUGUUGAAAGAAGUGAUAGUAAUAUCACCUUGGAACAUUUCUUAAGAACAAGGUUCAUUAUAUUAUAGUAUACAACUCAGUAUGGGCAAUAUGUACUAAUCCAACAGGGGAUCAGUAUGGGUGAUGCAUUAGCAUGCCCCUAUGUACCAUGUUAAUAUGCUUGGUAUGACUCUGUAUAGCUCGAUACAUAUCGUACUAAUAGCUAGUCGAUACACUAGCAUGGACUAGUAAGACAAACCGCAAGUACUUUUUCUUAAUUUGCUCUAUAUUCUUAGAACUUUUAAGAUUAUAGAUGCCCUAUUUAAGCUUGGUUGGUGGAGUAUCCAUCUUGAAAAUUUCAAGUGCUAAAUUUCUCUUUUAGAUAUUUGAGUUUCUUAUAACUUCUUGAGUUUGAGUUGUCUUUGUAAUUAAUAUGGGAGCUUUGACACAAGGAAUCUGAUGACAUAUUAUACUUAUCUAUAUACCUUGCCUGAUCAAUAUAACAACCAAGUUAUCAUCCUACAAUGAUCAUCACUCGGUACCUAUAGGGACAAUGACUUGACUCUAACAAAAUGGUCUAUAUUAUCAAAAGAAUAACUUGUUAUCCUUAGCAUUUGCACGAAAUACCUUAUUGAUAAUUGUAACAUUUGACGAUUCAAGGCAUAACAUCCUACUUAACAAUAAUUGAAUAUUUCGCAUAAAAGUUUGUAGAGUUAAUCCCCAUUAUGAUUUAACGACUACCCAAGCAUACCAAAAAAGGCCCCCAUGUGCAUUCUUGACUAUAUCUAAGAAAAUAAUCUUAGUUAUCUCUUGAAGCUUUCAAUAUUCCCUAGUAAUUUAGGUAUCUAAAGUACUUUUAUCAGACAAGCCCCUAUUGUAGUUUUUGUAGGACCUUCUAUGAAUCCUUCAUCUUUGUAGGGCCUUCAAUUUGUUCUCUCAUUUUCUCAAUAUCCAACCUGUGAUAAACGUAGAAGUCAUACCUAAUUUAGAUCUAAACACCCCAUUUAUCAUACAACUAUAAUAUGAUUUAUUAGUAUAUUAUAGAAGGUGUGAGUCAUUAGUGGUUAAGUGAAGGCUUUUUAAGCCUUAAAAGGAAAAAAGUAUAAAAGGUUAUUAAUCUUUACUUAUUAAAAGAAAAAUUACUAGUAAAAGCUGAUAGAGGAAUCACGAGUAGGAAUAAGUCAAGAAAAUCAAAUUAUUAUGCCUCUCUAUUGUUUUACCCGUGCUUUUCUCUUAUGUUUGUUUACUUAUUUUAAUUAGAUUUUAUAUAAUUAUUUUUUAUUUGUUAAAAUUUUAAAUUUUGUAGAAGAACUAAUCACCACUUUUAUAGUGCCACUAAGAUCCAAUGCAAAGGCCACCAUUAUCUCAAUACAAAUCAAUGAAAGCAAAGCAAUUUGAUUUAAACUCAGUGAAAGCACUAAGUAGUAUGAGUGGAGUCUGCUGAAAAGAUGAAAUAUGAAGUGGAAGCACCUAUUUCAUAGUGCUAUACUUAGAUAGAAGUCAAGAACUUUUACACUUGUAGAGGCAAUUGCAAAACCAUAUGAUUUCUUGCUUUUCUUGUUUUAAUGAGGUAAGAAUUAUCUCACAUGCAUCGUGUCUGAGUCAAAAGGAGCCUUGAGGCACAUGCAUAUGAUGUUGAUGAUGCAUUUUGGAGUACAAGGUAGGUUGAAGGGGAGUGUUUAUAUAUGUUUGCAAAGGGUAAGUCUUCAUAUAACCUCAUACAAAUCCUUAGGUUCUUUCGAAAUAAGUUAGUGAAAGUAAACACAAAGACAGACUAUUAUAUCAUUCUAAAAAAGCAUAACCUUAUAUCACAUAAGUAGAUAUUAAUUGAAAACACUCUGGUAAAUACAAUAGAAAGAUAGAUUUCGAAAAUUUAAAACGAUCACACGACAAAAGAGUGAAUGCAGCUUGGUACUCAUAAUUGAUGCUCACGAAGGCACAUGCAAUACCGAUUGUUAGUGAUAUGAUGACCUAUCUUUAGAUACUAUCGCAAGCCCCAUAAAAUCUGAUGCCACCUAAAGGGUUUUAGGAUAUUAAGAUAGCUAACAUUUUACAUCGCAUUUCUGCACAAGAAAAUCCUAACAAGUUUAAGUCGGGGGCUUUGUUUAUGGGAAUUUUUAUCUCUAAGUGUGUUACGAUUACAAACCAUAAAGAUCAUAAAAUUUAAUCAAACUUGAGUUAUCGAAGCUAAUUUAGGCCCCUUAUAUAUAUAUUCUGUAAGACACAUAUACAUAGAAAAGCACAGACAUUAACACCUUUGGAAACAAUCUAUAACAACAUGCUAACCUACAAAUUCUGUAAAGGGCCUUUGUGUUAUACUAAGAUUAUUCCAAAACAAGUUAGCUAUGGGAGUAGUAAAUCCCAAGUGGACAGACACAUGAUCACUAAUAAAUGGUAAAAACACCUAUUUACUAUAUUAGUUUGAUGGUGAUAGGAUAAAGAAAUACAUAAUUUUGUAUUCAAAAUUUUUCAGAAAUAACAUAUGAAUUUACUUUUGAUAUAAAAAAAAAUGGUGUAUGAUAGACCACCCAACCUAACUUUUCAUAUGAAUAGUUUGGCCACAUAAUAGGAAUCUACAGUUUUCUUGCAUAGAAUAAAUUGGGCAUAAGGAAAGUUUUAUAUAUUAGGUCCGGAUAUUUGGUAAGGCUAUAUUAUGAAUUAAAAUUGAUUUCGUUAUAAUUAAUAAUUAUGAUUUAUUUUGUUUCCAAUUUAGUUUAGGUUAAGGAUAGUAUGUAACUGUAGAAUAAUUUAUUGUGAAAGAAACUGAGAUUGUCAUUUUUGGGAGAGCUACAAUAUCCAUAUUAAACGUACCAUAUGGCUCCUCUCUUCUCAAACCAUCAUAGGGAGAAAACACAAGCGAUAGGAGAGAAGAGGUAGGGAUCCUCACUUUUGUUAGUUUAUUAUACCUUGCUAUGUUUCAUAGUUUCCUGCUUUCAUAUCAUGACAUGCAUUUCAUUGAUACCUUAUCAUCCUAUUUGAUGACCAAUAGAGAAUAUAUAUAAUAUGCACAAAUUGACCUAUUAAAUGGAAGGGAUUCAUUAUAAAACUAUUUUUGAUGUAUUUGACAAGAUGAUUAUUCUAGGAUGGUUUUGGACAUUCUGUCAAGCAUGAAUUUGUUUAUGAUUAUUAGCAAUUCUUAUGUUGAUAUUUUGAUUUAAGUCUUUCCUUUAUAAAUUUAAUUUUAUAAAUCAAUAUCGGUGAUUGUGCCAAUUAUGAUUAUACACAUGAUUUCAUGAAUCACAUAAUGUUGCAUUUAUUGAGGAACAUUUGGAUGAAUAGAAACAAACGUAUAGAGGGAUUUUGGGGCCAUAUUUAAGACCUAGAAUUCUCCUUUAACUAUUUUGUCUCUAAUAGUAUAUUAACCGAAUAAUUUUGUAGUUGUAUUCGAAAUUAGACUUUUGAUUUUUUCUCAUUCUUAUUCUCCACGUCCUACAAAACUCUCAAACACGAAAGAUUAUUGGAGAAGGUCAGCAUCACCUCUAUCGUCCCCUCAAGAAGUCAAGACGAAGAACAAUUGGUAGAAAAAAAAACCAUCGUGGACGUCAAGACUCGAGACUCGAUUGUUCUAACAUCCCCACAGAAUGUCCUUACAAUGAUUGGCAAUCAAAUUCUCGUUCCACACAAUAUCUACUUUGGUGCCACAUGCAUGACUUAGUAUUUUAUCUAUUGGGCUAAUCAUUUGUUAAAGAAUAGAUCAAAAUUUAACUUUUUAAGAGAAUUCGGUCAAAAACUUAAGUAAUUGAAUCUAAAUCUAGUCAAAUAGUUAAAAUACAGUAAUAAUCAAGUUUGAUCAACUUAUUUGAUUAUAAUAAAUUAAAUUAAUCAAUUUUAUAAUUGAGGUUACAAGUUUAAAAUUUUUAAUUUAUGAAGGAUAAAACUAUAAUUAUAUUAGGAUAUACGAAAAAAAUAUUUUAUUUAUGAAGAAUAAAAUUAUCAAAAGAACAUAGUUAGAAUUAAAAAAAUUUAUAAGGACAAACCUAUAAUUUUAAAAUUUUACCCUCAUAGUUGUAGCUAGUUCCAUCGCGUCCAUGUAUGUGGGUCGGUGAUGCAGUGAUUGCCCAUUGUUUACGUGAUACCUACCACCCAUGCCUGUAAUGGGGCGACUGUCCUCAUGUAGUCGAUCGAAGACCACGCCGACAGAAUGCCUCCGUGGUGCACUGCUAACCAAGCAUCGCCAAUGAAUCGUCCCACCGCGUAGCCAUGCACACGCGCUGACCGACAACCCCCAUAGUCAUCAUGGUACGCGAUUAUACCAGCACAUCCUGUUGUACAGACAUUGGGAACCAUGACCUUCAGCAUUCAAUUGAUAUUAGUCACAACCAGCAAGCUCUGCCAUAGUGGUAUUGCUGCAACCGCCACUGGUAGCGAAACUGUUGUAGGCACCAAACGUAGUGGUACUGCUAUAGUCAUCACACCCCAUUGUGCUUCCACUGGGUACACAGCUACUACUAGUGAUUCCUUAAUGAUACUGUUAUCGAUAGUAAACUGUUAAUCGUGGUCCAUCAAUCAAGCACAAGGAACCUCACAUUGCAUAGAAGCAGAUGAUAAGACAAACUAGAUAGAACAACAAAUCAACACUAUAGGUGAUUUGUUCAUGCAUUGUAAAUAAAAAUCAAAUAACACCUUUUUACAAGCAAAAUAUAUUAACAAAUGGAUCUAAAGUAUUUGAUUUUACAAACAUGGCUUUGAUACCCAUCGUGAGUAUAAAAACCAUCAUUAUGCUACUAUUAUAUGAAAAACCUUAAUGUUAAAAUUUAAAAUUAAAUAAUAAUAUAUUAAAUUUACAAUGUAUACCUUUCAAUAUCAUUUAGAAAGUUUUUAUCUGAUUUAUGGGUGCACCAUCAUUAAAUCCGAAAGUUAUAACGAUGUCGAUCUAUAAGGAGAACUAGACUCGUCUUUUUCUCUCCUCCUAUCCUUCAUAAGACUGCUAUGAGUGAUGGAUUUAAAUAUUAAAAGAGAUUGAGAAUAUAUCAGUAAUAUCAAUAACUAGUUGUAUUGGUUGUACUCAUCCCUAUAAAGUCAUGUUCUUUUAUAGGUGAGAACAGAGGAUUUAGGAUAAAUAAUUAGGAGAGUCCCUCCCAUCAAUAUCAUCCUUUAAGGAAUCCUAUCAUAAUUAGACUUCCUUUUUAUUGAACAAUAAUCAUAAUUAAAAUCUAAUCAUACUCAUUAUACAUUUUACCUAAUUAGAUAGGAUCACAUAAUCUAAUAGGAUAAUAUCAUUAAAGGAUCAUUUUUACGGGGAUGUCACGUAUCAUGAUGGCAAAUUCUACUGCUUAACAAAUAAGUGAAGUCCCUUUUAAUCUACGUAAAGUUCUACCCAGUGUGACGGUGUUGUGAGGUGGUUAUCAAUUUGUAUUCCCUAAUCUCUCCGAUUGUAAAGGAACAACAUCAUUAUUGUACUAAGGCCUACCAAUAUUACCAACUUUAUCAUUGUACCAAAGGUUAAUGUUUUUUGUGCUGUACUUGGAACAAAAAGAAGUUUCUCUUUAUUUUCUGAAUUUGCAUCUGUUUGAUCGAAGUUAGAAGAUAGAAGGGAAAUGAUAUGGUCCUGCUUCAAUUAUCAAAUCAUAGAUACAACACAUUGCAAUUGGUUUUGCUGUAUGGGGUGGCAACAUAAAGACACAUAUGGAUCACUGACCCGUUCUGCUCAGAAGCAGUGGAUGCCUUUUGCUCCUCUCAAAAGUAUGUGUUUUUGAUAGAUUUCUGUAUGUUCUUACCACACAUCAUUAAUUAUUCCAAUGACUACACUACCCUUGGAGUCUUAUUUGGUGAGAUUAGUAACAGGAAAGAAAUGAUGAGAUCUAUCUUGUCUCUAUAUACUUAUUAUCAUGCCAUUUUAUUUGGAAAAACCACUGGCAAUCAUCAUUGGAAUUAUUUCGACUCUUAGCAAUUUAUGUGUCAAAUAGCUACUGUUUCAUUUAACUCUGGUUAUCCUAGUGCUACAGGUAAAAAAAGAUACAUAUAUCUUCAAACUUACCUCAGAAAUUAUAGCAUAGAAUUGAAAUGAAAACUUGCAUAACAUAUCGAAUCCGAGAAAUGGAUGACCAAAAUGCUGGGUUGCAAAAAUGAAAAACUAUACUGUGGCUUUAUAACUCAAAUUUUGGAGAAUUCAUUGAGGCAUCAAGAGAGAGACUUUGAUUAAGGUCUCUUCAAAUAUUGUAAGUUGAAAGAUGAUCAGGUCAUUGAAAAUAUAGAUAAGUAGAUUAGAGACUGGAUUGAUCGAUCUAAUUUAAUUUGUCUUUAGAAACAUGUAAAUCCAAGUUGACAAUUUUGAAUUCAGAAUGUUUUUGGAUGGGUUUCUUUGUGUUAUACCAACUAGCAUGAACAAUAUAUUGAGUAAAUCAGACAAAUUGAGUAUGAUAGUAUGAACAUAUCUUAUAUAGUGUGAACAUCACCCGAACAUGGGUGAAAACAUCUUAUAUUCAUUGAGUUGAUUCAACCCGGUCCACUUCUCCAGAGUUGUCAUGUUUAAGAAUUAGAAUCUUGCAAUGGUUUGUCAUUCUCUCUAGGUGAUUUGAGAACUGUUUUAUCUUAUUAUGAUGCAUUGGGUUCGGUCGAUUCUAAGAUUAAGUUAACUUGAAGACGAGCCGAACGUAUAGUCGACUUGAAGACAUAUCGAACUUAGAUAUGAUCGGCUUAAAUAUGUGAUGGACUUAAGGAUGUGAUCGUCUCAAAAGAUAUAAACGAUAGAAAGUCACAAUCGACUAGAAGAUGUGACCGAGUUGAAGUUAUGAAAUAUUUGAGAGACACGACCAAGUUGAAGAAACAAUCAAUUUAGAGAAGUCGGUGUUGAUAUCAGUAAUGGUAGUAAGGGGAGUUUGUGAGUGAAUUAGUUCUAGUAUAAAUUUGACAAUCUUCAAAGGUUAAAAAAAAAAGGAAAAAAGUAGAGAACUAAUAUAAACAAGUAUGCGAAAGUGAGGUGCACAAAUAGAAGAUAGACACACCAAUUCAUAGUGAUGAAGAUUUUCUGACCUAUGUCGACAUCAAGCUUUCACUAUUUAUCUUAUUUCCAAUAUGUGAAUAUCAAUUAUCACUUACAACUUUUUCUUCUUCAAAACUUAGAAGUUUUAGACUUAGAACACUCAAGCUUUUACAAAUGUUUCGACACCUUCCAUGACGUAGCAAGCCUAAUAAAACUCAAAGCAAGUUUUUAGGAGAAGAUUUUCAACACUUGAAGAGCUCAAGGAUCUUUUUUUCUGCCAAUCUAAAAAGGAUAUUUAUAGGCGCAAGAGAUCCUAAAAACCUAUAAGAAUAAAGGGGGUAAGAUACUCUUUACCAUUGUCAUAUUAGGCAGUAUCACUGUCGACUUGAGUGGUGCCACUACUUGGCCUAACUGUCACUACUUGCCCUAGCAGUAUCAUCGCUUGAGCCUAUAUUAGCUUAGUACAAAAUCCAAAAGCCUUUUGGUUCCAACCCAAUAAUAAUAUAUUUUAGCCUAAUGACUCGACAUUCAAUCCUUUGUGUGUGUGACUAACCCUUCAGCACAAAGAUAUAUUCGACUCAUCAUAUGAACUUCUGAUUUAUUCGACUCAUCAAUCUAUCCUUCCACUCAACAACCUCAUCCUCCACAAUGUAUGCACCUUUAGUUAUUUAUGGACAUCUUGUUAUUUAUAUUUUUAUUCCAAAUUUCAAUUUUAUAAUUUAGGAAUUAUUUAAGGAAACUCACUAGGUGUUGGAAUUUGAGUAUCUGAUGUUGCAAAUCAAACUUAUUACAACAAUCUCUAUGUUUAAUGUUAUAAUUGUUUUACAAUUUUGGUUGUCUGUAAAGCUCGCUUUUUAUAUAAUCUGAUCAUUCCAAAUCUCAAUUAUGUUAUGAUUUUGCAGAAGUGUGAUUGGUUCUGAACUAAUUCACAUUGAAAACUGUAUUGGAAUCAGCAUACCAAAUCAUCAGUUAAUGAAAAGAACUGAAUUCAACAGUUUCCUGAUUGAAUACUGGUUUCCCGGUUUGCAUGGGAUUUGAGUUAAUGAAAUAUAUCCUAAUUUUCCCAAGUUGAUCCCGAAUCCAUCUGAAGUUGGCAAUAAUCCUAAAGAUCAUAGAUAGAUCAUUUAGCCCAAUAAUGGUAAAACAUCAUUAUUUCAUCCAUAAAGAUGACUAUAUUUAUCUUUUGACCCGAAUGAUCUCAAAAUCUUUUUCUUAACACAAAUGGCACAACUCCUAGCUCAAAAACUUAUCUAAAAGGGCACAAAAAAAGUCAAGAAUUCAUAGCUACUUUAUGGGUCCCAUAUCACUUAAUUUUUGAUAUUUAGGGGGUUCAUGGGAUCUAUAACUCAUAAAUGAGUAUAUAAUUGGGAUUGAUAAAGUUUUUUCCUCUACAAAUAACUCCUUUCUUUCAUUUUAAUUUUUCUUAUUUUUCUAUAUUAAAUUAUAUAUUAUUAUUUUUAAGGUGAAUUAACAACACCCGAUGAAAAAAAUAUAGUAUCACAAUUAAUCUCACAUCAAAAGUAAAUUAAAAUUAAAAUUAAUUUGUAAGUGUUUAAUGAGUGUACGACUAUUAACUUCGACUAAGUAUUUUUAGUCGAUUUAGAUUCAGUGAAAUUAAAAGACUAGUUAUAUUAGAAUCGGUUUGACAAUGACUUUAUAUGGUGAAAAAAUUACUUGACAUGCAUCAUACAAUAGUUUUGUGGAUGGACAUAUCAUUUGUAACAGUGCUAACCAAAGGUUCAACCUAAUAAUGAAGCUCCAACAAAUGCAAGGAUAGUGCAAAUUAAAUUUCUAUAAUGCUUAUGCUUGGACUUAAUUUGCAAUUGUAAUUCAUGAAUGGUCUAAAGCUUUCCCUCAGAGUUAGGAGAAGACUUCUUCAGGAGCCAAAAAUAUAGGCGAUUAAAAUGGCUAAACAAAAGUACAGAUCGACAUCUUGUUACAAAGAGGACCGAGUCACAAGGAAAUGGGAAACGAUCGUCCACAUCUUGUUUCAAACAGGACCAAGUCACAAGGAAAUGGAACCCAUGCAUGGCCUCUGGUUUGCUUGCUUUAUCCAUUCUCUUCCCCCCCCCCCCCCCUCCUUCCCUCCCUCCCUAUAUAAACACCCCCCUCCCUUCAUCCGUAAUCGGCCUAUCACAUCAGGAGCCAGGGCUCCAAAAUAAACAUCCUCCUUUCACUCCUUUGUAUCGCCAAUUUGAUGCACAGGCAUAUCUCGGAAUAAAAGAAUAAAAGAGAAGAUGUCGAAGGCCAUCUUCGGUGCUGUCUCGGCGGUCCUCCUCGUGGCCGCGGUGAUCGGAGUGGUAGCUACUGUUGUGAGUUCGAAUCAUAAGACCGAUGCUUCUGAGGGUGAUGGUUCACUUACCACCACGUCCAAGUCCGUCUCGGCCUUCUGCGCCAAAACUGACUACCAAGCCGACUGUGAACGCACCAUUGGUUCUGCCAUCAAUGGCUCUUCCUCCCCCAAGGAAGUCAUCCAAGCUUCUUUUCAGGCGGCCAUUGACGAAAUCCAAGCUGCCUUCCACCUGUCCAACAACGUAAGUUUGAAGGCGAAUGACCCGAUGAACAAGGCUGCGUUCAACAUUUGCCGGCAGCUCCUCGAGGAUGCCGAUGAGGAGCUCAAUGCUGCCUUCUCGGAGACUCAUGACCUUCAGGGUCUGGCGAGGAGGACCGAUGACAUCAAGACAUGGCUCUCGGCCGUCAUCUCCUACCAGCAGACCUGUCUCGAUGGCAUCACCGAACCGGAGCUCCAGUCCACCAUGAAGGACGGUCUAAGCACGGCCACAAAGGUCACCAGCAAUGCCAUUGCCAUUGUCGAUGAGCUUAGUUCAUUAUUAAAGUCCUUCAAGAUCCCGAUUAACAUAACCAUGGGCAGUCGACGCUUACUGGUCGAUGAGCAAGGGUACCCUUCGUGGUUCUCGGGCCAUGACAGGAAGCUCCUGGCUGCCCAAGCGCGAGGCCAGCUGACCCCUAAUGUGGUGGUUGCUAAGGAUGGGAGUGGAAAGUUCAAGACGAUCAACGAUGCCGUUAAUGCCAUGCCAAAGGAUUACUCUGGGCGGUACGUGAUCUACGUGAAGGCUGGGGUCUACAAGGAGAAUGUCAUCGUUGGCAAGGAUAAGGUGAACGUCCUCAUGUACGGUGAUGGAUCAAGGAAGACAGUCGUGACCGGGAGCAAGAACUACGUCGAUGGCGUGCAAACUGUUGAUACCGCGACCUUCGGUUUGUGCUUUCCUUACUUUCCCAUGUUAUAUAUGCUUCUACUUUACUACUGCACUACUGCAAUAGUAUAGAGCAGAAGGAAAGCUCAUGUUACUGGCAUUCCCCAGCUGCCCUCGGACAAGGCUUUAUCGCCAAGUCAAUGGGGUUCAGCAACACGGCCGGAGCAGAGAAGCACCAAGCUGUGGCGCUCCGCGUGCAGUCGGACAUGUCAGCCUUCUUCAACUGCAGGAUGGAUGCGUACCAAGACACCUUAUACGUGCAGGCCCACCGACAAUUCUACCGCAACUGCGUCGUCUCCGGGACGAUUGACUUCAUCUUCGGCGACUCCUCCACCAUCCUUCAGAACUGCCUCCUGGUGAUGCGACGCCCGAUGGACAACCAGCAGAACAUCUUAACGGCUCAUGGGCGAUCUCAGGCGAAGGAGACCACCGCGCUGGUGAUCCAGAACUGCCGCAUCGUCCCGGACAAGUCCUUGUUCCCGGAGAGGUUGAAGUUCCGCAACUACCUUGGCCGGCCAUGGAAGGCAUACUCGAGGACCAUCGUCAUGGAAUCUACCAUCGGAGACCUGAUCCAGCCUGAGGGUUGGAUGCCGUGGGACGGAGC
rnacentral:lncRNA from 1 species